rnacentral:lncRNA from 1 species
AUACCCUUGGGACUUGUAAAGGUAGUGAAUCUGUCAAACCAUGCUCUGAGAGACUGUUGCAGACUACAUAGAGACUUCUGGAGUUUACACACUUACUGAUAAAACUGGGCUUCAAAUCCUGGCAGGGGGCUCAUGUAGACUUCCUCCACAAGGUCUCCAUUCAAAAAAACAUUCUUAACAUCUAGUUGGUAUAGAGGCCAAUCUUUGUUCACAGCAACAGAUAGCAGAACUCUAACAGUAUUCAAGUUAGCAACUGGAGAAAAAGUUUUUGAAUAGUCAAUACCAUAGGUUUGAGUAAAUCUCUUUGUAACUAACUUUGCCCUGUGUCUGUCAAAGGUAUAGUCUACUUUGUAUUUGAGACAGAACAUGCAUUUUCACCCCACAGUUUUGUGUCCCUUGGUAGAGCACAAAUCUCUCAAGUUCUAUCCUUUUCAAGAGCCUUCACCUCUUCCAUGACAACAUUCUUCCAUCCAGGACACUUUAAAGCAGUGUGGAUAUUUUUCGAUAUUAUGGUAGUCAAGGCUUGCUGUAAAAGCUCUGAAUCGUAGAGAGAGAUUAUCAAAGGAAACAUAGUUGCAGAUGGGAUGUUUAGUACAUGACCUUGUACCUUUUCUCAUAGCAAUGAGAAUGUCAGGACAGAGGUCAUACUCAUCAAGUUUCCCUGUAUGACCCUGUUCAGCUUCAUUACUACUGGUUUCUGUUCUGAUCUCAAUUUCAUCACUACUGUUCUUUUCUUCCACAUUUUCAAGAACAUCAGACCUGCCAUUCUCAAUUAUCGUACUAUUAGUAAAAGGUUCAGUAGAGUUUUCCAUACCUUGAACUCGAGGAGGUUUGGAGUCUUGGACUGGAGUCGACGACUGACUAGUAGGAGACCUGACUUCCUUUCUAAGAUUCCUCCUGUAAUACAUUUUCCAUGGAACUUGGUUUGUGAGUAGGAGUAUGAGAUGAGGAUCGACGUUAGACAUAGUACUAGAAGUAGGUUCGAUAAAUUCAAAGGUGCUAUUAGACUCUUCACUCACACUCACCCCUGAAGAUGGCUAACGGGAAAGUAGGGUCGGUCCUCACAGAAAGUAACAUCCAUAGUGACAAAGUAUUUCCUGGAUGACGGGUGAAAACAUCUAUAACCACGCUGGUGAAGGGGAUACUUAACAAACACACAUAUUCAAGCCCGAGGGGUAAAUUUGGUUUGAUUAAGGUCAAAAUUAUAGAUACAAGCGGUACACCCAAACACACAAAGAGGAACCUCAAAAACAAAAUGAGUAGAGGGGUAGGACUCCUUAAGAAAAUCUAAGGGAGCUGAAGGCGGAGGAUACAAGAAGGCAUUCUAUUGAUUAAAUGAGCUGCUGUAAGAAUAACAUCUCCCUACAGGUAUGAAGGAAGGAGAAUGGAUAACAUAAGGGAGCGGGCUACCUUCCAGAAGGUGACGGUUAUUUCGAUCGAUCACUCCAUUUUGUUGAGGAAUCCCCUUGGAGACUAGAAUAACACGAGUUUUAGUGAACAAUCCCCUUGGAGACUAGAAAUUCACUAAGGUUAUGGUUUUGGAAUUUCUAACCAUUGUCACUCCGAAGAAUAGCAAUUUUUUUUAUGGAAUUGUGUUUCAAUGGUGUGAUAGAAAUUUUGGAAAAUAGAGGAAACCUCAAAUUUAUCGAUGAUAAGGUAGACUCAGGUAAGAUGGGUAUGAUAAUCAAUGAAGUUUACAAACCACCGUUUCCCAGAUGAGGUCCACCUUGGAGGGACCCCAAACGUCACUAUGGAUAAGGGUAAACGGUUGUGUGGGUUUAUAUGGUUGUGAGGGAAAAGAAACCCAAUGUUGUUUUGCCCGAAUUCGCACAUCACAAGAUAACGAAGAGACAUCAAUUUUAGGAAAAAGAUGGGGAAACAAAUAUUUCAUACAAGUAAAGUUUGGGUAACCUAACCGGAAAUGCCACAACAUAAAGUUUGUUCAAAAGUGCUAAAAUAGGAAGACAGGAAACUAGUCCUAGAGAUACUACUACUGGAGGUAUCAUCAUCAAGGAUGUAAAGUCCCUUGCUAUGUCGGAUGUAAAGUCCUCCCCGAACUCAAGUUCUGAAAACAAACAGAUUAAGAUAAGAAAGUAGUUUUACAGUGCAACUCACAGGUGAUCUUACUGAUAGAUAACAAAUUGUGAAAGCUUAGACACAUGCAAAACAUUAUGGAGAGAGAAACCAUCAAAGAGAACUAUUUGUCCUUUGCUAACAAUUAGGGCUAAAGAGUCAUCGACUAUCCGGAUUUUCUCAUUAUCGACAAAGAGACAAUGCUUUGAAAAACCUGUCAAGUGAUAUGUGGCCCCCAAGUCCAAAAUCCAGGGAUUCCUCCCAUCAAUACUAAUAAGGCCAAGGGACUGAGGCAUAUCUAACUAAGCAAUGGCGCUUAGAGUAGGAGGGGCCGGUCUAGCUAGCAGUAAAGCCAGUUAACUGAAAUGUGUGGUAGUCUCCCUAACAUCGGUACGCCCUAAGUUUUGUUGCUAAGGAACGUUGUUACCUCUUGAGGACCGACAAUGGAGUUUUCAACGCUGAUCCUUUGUGUACCAUUGUUUCUUGCAGUGCUCACAUGCGAGGAUUGGUUUCCCUCAAUUCUUCUCAUUAUCGUGGGUCGAGAAUUGAGCACUAAGGGAAGCAGAGUUAGUUAUAUAAUUCGAAGAUAUAUUAGGGGUCAAAGUUACUGGGUUCUUUGAAUACAUCAGUAGAUCGGUCGAUUUAGAUUGUGCCGAGCAUGCAUCAACUUCAAAACCAACUCUGCUGUAAGUUUGGUUAAUCUCGGGACCACAAACAUAUGGUUGUUGUAAAGGGUCAAGUGACACCGGCACGUGGAAAGAAGGGUUUGAUGGUUGUCCAUAACCGGAGGGUGUCAGUGGCGUUCGGCCUCACUAACGCACCAGCUACUUUCCAAUCAUUAAUGAAUCUGGUCUUUAAACCCUUCCUCGGGAGAUGUGUACUGGUAUUUUUUGAUGAUAUAUUGGUAUACAGCACGGAUCUCACAGAACACGAAAAGCAUUUGGGCAUGGUUUUUGCAGUAAUGCGGGAUAACCAAUUAGUUGCCAACAAAAAAAAAAUGCGUAAUAGCUCAUUCGCAGAUUCAGUAUUUGGGGCAUUUAAUAUCCAGUAGAGGGGUUGAAGCGGAUGGAGAAAAGAUCAAGGACAUGGUAAAUUGGCCCCAGCCCAAAGAUGUAACCGGAUUGAGGGGGUUCUUAGGGCUGACAGGUUACUACAGAAGAUUCGUCAAAGGGUAUGGGGAGAUGGCAGGACCGUUGACCAAAUUAUUACAAAAGAACUCAUUCCUAUGGGGGGAAGAAGCAACAAAGGCGUUUGAUAAGCUGAAAUUAGCCAUGACAACCCUACCCGUACUAGCUCUACCGGAUUGGAGUGCCUUUCAUCAUUGAAACGGAUGCGUCGGGGAUUGCUUUAGGGGCAGUUCUAUCUCAAAAUGGCCAUCCCAUAGCUUUUUUCAGUCAAAAACUAUCCAACCGAGCGAAAACCAAGUCCAUAUAUGAGAGGGAAUUGAUGGUUGUGGUGCUGUCAGUACAGAAGUGGAGACAUUAUCUCUUGGGAAGGAAGUUUACAAUCAUCUCAGAUCAGAGGGCCCUCAAAUUCCUUUUAGAGCAAAGGGAAGUGCAACCCCAAUUCCAGAAGUGGCUGACUAAACUCCUCGGGUAUGACUUCGAAAUACUUUACCAACCCGGAUUACAAAACAAAGCAGCCGAUGCCCUCUCCCGAAUAGAACAGCCAGUGGAAAUGAAGAGUAUGUCCACCACGGGUAUUGUCAACAUGGAGGUGGUAGAGAAAGAAGUUGAGUUAGAUAAAGAGCUUAAGGCAAUUAUUGAAGAAUUAAAACAAAAUCCUGAUGAGCCUAGUAAAUUCCAAUGGGUGAAUGGAAACCUACUGUAUAAGAAGCGAAUUGUGCUGUCAAAAGAAUCCACUCUGAUCCCCACCUUACUACAUACGUUUCAUGACUCCAUUUUGGGAGGCCAUUCCGGGUUCUUAAGGACGUAUAAAAGGAUGUGUGGGGAAUUGUAUUGGAAAGGUAUGAAGGCUGAUGUUAAAAAAUAUGUGCAGGAAUGUGAGGUUUGCCAGAGAAAUAAGUUGGAAGCAACUAAACCAGCUGGAGUUCUGCAGCCAAUUCCAAUCCCAGAAAGAAUCUUGGAAGACUGGUCCAUGGACUUCAUUGAAGGACUACCUAAAGCAGGAGGUAUGAAUGUAAUAAUGGUAAUUGUGGACAGGUUGAGCAAAUACUCCUACUUUAUCACCAUGAGGAAUCCUUUUAAUGCAAGGCAAGUGGCUGAAGUGUUUAUUGACCGAGUAGUGAGUAGACAUGGAAUACCUAAGUCAAUCAUUUCCGAUAGAGAUAAAAUUUUCAUAAGCAACUUCUGGAAAGAAAUAUUUGCUAGCAUGGGAACCCUUCUAAAAAGAAGUACGGCGUUCCACCCACAAACGGACGGUCAAACUGAAAGAGUAAACCGUUGUGUAGAAACUUAUCUGAGGUGUUUUUGUAAUGAGCAGCCGACAAAGUGGAAUAAGUUCAUUCCCUGGGCAGAACUAUGGUAUAAUACAACUUUCCAUGCCUCCUCAAGAUCAAACCCCUUCCAGAUUGUAUAUGGAACAAAUGCUGAAAGAGAGGGAUUUAGCACUGAAUGCUCUAAAGGAGAACCUCAACGUAGCGCAGAACCGAAUGAAGAAAAUGGCCGACUCUAAGAGGAGGGAACUUAAGUUCAAGGUAGGAGAUGAGGUAUAUCUCAAGCUUCGACCCUAUAGGCAACAUUCUCUAGCACGAAAGAGAUCGGAGAAGUUGGCCCCUAAAUUCUAUGGACCUUACCGCAUAAUUGAAGAAAUUGGUGAAGUGGCGUAUAGGCUGCAGUUACCGCCUGAAGCUUCCAUCCAUGACGUCUUCCAUAUUUCCCAACUGAAACUGAAAUUGGGAAAAACGCAUGUAGUGCAAAUCCAACAACCAGUACUAACGGAAGAGUUUGAACUACAGCUUCAACCAGAAACCAUACUGGGCAUUCGAUGGAACAAGGACUUGGGGGCCAACGAGUGGUUGGUGAAAUGGAAAGAACUACCGAAGAAUGAGGCUACCUGGGAAGCAGUGUACCAAAUGAACCAACAAUUUCCCACCUUCCACCUUGAGGACAAGGUGAACUUGGAACCGAGGGGUAUUGUAAGACCCCCAAUUAUCCAUACUUAUAGGAGGAAGGGUAGAGAGGAAUGAUUGGAAGGAAGAUCGUGAGUGGUAGGGCUCACUGGGCUGAGGAAUAUGUGAGUCUAUAAAUAGGAUCAUUAGGUAUGGAGUAGCUAGGGUAUUUUUUAUCUUUUAGAAGGUAGGCUGCAGCAGCCACCAAGUCUCUUAAAGCAAGGAGGCUGGUAUGUUCUUUUCUUGAUUUUCCUUGUUGUUCCUUGUAAUUUCUUUUCAUCUUGUGACUCUAUAAUCAUUUGGCUAUCUAUAUAAAUAAAGUAAACCAGAGUACCGCCUCUGUUUAAGCCAUUUAUACAGUCUUUUCGGCCUAAACUAGUGUUAGAAUCCUAACACAUUCACUUACGCUAGUUUUGUCUCCUCUCUUUCUUAAUCUCCUUGAUUCUUUCUAUUAAUGUAAUUAGAUUAUUCUUAGGUGAUAUUAUUCUGGAGAUAUUAUUUGACUUCCUCGUACCUCCCUUUUUCAUGGUCGUUCUCUGAUUCCUUCAUCUUCAAGUCAUUGUUCCAUUUCUCUUUUUCUCCAACAUUCACUUAUGCUAGUUUUGUCUCCUCUCUUUCUUAAUCUCUUUGCAGCCUAGGAAGCUUUUGAUGCAUUGAUCUAGCACUCCGCUAUAUUCUUUCUAUUAAUGUAAUUAGAUUAUUCUUAAGUGAUAUUAUUCUGGAGAUAUUAUUUGACUUCCUCGUACCUCCCUUUUUCAUGGUCGUUCUCUGAUUCCUUCAUCUUCAAGUCAUUGUUCCAUUUCUCUUUUUCUCCAACUUUCACUUAUGCUAGUUUUGUCUCCUCUCUUUCUUAAUCUCCUUGCAGCCUAGGAAGCUUUUGAUGCAUUGAUCUAGCAAUCCUCUAUAUUCUUUCUAUUAAUGUAAUUAGAUUAUUCUGGAGAUAUUAUUUGACUUCCUCGUACCUCCCUUUUUCAUGGUCGUUCUCUGAUUCCUUCAUCUUCAAGUCAUUGUUCCAUUUCUCUUUUUCUCCAACUUUCACUUAUGCUAGUUUUGUCUCGUCUCUUUCUUAAUCUCUUUGCAGCCUAGGAAGCUUUUGAUGCAUCGAUCUAGCACUCCUCUAUAUUCUUUCUAUUAUGUAAUUAGAUUAUUCUUAGGUGAUAUUAUUCUGGAGAUAUUAUUUGAUAUUAUUUCCUUAAGUGUAUUUCUCUAUGGUUAUAUAUAGGCUUGUACCUCUACUAAAUGAUUAAUGAAAGAGAGAUUAAUUCCAUAAAGUCACACUUUCCACCUUGCAAUCCGCAAUCCAUUUAUGCAUCUGCUCUAAUGUCCAUGGGGUCUCUCCUCUCUCAGCCACCUCACGUUUGCAAUCGGCAACCCAUUUAAGCGCUUGCUCCCAAGUCCCUUUCUCAAUCACACCCUAGUCUUCUUCCACCUUUCCUUUCAUUUUCAACAUAGAUCCUUCCAACAUACCAGACUCUUCCCAUCGGCAACUAACAUUGUUUUCUCGUAAUUCCUUUGCCAGCCUCUCGACACUUUUGGACAACUCCAGAGCCAAAUCUUUAAGUUCCCUAAUGCCCUUCUCGUUCUUUUCCAACUUCUCCUUUGUUUGUUUCUGCACCAUAGCCCAUGUCACCCCAGGAUGUUACGGCUCUGAUACCAAUUUGUAGGAUUCUUCCUAACAAGGAUUACCUCAAGAAGAAAAGAUGAACUCAAGAACUCUUAAAAGAACAUUCUAAUAUGAAAUAUAUAUUAGAAGAUCAUAAGAACAAGUAACAAGUAACCCUAGCCUUUCGAGAGGGCUAGACUCUCCCAAGGUUUCCUUAGAAGGAAAUCUUUCUACAAAAUUCUCCACACCUCUCCCCAACCACUAUCCUACUAUUUAUAACAAAAAGAUCUAACCAGCUUACUAACUAUUUACUAAUAUGCCCCCACUAACAGCCAUAUUCAUUUUCUUCUAAUAAUCCACUAUUUUCCUAUCUAGAGUCCUUACAAAAACUUGGCCCUUUUAGCCAAAUGGGAUUGGCGACUCUUGAAUGACGAUUCAUCACUUUGGAGUAAAGUUGUUGCAAGCAUUCAUGGUAGAGACAGAUUUUGUUGGCACACCUCGGAUAAGAUUAUUUGCAGCAUUUGAAGCCCAUGGAUAAAUAUUUCAAGAUCCUGGCAAAGAGUGGAGGCCUUAGCGGUGUUUAAAAUUGAAAUGGGAGAAGGACCGCUUUUUAGCUUGAUUCAAGGGUCGACAAGAUCUCUCUUACAACCAGAUUUCCAAAACUAUUUCAAAUUGCACAAUGCCCCAAUGGUUCGAUGUGGAGCAUUGGGAUCAAGAUACUUCUUCAUGGUCCAUUUCUUAUAGAAGAUUUUUAAAGGAUGAUGAGAUACUUGAAUUCAAAAUUUUGUUAAGUAUCACAGUCAAUGAAAAGGUGCCAGUUUCUAUGACAAACGCUUUUGGCCCAUUGAAGCAAAUGGAUCCUUCACAGUCAAAUCAUUGGUAAAUCAUCUCUUUGGCUUCUCCGAUUGACACGGAACUAAAGAAGACUCUAUGGAAGACGAAAAGCCCCAGACGAGUUAAUACUCUGGUAUGGAUUAUAAUUUUUGGUCACUUAAAUUGCUCCUCGAUCUUACAAAGUGUCCUUUCCAUUGUUUGUCUCCAAGAAUUUCCGCACUACGUAAAGGAGAAGAGGAAGACAUUCAGCACAUCCUCUUUAAGUGCAGUUAUGCUCAAAAUUGUUGGUUUGCAUUAUUUAUGUUUUUUGACAUCAGCUGGGUUUUCGGAAAAACAGCCACAAGCAAGGUUUUUCAUAUUUUGGCAGGGCAGAAGCUUAAAAAAUAUCUACAAAUCCUGUAACGUAAUGGGGGUGAAAGCUGUGCUGACUGAUUUGUGGUUUGAAAGAAACCAAAGAGUCUUCCAUGUUAAGGAAACUCCUUGGUUUACAUGAUAUCAACACUCCUAUAAAAUGACGGAUACAACCACCACCCAGAUUUGGAUAUUUUAAGUAAAACCAUGAAAAACAAAUGGGGAUGGGUAUGCAGUACAUUUGAUUUUUCUACUUCUUCCUAUGGUUUAAUGAAGACACACCUAACUUGCUGGUAAGAACUGUUGCAUGGAAUACGAAAGAAAGGAGUCUAAAAAUUUCACAAAGAUGAGAUGGUGGUAUCAAACCUUGAGAAUGCUAUAUCAUUUCCAGAAGUGGAUAUUUCUGGAGACGAUUCUGACAGAACCUCACUGCCUCCUUGCGAUUGUUUAGACAAUACUAAGUUUGAAUGUUUUUCUAGCUUUCUGUUUGUACAUAAUGCUGGUGAGCAGUUUUCAUGAAGAAUAUUUCCAUCUGAGAAGGAUCUUUUGAAUGCUGACCUAAACAUCAGAAGCUCAUAACUCAGUCAAAGAUGAACAAACAUAAUAUAUGAGAAACCAAUGAAAACAUCAUGAGCAGAAUGCAUAUUGUUUCUAUAGUGAGCGAAUGCAUCUUUUUUUUUUCUCUUUUUCUUCUUUUUAAAUGGAAACAAGCAUCAUUCAUUAUUUGAAAUGAAACCAAUGCUCAAAAUCAUUCAUUAUUUGAAAUGAAACCAAUGCUCAAAAUCAUUCAUUAUUGUCUCUAUAGUGAGCUAAUGCAUCUUUUUUUCUAAUCGGAAACAAGCCUCUUUAUUAAUAUAAAUGAAAGAGACUAAAGCUCAAAGUACAGAAGACAUAUACCAAGAUCAAAAAGGACCAAAAGAACACAUACAACAAAAACUGAUACAAGAGAGAACAUAAAGAAUUUCAACGAGCUGGACAAGACUCUCUGCAACCCAAGCAAAACAAGAAGAAGAAAAUACCAAGCAAAGUGAAAACUUUCAAAGGAGCACAAAUCAGCUAAAGUCUUAAUCCCAAAUGGCUUAAAAAAUGAAUGGAAAGGAGAACACCAGGAUAAGGAACAUGCUGAGCUGAUAACUCUUGAUUGAAAGUAUGUUUCCGUUUCUUUAACCUCUACCCAACUAUUGAACUCAAAAAGAUGAGUGAUAACCUAUAAAGUAUGAAAAUCUGUUUUGGUGACCUUUGAAUUCUUGAUUAUCCACUGAUGUGAUUAUUCUGUUUUGCCGGGUCUAAAACAGAGUAUUCCUUUUUCAGCUGGACCUUGUCCACAUAGCUAUCCAUCUUCUCUUCUUGCGGUCUAUUUGAAUCUUCAGGAAGACACAUUUUAAGCUUGCUUUGUUCUUAAUACCAUAUGUAAUCAUGCUUUGAUUUGAAACUUUUCAAGAUAUUGAGAAAUAUUUUCCACCCCUGUUUGUCCUCACCUGAAAGGAUGUGCAUGAAUGAUCUUCCACCUGUCCAGGGCCAAAAAUUGCAUCUCAGCACUCAACCUUUUUCUUAUCCGAAUCUUUAGACUUCUUUUAUGCCAUCAACUAUUCUUUCUUUCUUGUAGAAAUAUUGAUUUUCAGCACUUUGACAGAGGAACUCGAUGGCCUCUUGAAACCAGCAGAGCUGAGAGCCUUAUAAUGACAGGAUUUUAUUCGCCCUCAAAUCUUCAACUCGGAAUAGAUCAUGCUCGUACCGUAUGGAGUAGGGGGAGCCGAAAACCCUUCCGCUUUCUACUUCCAUUCUUUGCUUUCUCACAGGAGAAACAGAUAUCUGGGGAAGUCGAAAGGCAUCUUUAAACUAGCUUGGGGGAGAAUGUAGGAAUUUUAAUUUAGAAAUAUUUAUGCGUAAAUAUUCAUUAUCAAUAGUCUUUUGCCCCAUGCUUGUUCUCUUUGCUUGGGACCCUCAGAAGACCUAAUACAUUCGUUCUUUUACUGCAGCUAUGCCUUCUCUUGCUGGAAUGAUUUGUUUGAAAAGUUCAACCUAUGCUGGGUGUUUAAUAAUACAUUUCAAGAUAAUGUGAUGCAGCUUUUAAUUGGCCCUAACCUCAAGAAAACACCCAGGCUGAAUUGGUGUAAUGUAAUUAUAGUAUUUUCUAAAUACGCAAAAUUCUUCUUGUUUUCUAUACAAAUACACAACCCUCAAUGUAGAGGGGAAAAGAAUUAUACAAGGAAAAAUGAAUAACGGUCAUAAAGUAAAAGAAGGAAAACAUUUUACACAAAAAGUAAAAUUGGAAAACGUAAAAAUGACUGAAUUUAAUAGGAGAAUAUGUCCUAUAUUUAACAGCAGUAAAGGCUCUAUUAUCCGAUCUUUGGUUCGAAAGAAACCAACAGGUUUUUCAUGAUAAAUCCUCCCCUUGGCAGAUCAGUUUAGAAUCAGCUUGGCUUAAUGGGUCUUCUUGGUGUGUUUUAUCUAGUGAGUUUGAAGAUUUUUCCAUCCAAGAAAUCAGUCUCAACUUGAAGACAUUCAUUUUUCUUGCAUAGUGUAGUUUGAUAUAUCUAUUCUUAGUUUUUUUCUUGUAUUUUGUUGACUGUUUUGCCUUGUGAUGGCUGUAUUUUGGAUGUACUGGCUGUAUUUCUUUAUUUUUGUGUUAACUCCAAACUCGUGUAAUCUUUGGUCUACGUCUAUGAUGAGAGUGCUAAGGGGAUGUCAACGUAGUUGUUGUACAGAUGCACUUGCUGAUUCUUAGGGCUUAUAAUGCAGAACAUCCUCCUUUCUUGAUGUUUCUUUAAGUCCUUUAGUAUUCUUUAGCUAAUUCUUCAGUAUCUUGAAUUACCAUUAUUGUAUCUUAAGAUUAGUUAUUUUUUACUUAAAUCUUGUGUAUCUUGAGUUACCAAUCUUGUAUCUUGAGUUAGUCAUAAAUAACUAACUCAACUCCAAGUUAGUUCUAAAAUAACUAACUUCUAACUAUUCUUGUAAACUUCCUGCCUAUAAAAAGGCUUCUCCACUCAUUAAUGAAAUAUAUCAGAAAUAUUAUUCAUAAAAAAUUCUAAGCUUUGCAAUUACUGCAUCAAUUGGUAUAAGAGCGUGAACCCAGCUCACCCUUCCAACAAAAAACUUGGAGCUUACAACUCAUAACGACCUUCGACCAACACUUGCAGUUGGUGAAACAAGCUCUUGAAGAACUUCGAGAAAGACAGUCGGAUAUACAGCAAUCAUUAGUAAAGUUAACUAAUCUUUUUACCCAAUUUUAUGCCCAACCAUUAGAAGAAGCAAUCCAACUCCCAAAGAACCCAAUUGCAGCAAAGCAAGAAAGGCAAGAAAGACCAAGAAAUCCAGCUGCAAACCAAGAACAACCAAGAAAUGAACCUAUUCACAUCCACAAUAACCGGCUAUAUGGGAAGAACCUACCUGGAUAUUUGUUAGAAGAUUUUGACUCUUCCGAUGAAGAUAGCUUGCUGAGCAUUCAUCAAGAACCACAACAAGGACUUGGGUUUCGACCGAAUUUUCAAGAUCAAUAAAUGCGCAUGAAAGUAGAUCUUCCAACCUUCAAUGGUCGAAUGAACAUGGAGAAGUUUCUUAAUUGGAUCAAGAACGUAGACAAUUUUUUCCACUAUGCCAAUACACCCGAACACAAGAAGAUCCAAUUAGUUGCUCUCAAACUCCAAUUGGGACAAACAGAAAAGAGCAAACCCAAUUAAUCCAUUUAGAAACUUUCAACAAGGAAGUUCCUCCACAACCUCAUAGCCCGCCAAGAAAGAUGAAAACCCACCAAAGAUUCCAGCCACAAAAAAGAAGGUUGACAACGUUUAUAACUGUCCUACUUUGGGUAAAUGUUUCAGGUGCGGUCAACAAAGACAUCUCUCCAAUGAGUGCCCUCAAAGGAGGACUUUGACAAUUGAGGAAAGACAGGAAGAGGAUGACUCAGAUGACAACAUCUAUGAGGAUGAAGGAGAUCAACUAUCUUGUGUAGUUCAGAGAAUUAUUUUCACCCCUACGGCUGAACAAAUACCUCAAAGGAAUUUCCUCUUUCGAACAAGAUGCACCAUUAACGGUAAAAUGUGUCAAGUUGUCAUUGAUAGUAGUAGUAGCGAAAACUUAGUAUCUAAAAAACUAGUUUCUGGCCUAAAUUUGAAAACUGACCCACAUCCGAAUCCCUAUAAGGUUAGUUAGUUAGUUAAAAAAGGGGGAGAAGCUACUGUUACUGAGGUUUGUACUAUUUCUUUAUCAAUAGGACAGCACUAUGAAGACAAAAUUAUAUGUGAUGUUCUUGAUAUGGAUGCUUGCCACAUUCUUUUAGGAAGACCUUGGCAAUAUGACACAGAUUACAUUCAUAGAGGUAGAGCCAACACUAUUGAGUUAUACUGGAUGGGUCGUCGUGUAGUUCUUUUACCUAUAGGCAGCUCCUCCGAAACAAAACUUAAUCUUCAAAAAGAAAAACAACUUUUAUCAAUAAUCAAAGGUUUUCUCCGAAAUAAAACUUAAUCUUCAGAAAGAAAAAUGUUGGAAUUCUUUCCUUUUUUUCUAGGCUUUUUCCUUGUUAGAAUCCUAGAAUAAUUAUGGAAAGAUUAUGGGAAUGUAUUCCUUAUUUUCCUAAAUCUUUUCUUUUUUUAUUCCAUUGUGUACUCUAUUUAUUCUCCCCUGUACCUAUUGUUUUAUUCAUUAGAAAAUAAUAACAACAAACAAUCGUGGUUUUUCUCCCGGUACUCGGGUUUCUACGUAAAUUGGUGUGAACUCGUUGUCUCUCUUUUCAAUAUGGUAUCAGAGCGGGACAAUGAAAACACCCUAGAAACCCAAAAAAACCAAACCACUUAUGAAAAUCAAACAGAAGGGACAGCCAUCAAUUUUAGUGCUGCCGUAGCUGCUGCCGUCGAUGCUCGGAUGAGUGCUACCAUGGACGAAUUAUUAAGCUGGCUACAGAAAACGUCCGAAAAUAAUUUUUCGUCAUUACCGCAGUCGUCCGCGCCGUCACCGGACCACCACGCGCCGCCACCGGACCAUCACGCGCCUGGUUUUCUUCCUCAGACGGCGCCGACCAUCCCAUCUGUCCAACCCUUUUCUUCGUCCGCGGCCUAUAUUGCUCCCCACGCCCCGAUUUAUGUUCUGCCAUCUAAUUCCAAUCGGCUACCACCGCUUCUGCCGUCAAAUUUGUAUGGCCAGCCACCCAAUGAUCCUAGCUACCAUCCCGAUCUUAAAAACUCUCAAAUUCACUCAACAUUUGAGGUUGGUGAAUCUUCGGCAUAUUCCAACCGUAUGUGACUAAUACGGUGGCUCAGUCUUCCAUGUAUCAUCUUUCAGGAGAAAAGUUGAAUGGCAACAACUAUUUCUCAUGGUCUCAAUCAGUAAAGAUGGUCCUCGAAGGACGACAAAAAUUUAGCUUUCUGACAGGGGAAAUACCUCGCCCCCUACCGGGCGACCCACAUGAACGAUAUUGGAAGGCAGAAGACUCUAUUCUUCGAUCCAUAUUGAUCAAUAGUAUGGAACCUCAAAUUGGCAAGCCGUUAUUGUUUGCUGCAACAGCCAAGGAUAUUUGGGACACAGCCCAGACACUUUUACUCAAAACGUCAGAAUGCCUCUCGUCUAUACACGCUGAGAAAGCAAGUUCAUGAAUGCAAGCAAGGAACCAUGGAUGUCACAUCCUUUUUCAAUAAGCUUUCUCUUAUAUGGCAAGAAAUGGACCUAUGCAGAGAACUAGUCUGGCGUGAUCCCACUGAUGGUGUACAGUACUCGAGAAUUGAAGAGAAUGACAGGAUUUAUGACUUUCUUGCUGGUCUUAAUCCUAAGUUUGAUGUAGUUCGAGGGCGUAUACUAGGUCAAAGACCGAUUCCCUCCCUGAUGGAAGUUUGCUCUGAAAUCCGCCUCGAGGAAGAUCGCACAAGUGCUAUGAAUAUUUCCGCAACCCCUACUAUUGACUCUGCUGCUUUUAGUGCAAGAUCUUCUAACAGUAGCAGUGACAAGCAUAAUGGAAAACCAAUUCCUGUCUGCGAGCAUUGCAAAAAACAAUGGCAUACCAAAGAACAAUGUUGGAAGUUACAUGGUCGUCCCCCAGGAAGUAAGAAACGCCCUUCCAACGACAAACAGAACACAGGGCGGGCGUAUGUGAGUGAGUCUGCUGAACCUCCUCAACAAUCCGAUCCACACAAAAACCAAACUGAUCUCAGUCUUGCCACUUUAGGUGCCAUUGUCCAAUCAGGUAUACCUCAUUCCUUCGGUCUUGUUAGUAUUGAUGGGAAGAACCCCUGGAUUCUGGAUUCUGGUGCCACAGAUCAUUUGACUGGGUCCUCUGAACAUUUUGUAUCUUACAUUCCUUGUGCUGGGAACGAGACAAUUAGAAUUGCAGAUGGCUCCUUGGCUCCCAUUGCUGGAAAGGGGAAGAUUUCUCCUUGUGCAGGGCUCUCCUUACAUAAUGUUUUGCAUGUGCCCAAACUAUCUUAUAAUUUGCUUUCGAUAAGCAAGAUCACUCAUGAGUUAAACUGCAAAGCAAUAUUCUUACCUGAUUCUGUCUCUUUUCAGGACUUGAGCUCGGGGAGGAUGAUUGGCACUGCCCGGCAUAGUAGGGGACUCUACCUCCUUGAUGACGAUACCUCUUCUAGUAGCAUUCCUAGGACUAGUCUCUUAUCUUCCUAUUUCACUACUUCUGAACAAGAUUGUAUGUUGUGGCAUUUUCGUUUAGGCCACCCUAAUUUUCAAUAUAUGAAACAUUUAUUUCCACAUCUCUUCUCUAAAGUUGAGAUGACUACCUUAUCUUGUGAUGUGUGUAUUCAGGCCAAACAACAUCGAGUCUCUUUUCCCUCACAACCAUACAAACCAACCCAACCCUUCACUCUUGUUCAUAGUGAUGUCUGGGGACCAUCCAAGAUAACAACCUCAUCUGGAAAACGGUGGUUCGUAACCUUCAUUGAUGAUCAUACCCGUCUUACCUGGGUCUACCUUAUCACUGAUAAAUCUGAGGUUUCCUCUAUGUUUCAAAAUUUCUAUCACACCAUUGAAACACAAUUCCAUCAAAAAAUUGCUAUUCUUCGGAGUGAUAAUGGUCGGGAAUUCCAAAACCAUAACCUUAGUGAAUUUCUUGCUUCCAAGGGGAUUGUUCAUCAAAACUCGUGCGCCUACACUCCUCAACAAAAUGGAGUGGCCGAGCGAAAAAACCGUCACCUUCUGGAAGUAGCCCGUUCCCUUAUGCUUUCUACUUCCCUUCCUUCAUACUUGUGGGGAGAUGCUAUUCUUACAGCAGCUCAUUUAAUCAAUAGAAUGCCUUCUCGUAUUCUUCAUCUUCAAACUCCCUUAGAUUGUCUUAAGGAGUCCUACCCAUCGACUCGUCAUGUUUCUGAGGUUCCUCUUCGUGUGUUUGGGUGUACCGCUUAUGUCCAUAAUUUUGGCCCUAAUCAAACCAAAUUUACCCCUCGGGCUCAGGCAUGUGUGUUUGUUGGGUAUCCCCCUCACCAGCGUGGUUAUAAAUGUUUUCACCCACCAUCCAGAAAAUACUUUGUCACUAUGGAUGUUACUUUCUGUGAGGAUCGACCCUACUUUCCCGUUAGCCAUCUUCAGGGGAGAGUGUGAGUGAAGAGUCUAACAACACCUUUGAAUUCAUCGAACCCACUCCUAGUGUCGUGUCUAACAUCAUUCCUCAUUCCAUAGUCCUACCCACAAACCAAGUCCCCUGGAAAACGUACUACAGGAGGAAUCACAAAAAGGAAGUCGGUUCCCCUACUAGUCAGCCGCCGGCUCCAGUCCAAGACUCUGAACCUCCUCGAGAUCAAGGUAUGGAAAACCCUACUGAACCCUGUACUAAGAAUAUGAUAAGUGAGAAUGACAGGUCUAAUGUUGCUGUUCUUGAAAACGUGGAAGAAAAGGACAGUGGUGAUGAGAUUGAGGUCAGAAUAGAAACCCGUAAUAAUGAAGCGGAACAGGGUCAUACAGGAAAAUCAGAUGAGUAUGAUUCCUCUCUUGACAUUCCCAUUGCUCUGAGAAAAGGCACCAGGUCUUGUACUAAACACCCCAUUUGCAAUUAUGUUUCCUACGAUAAUCUCUCUCCUCAGUUCAGAGCUUUUACAGCAAGCCUUGACUCUACCAUAAUACCAAAAGAUAUCUACACUGCUUUAAAGUAUCCUGAAUGGAAGAAUGCUGUCAUGGAAGAGAUGAAAGCUCUUGAAAAGAAUAGUACUUGGGACAUUUGUACUCUACCUAAGGGACACAAAACUGUGGGAUGCAAAUGGGUGUUCUCUCUCAAAUACAAAGCUGAUGGUACUCUUGACAGACACAAGGCAAGGUUAGUUGCGAAGGGAUUUACUCAAACCUAUGGUAUUGACUAUUCAGAAACUUUUUCUCCAGUUGCUAAGUUGAAUACUAUUAGAGUUCUGUUAUCUGUUGCUGUGAACAAAGAUUGGCCUCUAUAUCAGCUGGAUGUUAAGAAUGCCUUUUUGAAUGGAGACCUCGUAGAGGAAGUCUACAUGAGCCCUCCGCCUGGAUUUGAAGCCCAGUUUGGUCAGCAUGUGUGUAAACUCCAGAAAUCUAUAUAUGGUCUGAAACAGUCUCCCAGAGCAUGGUUUGACAGAUUCACUACCUUUGUCAAGUCCCAAGGGUACAGGCAGGGACACUCUGAUCAUACUUUAUUUACAAAGGUUUCCAAAACAGGAAAGAUUGUUGUUCUAAUAGUUUAUGUGGAUGACAUUGUUUUGACUGGAGAUGAUCAGGCAGAAAUCAGUCAACUAAAGCAGAGAAUGGGCGAUGAGUUUGAAAUCAAGGAUUUGGGAAAUUUGAAAUAUUUCCUUGGAAUGGAGGUGGCCAGAUCUAAAGAAGGUAUCUCCGUAUCUCAAAGAAAAUACAUCCUUGAUUUGUUAACCGAGACAGGUAUGUUAGGAUGUCGUCCCACUGACACUCCUAUUGAAUUCAACUGCAAACUAGGAAACUCUGAUGAUCAAGUUCCAGUUGAUAAAGAACAGUAUCAACGCCUCGUGGGUAAAUUAAUUUACUUAUCUCAUACUCGUCCUGAUAUUUCCUUUGCUGUGAGUGUUGUCAGCCAGUUUAUGCAGACCCCUAAUGAGGAACACAUGAAAGCUGUCAACAGAAUCUUGAGAUACUUAAAAUCAACACCUGGUAAAGGGCUGAUGUUUAGAAAAUCUACCUCUGGUUAUUGUACCUUUGUUUGGGGCAAUCUUGUAACUUGGAGGAGUAAGAAGCAAAGUGUUGUGGCCAGGAGCAGCGCUGAGGCUGAAUACAGAGCUAUGAGUUUAGGAAUAUGUGAGGAAAUUUGGCUUCAGAAAGUUUUGACAGAUCUUCAUCAGGAAUGUGAGACACCAUUGAAGCUUUUCUGUGAUAAUAAAGCCGCUAUUAGUAUUGCUAACAACCCUGUUCAACAUGAUAGAACUAAACAUGUUGAGAUUGAUCGACAUUUUAUCAAAGAAAAACUUGACAGUGGAAGCAUAUGCAUUCCGUACAUCCCUUCGAGUCAACAGGUUGCUGAUGUUCUUACCAAAGGGCUUCUCAGACCAAACUUCGACUUCUGCGUUAGCAAGUUGGGCCUCAUUGAUAUUUACGUCCCAACUUGAGGGGGAGUGUUGGAAUUCUUUCCUUUUUUUCUAGGCUUUUUCCUUGUUAGAAUCCUAGAAUAAUUAUGGAAAGAUUAUGGAAUGUAUUCCUUAUUUUCCUAAAUCUUUUCCUUUUUUAUUCCAUUGUGUACUCUAUUUAUUCUCCCCUGUACCUAUUGUUUUAUUCAUUAGAAAAUAAUAACAACAAACAAUCGUGGUUUUUCUCCCGGUACUCGGGUUUCCACGUAAAUUGGUGUGAACUCGUUGUCUCUCUUUUCAAUAAAAAACAACUUUUAUCAAUAAUCAAAGGUAAGGAGUUCCUACCUUAAAAAACAACACUUAUCUUAGCCUUUGUCAUUAAAGGAAACAACACUGCGCCUCCAGAAAACCACCUACCUAGUGAGAUAUCAUACCUUUAGCCAAAUUCCCAAACAUCAUAGAACCAACCUGAUAGAACACUAUUAUAGUGUUUCUAUUUUAUUGAUACCGUCAACAGGAAUUACAAUAUAAAAGAAGUAAAAAGAACAAACAAGUAAAAGAACCCUAACCCUUUGCCUUCCUCUUUUUCAAGGAAUGUUGCAGCUCAAUAUCUCACCAAAAUCUUCAUACCUUUCUUCCUUCUCCAACUUCCUAUUUAUAACUAUCUAACUGCUUUAUGUAACUAACUACCCUUAACCCUAUCUAAAUCUAGGUAUCUAACAUUACCCGGGCCUUCAAGACCACCUUGUCCUCAAAGGUGUGCUUACAAAUAUGAUCACAAAAAUUGACCCUCUUUUCUCUUUUCUUUUUUUAAUUACAACUCGUCACAGUGAUAAUAUGCUCACCAAGUUUGAAAAAAAAAAUUCCCUUCAACUUCCAAAUUUUUUUAACUCCAAACAGAUCCAUUGCUUUCAGCCCAUAGCCCAAAAUAUUCUUUCUUCAGCCCACAAACCAGCUCACUAUUACUGAAUCUUCCUUUCCCAACCUUUAGGCACGUUUUUCGUCUUCCCCAUUCUUGAAAAUCUCCACCCACUUCAUCUACACAAUAAUGGACCUCUCCUAUUUUAUUUAUAACAAGUUGAAGCACAUUUAUUUGAAGUCCAUAUAACAAAAGUUGAAGCCCACUGGAAUAAAUAAAGCCCAAGAUUUUAGGGUUUAUUUCUCUUACCCUAAUCUUAUCUCCUAUCACUUACUGCCACGUCAUUGGCAUCCUUACGUGUGCAACUUCAUCUUCUUCACGCAAUUCUCCCAUCUUCCCAAUCACCUCUCCGGACCACCGUAGAUCGUCAUUAGCUGGCGUUUUCUUCCUUCUUCGCAUCCACACGAUUGCCGAUUUCGACUUCUUCUUUUCCCAUCGCGACCAAAUAACUUCCAGCUUCUUCAUUCUCCAUCGCAACCAACCAGUUUCUGUUUAAUGGACCACAGCAAAAAUUUCUUUCUCGGAGACAGCCUCUUCUCAGCAUUAUUAAGCUUACGACUCUAGAAAGCUAUUAGGUGGCCCUCUUGGGUAAGGAUGACCCCAAGGGAAAAUUUUAAUGCGUCGGUCUCAACUACAAAUGACCAAUAUGAGGACAGGACCUCUAGUCAAUGUCACCUUUAAUUCGUCAAAACCAGUUUGACAUUCUAGUGGCCAUCUCCAAGUCUUAUCUUUCUUCAACAACUCAGUCAACGGUGCGGCUCUUCUUGAGAAUCCUUCGAUGAACUGGCGAUAGUAAUUAGCCAAUCAAAGGAAGGAACGUAACUCUGUCACAGAAGUGGGGGCUCUCCACUCCUUAAUAGCUUGCAACUUAUCUUCGUCCAUUUGAAUCUUUCCGCAUUCGAUGACAUGAUCGAGAAAAUUGAUGCGCUGUUGAGCAAAAGCACAUUUCUCUUUCUUAACAUAUAAUUGAUUCCACCAGAGCUUGUCAAAGACAAACCAAAUAUGGACCUGGUGUUCUUCAAGGCUAGAACUGAAAAAUACAAUGUCAUCGAGAUCAACCACCACAAACUGAUCUGUGUACUUGUGGAAUACCUGAUUCAUCAAAGUGCAAGAGGUUGCGGGGGAGUUUGUCAAGCCAAAGGGCAUUACGAGGAAUUCGAAGGCUCCAUACCUUGUUACACACAGUCUUCGGUUCGUUCCCUUGUUCUAUCCGAACUGGGCACUAGCUUGACCGGAGGUCGAGCUUCAAAAAGUACUGAGCUCCAUUUAAUUGGUCAAACACGUCAUUUAUGAUCAGGAUGAGAUAUUUGUUCUGAACUGUAACCUUGUUUAAAGCUCGGUAGUCUGUGCAUAGUCGAAGUGUUCCGUCUUUCUUCUUCUGAAACAGUACAGGGGCCUCAUAAGGUGCUUUCACAAGUCCGAAAAAUCCGACAACCAAUAACUCAUCUAACUGUUUCCUAAGCUCAACUAGCUCAGGUAGAGCCAUUCGGUAAGCAUUCUUUGUCGGGGGCUUGGCUCCUAGGACAAGCUCAAUCACGUGGUCGAUCCCCUGUCGAGGAGGUAAUGACUUUGGCAGUUCAGGCGGCAUGAUAUCAACAUAUUCAUUCAAAACAUUCUAAAUCUCUACUGGGGAAGUCUCAAUUUCCAUCUGCUCAUCCAAAAAUUGGAUGGCCAUAAAGGUCGACUCUUCUCUAUUGAGCCCCUAUUCAAUUUCAAGGUUAAAAUCAUUCUCACCCACUUGGUUGCUUGAUAUUUGCUUGAACUACUGUCGGAUGAUUACUCGUUACUACCAUUACACUAAGCCAGUGGCAUGGGAAUGACUUCAUGUUGUAAGAGAAACUCCAUACCGAGUUCUACAUUAAAAUCAUCCAUGCAAACAAUGAGUAAAUCAACAUCUUCUCUCCAUUCGCCUAAAUGUAUAGAUAUCUUUUUCGAUACUCCAACUAUUGACAAGGCUUCAGAAUUAACAACUUUCAUCUUGCCUAUGUCUAUCUCGAUUUUCAACUCCAACUGAUGUGCUUCUUGUUCAGAAAUGAAAUUAUGAGUUGUACCUGAGUCUACCAUGGUGCUCUUUUCGGGUUUGGAGUUUAUGACCGCGUCGACAAACAUGAGUACAUUUUUUAAAGCAUCCUUUUGGUGAGAUGCCUUAUUUUGAAUUGUUGAUAGUAAUUUUAGCGCACCCAUGCGACGGGUGUCCCUCUCAUCUUCCCUUUCAACUUCUGUUUUUGCCUCGGAAUCGUUAGAACACUGUAAGAAGGCUUUAAAAGCUGUAAACGAGCCUCGGUGUGGGCAUUCGGCUACAUGAUGAGGGCCUUUACACAAGAAGCAAGAAAUAGGUCUUGUUUGAUUCAAAUUUGACUGAUGUGCUCCUUGAGGAGCACUAGAGCUUGAGGUUUGUGGUUUAUUAUCGUUUGUCAAGCUUCUUGGGGAAUUAUGCUUGGAGAUCUUAUUCCUCGGAUUCGGUGUGCUCACAUUCUUCUUUUGGGACCCUUGGUCACCAUUGUCUCAAACAAUCUCUUUGCAGCAGCAAAAGCAAAGACAAGAUCUUGAACUUUCUGUUCGUAUAACUUAUUCCUGGCCCACAGCUUGAGUCCUUCUACAAAGCAGAAUACUGUCUUUUUUCGAUAUGUCUCGAAUGUCCAACAUGUCACCGGAGAAUUGUUUAACAUACUCUCUCAUGGUUCCCGCGUGCAAGUUCUCGCAGUUUUCUUUUAGAAAUAAAUUCUACAUUUUCAGAAAAGAAUUGAGCCCUCAGUUCUUUCUUAAGAUCUUCCUACAUAUCAAUGGUAUAUCGACCAUUUUGGACGUCAUUCACUUCCAACCUCCACUAGAGUUUUGCAUCAUCAGGCAGAUGCAUGGAGGCUAAUGUCACCUUGGUUUCUUCAGAAUUGGUUCCACUAGCCUUAAAGUACUGUUCCAUAUCAAGGAUGAAAUUUUCAAGCUUUUUAACAUCACGGUUCUCAUUAAAGGCUUUGGGUUUCAGGAUCUUGAACUUUCUCGAAACACUAUGUGCUUGAUUCGAGGUCUGGUUAUCCAUUGUUUGCAUUGUUAAAUUUACUUGCAUUUUCAUCCCAGCCAUCUCGACCUUGAUUGUCUCAAUCGUGGCUCUACAGUUGUCUGACAGAUUGCUGAACAACUUUAGCAUGGUCUUCUGGGAACAGUCAAGCCCUACAACACGCUCUUCCAUGUAUGCAAUAGACCUUGAAGAGCUACUCCCACGUUUAAAACUACCUGCUUGGGUGGUUCUAUGUUCUAACGAAUCAACCCUCAGCGCCAAUACAUUUAUGGGUAGCUCGUCUAUUUCUCCGACUUUUCAAUCCAACCCCUCUAGUCGGGUCUGGAGAAAUCUUACUUCGUCUGGCAAUUCUCUCAAAUACAAGAAUUGCUCUUCAAUCUCACUCAGUCGCUCAGACUGCAACUUCGACAGUUGUUUAAUUGCAGCUCGCUUAGCCAAAGAGCUAACAAAGCUCUGAUACCACUUUUCACAAUCACAAUUUUCAAACACGGAAUGGACAAUUGUGCGACACUUGAUCUAACUCAGUGAACAAGUCAGCCGUAUGAAAUUCGAAAGUCAUGGACAAACUUGCGGUACAAUGUAGCCUCCCUUCACGUUUGGAGAGAAAUUGAUUUUAUAAGAUGUGAGAGAGAAAGAAAAGCAUUGAAGACUGCCAAUCGCAAAGAAAGCUUAGAAAGCAAAGAGUGAAACAAGGCUUGGUCAGGGAUUACACUACUAUGUCUCGUCUAUAGUACAUUUUAAACAUUUUUAACUUUGACAAGCUUGCAUAUGAAAAUGCCGAAACGUCACACUCUAGGUCGGUGACAACAAAAGGAAAGAAAAAGACUAAACUAUGUACAAAACAUAAAGAUAAGGUGGUUUGAGGAUGUUUAAGCAUGCGGCCAUGGGCAAACAACACCUUGGACAAGCAUGCUCGUGACACCAAAUGCCUUUGCCCGCGCACCACCGUCGGAUACCUUCACAAACCAGUCAACCUUCUCCCCUCUGUCAUCCCAAGUAUAGCCAUUAUACCCUUCCGACAAUCCACACCCUCUACACACCGUCGUUGCCUUUGGUUUACGGACUGACCUCAGUUCACAUGCCAUUGCCUUUUUAUGUCUUACAGCAGCAUCAUCAUAUCCAUGGUUCCGAGAAUGAUCAAGGGUAUGCUCAGUGGUUUUGAAGUUGGUGAAUCCUUGGAAUAGUCUAAAUUAACCAAUCUACCGAUGCAUUCAAAGAACCUGGUAACUUCACUCCCUAAUUUUCCUUUGAAUUAUAUAAUUGGCUCUCUGGGAUUGUCUAUAGAAAAUUUCCAAGGGGAAAAAUUAAACAGCCAAAAUUAUUUUUUGUGGUCUUAAGUAAUCUAGAUGUUCCUUGAGGGUCGUCACCAGUUCGGGUUUCUGUCAGGAAAGACUGUCUGUCCUCCACCGGGUGAUGCCUUGGAACGACUCUAGAAAGGGAAGGACUCACUCAUUCGGCAUAUGCUAAUUAAUCUAAUGGGACAACAAAUCGACAAGCCUCUACUGUAGCCACUCCAAAAGACUUGUGGGAUACAACUAAGAAACUCUACUCAAAGCAUCAUAAUGUCUCUCAAUUGUAUACUCUGAGAAAACAGGUCCACGAUGCAAACAAGGGACCCUAGACGUGAUUUCCUAUUUCAAUAAACUCGCCCUUCUCUGGCAAAAGAUGGAUUGAGCAGAAAGACUUUGGGACAUGUCAAAUGACGGUAUACAAAAGUGCUGAAAAUAUUUAUCAUAUUUUAAAUGACAAAAGUGCUGAAAAUAUUUAUAAUUAUAGCAAAAUUUCAUAGUUUAUCAGCAUACACUGUGAUGGACAAUGCCAGCAUCUAUCAUAUCCUAAUCUAUAUAAUUAAAUAACUUAGUCAAACACAAAACAGAGUGAACAAAGAAACAAGGAAACAAUCAACCCAUGAUUAGUAAAUUUGCGCAACAGUUUUCAGAAAGGAAAAGAAAAAAGUUGAAAUAUAUAUCCGGCAAUUUCUGUGUAAAGAUUUACCUUCCAUCAUCUUGCACAUGGAUUCGCCCAUUCCUCCCUACAUUACAAUGCUGAUCUGAAUCUAGUUCCCAGACCGCAGGCUUGUUCUUUUGUGGUUGAAAAUGUCCCAGAAAUCUGACCAUUAUUUAGAAGUUAAAAUUUUUACACAAUAUCCAUGAAUUAAUAAAUAACAUCCCCAUAUUAGUAUUGGGCUGUUGUCUAUACCCAAGAAGCUACUCAUUGUUGUUUUCAAUUAAAGAUGCAAUUAAGACAUUAAUUUCACAAAAAAACACUAUUAGAAGCAAUUAUCCUAAUCAAUUAGCUCCCCUUUUCUUAUGCAGGGAGCAACUUUUAUUUUAUUUUAUGUAAUAUGCAGUCACUUCUUCAGUCAUUUAUUCUUUGAUCGAUAAAACAAAAACGAAAAAUAAGAUGAGCAUUUAUAGAAUAUUACUCAAAUAGGAAAUUAUAAAAGAGGAAUUACAGUUUGUUAUUCAAAUUUGGUAGGUUCUUUAAAGCCAAAGUCUCAGUUGUUUUGUUCUAACGCAGUCAAAGCAAUCCUUAGUGGAAUUUUGUUUGAAAGAAUUCAGUCUUUCAAGAUAAAUCAUUGGCAAGGUUGGAUCGUUCUCAAAUUGCCAGGAUUAUUGCUUCUUUCUAGAGCUCUCUUCACAAUAUUUUUUUUUGCAUAGUUUUCCAUUCAAGAUUUAUGUCCAAAUUGGAUUACUUUCUUUUAAACGAAAACAAAAUGUUUGUUGAUUAUUUCCCGUUUCGUAUUAUAUUUUAUUAUAUUGGUUGUAUUAUAUUUGCCAGAUUUAUUUUUUCCUUAUAUGCAAUGGGUUGUUCUUCUACUCUCUUUGUGAAAUAUAUAGAAAAUUACGUUUUUUGGCAUGGUAUGAGAGCAGGUUCUUGAACCUUAAACAAAAAAAGCAUAAUUUUUAAAAUUUAAAAAGACCAUAAUUUUUUUAGAACCUAAAAAACUUUAAAAUCUUAAAACUCUUUCAGUCCACUUUCGAUGCCCACAUACUCAGUGUCACAAUUGUAACCUUCCAAACACGGGAUGUGCAACUGUGUGAUACUUGUCCUAACUUAGUCAACAAGUCAAUCGUGCUAAAUCCGAAGUCGCCGGCAAAAUCACAAUAUGAUGUAGCCUCCCUUCACAUUUUAGAGAAAAUGGUUUUUAGAACGUGAGAGAGAAAAGUAUUGAAAACAUCAUUAAAGAGAGCAUUGAAGACGGUCAGCAAUAUGAGUUGUCUGUUGCAUACAAUCUCGAACAAGCUUCACCCAGUUGACGAACUUGUAGUUUAAAAAUAAACGAUGGGAACAAGGCUUCAAAUCUAAAUGAUUAUGUUGACCAUACUAAACGAGCAUGUUAUGACUAGGUAAGCGAUCGUUUGACCAUGUCAAAGUAAAAAUUUGAAAAACAAUAUAAUUAAAAAAACGGCCAACUCGCCUACCCAACCCGAAUUUUUUGGGUUAAGUUGACCUUAACAUAUUCAACCGAUAGGGUUCACUUUUUGCCAACCCGGUUACUUUGGGUUGGUCCAUAUUUUUCCUCUAACCUGGUCCAACCCAACUUAUGUACACCCGUAUUCUUCAUCAUUGGAUCUGAAAACGAGUGAUCAUAAUUAGAGUAUUUUUGGAGAUAUUAUUCUCAUAAUAUUCUUUCCUUAAGUGUAUUGUUCUUUGCCUAUAAUUAGGUUUGUACCUCUAGUAAAAUCAAUGAAAUAGAGAAUUAUUCUUGAAAACAACAUGGUAUCAAAGCUCUAGGUUUCUUUUGUCUCAUUGAAUUCUACCCGCCACAUCCUCAUUCGAUCUUUGCCUUCGUUGAUCAUUCAUCAAGAUCAACAGAGGCAGAGCCAUCCCCAAUUAGGGUUUAUCUAAAUUUUCUCAAGCAGAUGUGCGAUCGUCGCUUACUCUUUUCCAACCCAGAAACCCACCGCAAACAUCCCUCUAUUCCAACUAACCUACUCCUCAUCGAGAAACCUAGAUCCAUCUCCCGUCUGCCACUGAACCCUUCUGUUCCAGAUCCGACCUUCCUAGUGGCCGCACAUGCACAAAUUUGACCCAGCCACCACCCUUCAAGACCUUCAGAUCUGCCACCGCUGCUCAUCUUCGUUCAUGCUUUGUUCAAAUCCGAAGACGAGAGACGAUGACAACGACGACCUGCUCCGAUUAUGUUUUGUUUCCGAUUUGUUCCGGUUUGACCAGAUCCGCUUUGCACGAUUUCAUGCUUCAGUUUCGUGUUUCGUUUCAAUUCGUUCCGCUCGGCCUGAUUUCAUGCUCUGAUUUUCUACUAGUUCUACUACGGUUUCAAUUUGCUCCAGUUCCGUUCUGCCCAAUUCUGUCAAUUCCAUCACAUGUCAUUAAUAAGACUCAUCAUCGUUCCUCCCCUACUGCCUAGUUGCAUGCCCAACACAGCUAGAUUCGGUGAUGCCCAACCUAUUUGGCGUUGUUUCACCAUAGCACUUCUCCCUUGUUCGUUUCAGAUUUGUUGAGACCCUCGCCGCCAUUUGUAUCGUGUUGCUAGUUUUUGCUCAUUGCCCAAGAGUUCUUGUUUCGUUCUUCGUAGGUUCUAAUAUAGAACUCUAUACAAGGAUCUAUGUUUCUAUCCCAAAAGUUCUUCAUUUCGUUCUUUGUGGGUUUGUUUUUAGCUUAGAAGUUCUUUGUGUUCUCCAUGGAUUUCUGAUUCUAUCCUAGAUCUACUGAUUCGAUUUUUUUCUUAGCAAACUCAAGUUCAUUCUAGAACCUUGAGUUUGAGGGAGAGGGUAUUGCCGUAAUUAGAGUAUUUUUGGAGAUAUUAUUCUCAUAAUAUGCUUUCCUUAUGUGUAUUGUUCUUUGUUUAUAAUUAGGUUUGUACCUCUAGUAAAUCAAUGAAAUAGAGAAUCAUUAUUGAAAACAACAUUAUGAUCUUCCUACUGCUCUUCGUAAAGAUAAACAUAAGUGUGCUCAUCACAUUUCCAUUUUGUUUCAUAUAACCAUUUGUCGUCUUCUACAUGUUCUUUUAUUGCAUCAUUAGAGUCUGUAUCCAUUCCUAAAACUGUUCCUGAAGCCUUGUCUCAUCCUGGUUGGUGUGCUGCAAUGGUGGAGGAGAUGACAGCUUUAAAUGACAAUUGUACUUGGGAUUUAGUUUCUCUCCCAGCAAGAAAGAAGUCUAUCGGUUGAAAAUGGGUGUUUGCAGUUAAAGUUAAUCGUUCUAUUGCUCGAUUAAAAGCACGCAUUCUAGCGAAAGGCUACCCACAAACAUAUGGCAUUAACUAUUCUGAUAAUUUUCACUGUUGCAAAAAUGGCAUCAGUAGGGUUGUUUACUUCAUUAGCUUCAAUCAACCAUUGGCCUUAAAUCAGCUUGAUAUUACAAAUGCAUUCCUCCACGGUGAUCUUCAACAAGAGGUAUGUGGAGUAACCACUAGGAUGUGCUGCUCAAGGGGAUUGGAACGGUGUGUCACCUUCGAAAAUCUUUGAAUGGAGUAAAACAGUCCACAGGGCUGGUUUGAAGAAUUCGGUCAAAUGAUUGAAAGCUUUGGAAUGCGAAAAAUCACAUUAGAUCACUUGGUCUUUUUUAAGAGAUCUGAGAGUUAUGUCAUCCUGUUACUCUUAUAAGUUGAUGAUAUUGUGAUUACUGGAGAUGAUGCUCCAAGUAUACAGUCGCUAAAGACUCUCCUCAUCGCCAAUUCAAAAUAAAAUAUUUGGGCAUGUUGAAAUACUUCCUAGCUAGGAAUCAAGGUAAUAAGAAGCAAGAAAGGCAUACUAUUAUCACUGAGAAAAUAUAUACUUGACUUGUUGACUGAAACAGGGAAGCUAGGGGCUAAGCCAUGUAGUUCCCAGUGAUGCCCAACUUACAACUCCCAAGAGAUGGAGAAUUAUUAAGUAAUCCUAAAAGAUAUAGGAGGUUAGUGGAAAAAAUUAAUUACCUUACAGUGACUCGACCGGACAUAGCUUAUUCAGUGAGUAUUAUGAGCCAGUAUAUGCCAUGCCCUACAAUUGAUCAUUUGGCUACUUUGGAACAGAUUUUGUGUUAUCUGAAGGCUGCUCCUGCACGUGGUUUAUUAUAUAAGGAUUAUGGUCAUACUAAUAAUGAAUGUUUUUUAUACGCCGAUUGGGAAGGAUCCAAAGAAGGUAGAAGAUCAACUUCAGAAUAUUGUGUUUUUGUUGGUAGUAAUUUGAUUUUUUGGAAUAAUAAGAAGCAAAAUGUGGUGUCACAUUCAAGUGCGGUAUAAAAAAAUAGAGCAAUGGCACAAUCUGUGUGAAUUGAUCUGAAUAUAUCAAUUUCUUCUUGAGUUGGGAUUUGAAAUCACCAUACCAACAAAAUUGUGGUGUGAUAAUCAAGCAACAGUUCAUAUUGCAUCUAAUCCAGCGUUCCAUGAAAGAUAUUUAAGUUGAUUGUGAUUUUGUCGUGAAAAAAUUCAACAAGGUUGGAUAUCUACCGGAUAUGUGAAGACUGGAGAACAAUUAGUAGAUAUCUUCACGAAAGCAUUGAGUGGAACACGAUAGAUUAUCUAUGUAACAAGUUGAAGCAUGAUUAACAUAUAUGCUCCAACUUGAGGGAGAGUUAUAAUUCUAUUAUUGUGAAUAUCCUUGUUAUAUUUUCCUUUCUUGGUUUCUUUUGCACUUUCCUUCUUUGGUGACCAUUGAAUCUUGUAUAUAUAAUUCUUGAGUGAAUGCAAUAAUAUAUUAUGAUUAUCUCUCAAACCUAAGUGUUCUACACAAAUGAUACUGAUGCAAUCACACAGUCAUAAUAAACAGCACAAAUAGAUAUUAGCCAUUUUCCUGUUAUUAGCUGUUUUUUGUUAUUUUCAGUUAUUAGCUGUUUUCUGUUAUUUUCUGUUAUUAGCUGUUUUUUCUGUUUUCUUCAAAACUAAUCAGUUACAAUAACUGAUUAGUUACACUCAAACAAUUAGCUGUAACCAUCAUUCACAUCUAUAAAUAACCAUUCUCCUAUUAAGAAUGGCAUAUUAGAAUUCUUGAAUAAAAGAAAGGAUCCAAAUCCAACUUUGAAUUACAUCAAAGUGGUAUCAGAGCAGCCCCGAUUCUUGGACGGAUGGCUGGCCGGAGAGGAAACAACCCAGCCACGGGGGACGACCGUGCGCAAGAAGAGACGGAGGACACCGCCGCCCUCUCACCAAGGACAUCAACGGUUCGCUUGCUGGCCGUCGAGGACUCCUUGGGAGAUUUACACCGGAAGAUAGAUAGAGUCAUGGACAACUUCCAACUUGCCGAUUAAUGUACUCGUGGUCGAGUACAAUCUCCGGAGGAUGGAAUGAUGCAAUCACACAGUCAUAAUAAACAGCACAAAUAGAUAUUAGCCAUUUUCCUGUUAUUAGCUGUUUUUUGUUAUUUUCAGUUAUUAGCUGUUUUCUGUUAUUUUCUGUUAUUAGCUGUUUUUUCUGUUUUCUUCAAAACUAAUCAGUUACAAUAACUGAUUAGUUACACUCAAACAAUUAGCUGUAACCAUCAUUCACAUCCAUAAAUAACCAUUCUCCUAUUGAGAAUAGCAUAUUAGAAUUCUUGAAUAAAAGAAAGGAUCCAAAUCCAACUUUGAAUUACAUCAGAUACACAAUAAUUCAUAAUUUAAUCUACAAGAAACAGUGAUUGCUUGGGAGAAAAGAUCUACAAGGAUAAAAUCCUUUUCUCUUGCGUGAUCAUUAUCCAAUUUAAAUACAGAAGAAUGAAUAUAGGUAAGCUUACAAAUUAAUAGCAUCUUGUUUUUCUGAAUCCAUGUAGGCAUUGCUAUAAUAUCUUUGAAGAGUUCUGAAGAAUUCCUGAGACUGUGUUGCUGCUUUCCACUGUCCCCUUCUCUCAGAGAAUAUCUAUUUGCCAUCCAAGAAGCAGAAAACUUAGAAAGAUGGAAAAUGAUACCUCUACAGUUUUGAUAACGAGAACCAGUCCUCGAGCCAAAAAGGAAAAACCCCUGAUUCUUCAGAAGCAUAGUGAGUCAUGAAUUCAACAAGGAACAAUAAAACUGGUUAAAUAUAAUUUCUAUCUUACUAGAAAUUAUAUAAAAAUUCUCUUCCUGAAAUAGAUCAAACCAAUCAUCUCAUUGCACAAUAGCGAUCAAAUUCACUUAAAAUUCAAACAUUUUUCCUGAACAGUGAACAAGAAUGAAAUAGCCGUCACAUUUCUGAAGACGAUAAUGUUUUAAAUGCACAUUCCAAGGCAAUUUUUGGACUUCUACAAUUUUCAUAGCUUGUUUCAUCUAUUCUUAACCAUUAAAUUCCAUUAGCAUAUUUCAUUUUUUAUGAAAGAAAUAUUCCCUAUAAAAUAUUUUUUUUUGCUUUACUUAUUUUCUUUGAAAUGUUAGCCUCAUCUAACAACAUCUAGCCCAAAACACUUCACCACAAGACAGCAAAAAAUAAAUAAAUUCAAUGCAAUAACGAAUGCUAUGCUGGAAAAAGAAAAGCACCCCAACAUGAGAAGUACUGAAAGGAUUAACCUUUGGACAGCAUGGAGAUGAUUCAGCGAGAAAGUGCUUCAAAAGAGCUGAGCGCAUUCAAAACGGACCAACCAAAGGAAAGGAAAGCUAUGUCGUGAAAUACUUUUUUCUUUUUUAAGGAAACAAGUCUCUUUAUAAAUAUUAGUGAGACUAUUACUCAAAGUACAAGAGGGCUAUACAACAAGCAGAGAGUAAAGAGCCUAAGAGAUCAGGAGGUGCACUGGGGCAUCUCAUCUAGGUUGACACCCCCUUAGCAUCCUCACGAUAUCCACAAUAAGCUACCUUUAAUGAGUAUCUUCAUGGUACCUGAAGUAGCAAUGGUUGUAAUAGGGGCACAUGUUAAUGAUGAAAGAGAUGCUUUCGACGAGUUUUGGUACUUUUGAGAUUUAGUAGACAAACCAUGGAUAGAUUAAGCUCGUAAUUGAACUAAAUUAGACAUCACAUUGUGCCAAAAUAAUAUAUUUCUUGUAUUUCACAAAGAGAGAAGGGUUUUCUUAAAUAGAAGAACAACCCAUUACAAACAAGGAAAAAUAAAUUUGGCAAAUAUAAUACAACCAAUACAACAAAAUAAUACAAAAAAAGGAAAUAAUCAACACUCCCCCUCAAGAUGGUUUGAAGAUAUCAGUCAUUGGCAGCUUGACAAUCAAUUUGUUGAAUUGCCACUUUGGAAGGCCUUUAGUUAACACAUAUGCAAUUUGCUCAGUUGUCGGAAGAUGGUGUAUGCAUAUUACUCCCGCAUCAAUCAUUUCCUUUAUGAAGUGUUUAUAAACUUCAAUAUGUUUUGUCCUGUCAUGAAGGACUAGAUUGUGGGCAUGGGCAUUGUCUUGGUGAAUCUCAAUUCUUCCAACAAUCUUCUUAUCCAUAUACCCUCGCAAAUACCAUGGGCUAAAGCUCUAAAUUAUGCUUUUGCACUACUUCUUGCAACCACAUACUGUUUUUAACUUCGCUAUCAUGCCAAAGUAGUCCAAAACCUAGAAGAGGGACAAAAAAAUCUUUCAAAAUAUCCACAUCAUCAAAAGGUUGUACUUCCUUUUUCAACACCUCAACACCUCAUGUUCAUCUUCAAAGACAAAGUUUGAUGUUCCAAUUGAAAACACAUCCCUCAGGCGAGUAGAAGUAUUAAAAAUAUUCACCAAAAUAUUUCUCCCGUAAGCCACUCUAAUAGAUUUCAAUACCUUUUUCAACCAUAACAGGAUUCAUGAUGAACAAGAUAAUCUCAGAGAAUAGACUUGAGAAAAUCAACAUUACCCUGUUCACCUGAUGACCUCAGUAUCAACAUUACCCUGUCCACCUAUAUUUCAAGGAAUAGUUGUCUCGGACCUCUCACUUUCACUCAUUUUACUGCCAAUAUGUGAGUCAAUAGAAUCAAUCAUACCUUGAUUUUGUAAAGGAUCAAAAUCUUGGAUUAGAGACCGUUGAUUAGCAGGAGACCCAAGUUCCCUUCUAAGAUUCCUCCUAGAGUAGGUUUUCUAAGGAAUUUGGUUCGUAGUUAAGACUAUGUAGUGAGGAUCUGGGCAAGCAGCAGACUUGAUAUGGUAACGAGAGUAGGACUAGAAGACUCUAAGGAUAUCACCAAGUUAGAGUUAGACUCUUCACUAUUACUCUCCCCUGAAGAAGGCUAACAGGAAAGAAAGAACGAUUCUCAAGAAAGAUAACAUCCAUGGAGAUAAAGCACUUACAAGAAGACAGAUGGAAGUAUUUAUAGCCUCGUUGAUGCAGAGGGUAACCAACAAAAACAUAUGCUUGAGCUCGAUGGGCAAACUUGGAUGGGUUAGGGCCAUGGUUAUGAACAUAGGUUGUGCAUCUGAAUACCUGAAGAGGAACAUUAGAAAUGAGGCAGGUACAAGGAUAUGACUGUUUCAGACACUUUAAGGGGGUUUGUAGAUGUAAGACACGAGAAUGUACCAGUGGCAUUUGUUUCUUGCCUCUUGGGGGACAACCAUGUAACUUCCAAAACUGUUCUUUGGUAUGUCAUUGUUUUUUCCAAUGCUCAGAAACAGAAACUGGUUUUCCAUUGUGCUUUUCACUACCACUGGUAAAGGAUCUCGCACUAAAAGCAACAAAGUCAGUAGUAGGAGUUGCCAAAAUACUCAUAGAUCUUGUGCAAUCCUCCUCGACACGGAUUUCAAAAUAGACUUUCAUCAGGGAGAGAAUCGAUCUCUGGCCUAGUAUCUGCCCUCGUACUACAUCAAACUUAGGAUUAAGACCAGCAAGAAAGUCAUAAAUCCAGUCACUCCCUCCAAUUAUAGAGUAGUGCAAACCAUCACUGGGACUACUCCAGACUAGCUCUCUGCAUAGGUCCGUUUCCUGCCAGAUAAGAAAAAGCUUAUUAAAAAAGGAUGUGACAUCAUGGUUCCUUGCCUGCAUUCAUGAACCUGUUUCCUUAGCGUACAUAGGAGAGAGAUCUUCUGACGUUUGGAGUAGAGUGUUUGGGCAAUGUCACAAAUAUCUUUGGUUGUUGCAGCAUACAGUAAUGACUUGCCAAUCCGGGGAUCUAUACUAUUGAUCAAUAUGGAUUGAAGAAAAGAGUCCUCUCCCUUCCAAUAUUGUUCCUGUUGGUCGCCCGAUAAGGUAUUUUUCCUGUCAGAAAAUCAAAUUUAUGUCUUCCUUCAAGGACCAUUAUCACUGACUGAGACCAUGAGAAAUAGUUAUGGUCAUUCAACUUUUCCGCUGAAAGAUAUCUUGUAGACCAUGCCACUGUAUUAACCACAUAAGAAUAGGAUGUCGUAGGGAACGAGGUUACCAAAUUCUCAUAAUACAUCGGUAUAGGAGUGUUGGAUGUCGUCUCUAAGCUAGUCUCAAUUGCUGCAAUCUGUUAUUGAAACCCUUUCAAUUGUUGUUGGCUAUUCCUGAAGAGGAGAGGAAGCUUGCAUGUUAGGGUUGGAAUUCGCCGAAGAUUCACCAACCUCAAAUGUUGAGUGAAUUUGAGGAUUCUUAACAUCAGUAUGAUAACUAUGGUCGGUGAGUGGCAGGGCAUACAAAUUUGAGGGCAGAAGCGGUGGUGGCCAACCGAAAUUAGGUGGCAGUACAUGAAUCCAGGCGUGGCGAGCAAUAUAGGCUGCGGAUGAAGAAGAGGCUUGCACAAAAGGGAUGGUCGGCGCUCUCUGAGGAGGAUGGACUGGCAUGUGUAGCUCCGACGACGGCGCAUGGAGGUCCUACAGCGGUGCGUGGGUGGCGCGUGAGAGGUGGUUGGCGGUGCGAACGACAGCGUAAUCUAUGGGAUUACAUUGGCGGACGUUGUCUGAAGGCAAUGGAACCAUACAUCCAUGGUUCAUAACUUGCUUUAAAUCUACCAAGCAUUGCAUUUUACAAAAGUUCUCCACCCCUGUUUGUCUUCACCAAUUGGAAUAUGAAUGAAUGAUCUUCUGUUUGUAACCAAACGUUUUUAUUUUUGCACUUCGAAACUUCAACCCUGCCAUUUUCUAACUUUUCUUUGUUGUAAAUGUAGGAGUCCUCUAAUCUUCGAUUCAAAUCUGAGAUUGCUUCAAUGAACCAAAUAAGCCAUGUGCGAACAUCUUUUACUUGAAAAACUCCAUCAUCGUGCCAAAUACAGAAAUACAAGUUAUCGACCCUACAACGUUUAACUUCCAUCUGUCUUUGUUUCUCCUGAAAAGAAGAAAAGAAGACGAACACAAGGUAUACGUGGAAGACCCUAGUACAAAAAGAAAAAACCACGAUAGAAGCCGCUCUUAUUAUUUUCUAAUAAUUAAAAGAUUGCAAGAGGGAAGAAUAUAUAUAGGCUAUAAUAAGCCCUAACAAAAUGGGAAAUAAAACUAGGGUAUAAUAAAUUACACAAACUCUCGGAGCUAUAAACACUCCACUAGCUCCUAUUUUCCAACAAUUUCCAAUACAAAAAAGUCCAAUGUGAAGUUGUUAGGAUACUAACAAGAAUAAUCUAAAAUAUCCAAAACUUAAUGGCAUAAACGGAGACAGUAAUCUGCUAAUUUAUAUAUAUAAACCAAAAUGUGAUAACAAGUCAACAAAUGAUGAUAACGAAAAGAACAAACAACAAGAAAAACAUACCAACCUCCUCACAAUGAGCUAGGAAACUUUCAGGCUACAGCAGCCUUUACAAACAAAAGAUGAAAAUAAAAUAACCUAGCUACCCUAAACCGUAUAAAGGUCUUUAUAUAGCUCUCCUAUCUUUCCUCCCCGCAGGUCCCACCUGCACAAACUUUUUUCAGAUUCUCCCUCCGUCAUUAAAUGCCUGUUCAUUUACCUUUUUCCACUCCUCUUGUAAGUAUGAAUAAUAAGGGGUCUUACAAUACCCUUGGGCUCUAAAUUCACCUUGUCUUCAAGGUGAAAAGUCAGAAAUUGUUGGUUCAUAUGGUACACCAACUCCCAAGUAGCUUCACUCUCGAGUAAUCCCUUCUAUUUCACAAGCCAUUCAUUUGCUCCUAAUUCCCUACUUCAGCGAAUACCCACACAGUUUCAGCCCAUAGUUGCAAUUCAAAUUCUUCAGUCAGAACUGGAGAUUGAUGUUGUACUUCAUGUUGCUUUCCUAACUUCAGUUUCAGUUGAGACGUGGAAGAUGUUAUGGAUGGUAGCUUUCGGUGGCAACGGUAAACGGUUGGCUACUUCACCUACUUCUUCAAUGAUCUUGUAGGGUUCGUAGUAUUUGGGUGCAAUUUUUUCACAUCUCUUUCGAGCCAACGAGCACUGUCUGUAGGGUCUCAAUUUCAAGAAUACUUCAUCUCCCUCCUUGAAUUUAAGGGCUCUUCUUUAGAGGUCAGCCAUCUUCUUCAUUCUAUUAUGAGCUAGGCAUAAUUUUCCUUCAAAGCAUUAAUAGCCAAGUCUCUUUCCUACAACAUUGAUUCAACUUCAUUAUUUGGGGUCUUUUGAUGUCCAUAGGAUAAUCAGAGGGUGGUCUACAAUAGACAACUUGGAAAGGAGUGGUUUUUGUAGAAGCAUGGAAAGUAGUGUUGUACCAUAGCUCAGCCCAUGGAAUGAAUCUGUCCCAUCUAUGUGGUUGUUGAUUGCAAAAGUAUCUCAAGUACGUUUCUAAACAUCUAUUCACUCCUUCAGUUUUUCGUUUCAGGAUGAAACACAAAGCUUCGUUUCAAUAUUGUUCCCAUUUUUGCAAAUAGUUCCUUCCAAAAACUACUAAGGAAGAUCUUAUCUCAAUCCGAUAUGAUAGAUUUCGGAAAGCCAUGCUUCCCUACUACCCUAUCAAUAAAAACAACAGCCACCUAUUUAGCUAAGAAGGGAUGUUUUAGAGUGACAAACUAGGCAUACUUACUAAGUCGGUCAGCCACUACCAUAAUCACAUUGACACCCAACCAUAGGCAAUCCUUCUAUAAAGUCCAUCAACCAGUCUUCUGAAAUUCUGUCCAGAAUGGGAAUAGGCUGUAAGACUCCAACUGGUUUUGUGGCUUCAAACUUGUUUCUUUGGCAUGUGUCACACUGCUCUACAUACCUCUUCAGCUCUAACUUCAUUCCUAGCCAAUGCAACUCUCCACUCAUUCUUUUGUAGGUUUUUAGGAAUUUGGAGUGACCCUGUAAGAUUGAAUCAUGAAAGGUGUGCAACAAAUUAGGUAUGAGUGAGGAAGUUUUUGAGAUGACCACCCUUCCUUUAUACAACAAUAUUCCGUUUUCCCAUUGAUAUUUAUUGUAUUCCUCGGGAUUCUUCAUUAGACAGUCAAUGAUUUGCUGGAUUUCCUUGUCUUUCUCUACUUCCUUCCGGACCACGUCUAUGUCAACAAUUCCUUGAGUUGUCAGAGUUCAGUUUAGGUGGUUGUUCCAUACUUGAUAAAGCAUCCAUUGCCUUAUUUUGGAGUCCCAGUUGGUAGAGGAUUUCAAAAUCAUAACCAAGGAGCUUAGUCAACCAUUUUUGAAACUGUGGUUUGGUUGUACCUCCCUCUGUUCCAGCAAGAAUUUUAAAGCCUUCUGAUCAGAAAUGAUAGUAAAUUUCCUGCCCAAGAGAUAGUGCCUCCAUUUUUGCCCGGCAAUUACUACAGCCAUCAACUCUCUUCCAUAUAUGGAUUUAGUUUGAGCUUUUGGUGACAACUUCUGACUAUAGAAUGCAAUUGGGUGACCGUUUUGAGAUAAUACAGCCCCUAAGCCCAUUCCUGAAGCAUCAGUUUCAACAAGAAAAGGGAGAAACCAAUCCAGCAAGGCCAACACAAGGAUAGUGGUCAUAGCUAACUUAAGUUUCUCAAAAGCUGUAGAGGCUACUUCACUCCAUUUAAAAGAGUAAUACUUCUACUCGCAUGGGGGAUGAGUUUUCAAUUGGAACAUCAAACUCUGUCUUUAUAGAUUCAACAUGGUGUGUUGACGUGUUGUAAAGGAAGUACAACCUUUUGUUCCGCUUUUGGGUUUGGACUUCUUUGGCAAAAUGGCUUAGAGAUCACCGUCUGCAUCUUUUGCUAGUCUCUAGAUCCAAACGGUUUCCUUUUGAGAGAGUUAUUUUGUUAUGCUUUGUAUCUAGAUCUCUUCGUUUUGGUUCAGCUUUAACUUCUUCUUUUUUUUGUUGGUUUUCGCCUUUUUAGCCUGUUCUCUGUGUUUGUUUGCUUUGGUCGUUUUCCCUUGUAUUGGUCGAGAUCUUUUUUGGGCAGUUUGUUUGGAUGUUUUUGUCUUUUCUUGUUUUGCUCUUUGUAUAAUUCUCUUGUACUUUGAGCAUGAGUCUCAUUUUCCUUUAUUAAUAAAGAAGCUUGUAUCCGUUUAAAAAAAAAAAGAGUUCUUCUGUGAAAGCCUAGUUAGCGGAGCAACAAUUUCUCCAUAUCCUUUACGAAUCUCCUAUAGUACCCAGUGAGGCUUAAGAAUCCUCUCAGCCCUGUUACAUCCUUCGGUUGAGCCCAAUUAAUCAUACUUUUAAUUUUCUCCUCAUCAGCUUCUGCUCCCGUUUUGGAAAUUUGAUGCCCUAGGUACUGAAUCUUAGAGUAUGCUAUCAUACAUUUCCUUUUGUUGGCAAAUAGUUGAUUGUCUCUCAAAACAGGAAAUACAAUUCCCAAGUGUUUGUCGUGUUCAGUGAUAUCAGCACUAUAAACUAAUAUAUUGUCAAAAAAACUAACAAACAACGCCUUAAGAAAGGUUUAAAUACCUGGUUCAUGAGGGAUUGGAAGGUAGCAGGGGCAUUAAUGAGACCGAAAGGCAUUACAAGAAAUUCGUAAUGGCCCUCGUGCGUUUUGAAUGCUGUCUCCUCAAUGUCCUCUUUCCUCAUUCUGAUUUGGUGAUAUCCAGAUUUCAGGUCCAGCUUCAAAAAAAUCAUAGCUCCAUGUAGUUCAUCUAACAAUUCUUCUAUAAUUGCCAUGAGAAAUUUAUCAGAAGUGGUCACUUGGUUCAGCUUCCUGUAGUCUACGCAAAACCUCCACCCUUCAUCUUUUUCCUUAACUAGCAAUGUUGGGCUUAAGUAGGGACUAUGACUAGGUCUAAUUACCCCUGUUUGAAGCAUCUCUAGCACCAGCUUCUCAAUCUCUUCUUUCUGAACAUGACCAUACUUAUAGGGCCGCACAUUCAUCGGUCUUUGUUUAGGCAUGCAGGAUGCCAUGAUCAAUGGCCCUCUUGGGUGGUAGUCCUUUUGGUGCCUUAAAGAUAUCCCCAUAUUGUCUCAAUAGUGACUUGAUCAUGGGCAGGUCUUCCUCAUCUCCCUUCAUCCCUACUUUCUCCUCAAACUCAUCUUCCCCUUCAAUUUCAUAGUGUUGAAACCCAAGAAGGAACCCUUAAUCCUCUUCCCCCCCAUGUCUUUUCUAACGUCUUUAAGGAACACUCAACUUUAAUGAGAGCAGGAUCUCCUUUUAGAAUUAUCUGUUUUUCCCCCACCCAAAAGGUCAUGGUUAAUGAGGGCCAAUGAGCUUUCAUAGUUCCUAUAGUAUCCAACCACUUCAUUCCUAACACAACAUUCACGCUUCCCAACUCCACAGCCAAGAAAUCUGCUCCAAUAAUCAUCUCAUUCAGCUUUAGUUCAACCCUCUUACACAACCCAUUUCCUUUACAACGCGUGCCAUUGCCAAUAGUGAACCCUGUUGCUUUUAUGGAAUAAAUCUUUAUAUCAUUGAUCAUUUAGCAAAAGUACAAGACUAAAUAUACUAAAUGAGGAAUAAACUUAAGGAAAGAAUCGACGGAAUAAUAUCUCCUAAAAAUACUCUAAAUACUUCAAUACCCUCCCUCAAACUCAAGGUUCAAAUCACGAAAUUGAGUUUGCUAAGAAAAGAAACUGAUGUAAACUAUAGCUAGUUAGUUAGUAAAAAUCCCUAACUAAUUAGAAAUACAACUGUAACUAACUUCCUAAAACAGUCUUGUAACUAACUAAAUAAAACAACCUUGUAACUAACCUUGAGAUAUCAAUAUAUAACAGUCUCCUAGCCUGAAAUAUGGCAGAGAAUUCUUUUGAGAAAUCAAUCCAACUUUGAAUUACAUCAAAUUGGUAUCAGAGCAGCCCCGAUUCUUGGACGGAAUGGCUGGCCGAAGAGUUAACAACCCUGCCACGGGGGAAAACCGUGUGCAAGAAGCAGCGGAGGAAAUCACCGCCCUCUCUCCAAAGACAUCAACAGUACGCUUGCUGGCUGUUGAGGAAUCUUUGGGAGAUCUCCACAACAAAUUUGAUAGAUUGAUGGAAAGUGUCGAACUGUUAAGCCGAAGAGAAGAAUUCCCACAACCACCACCAUGGAAUGAAAUUAACUUCCAAAACGACCAACGUUUUGGUGAAGCAAGAGGCCGGCGAGCAAGGGGAUACUUUAGAAACAUGAACAAUCCACGAGGACUUCAAAGAAGGAGACCCGGUUACGCUAUACAGCAACAGCUUGAUGAAAACUUUCAAGAAGAUCAAGAAGCUUGGCAAGAAACCCAAGAAGAUGAUUCUUCAAGCGGGGAUGAACAAGGAAACAUGUGGAACCUCAACGAUGAUGUACGAGCAGGAAGAAAUAACCGAAGAAUUGAGGUCAGAAGAGGAGGAUACCAAGAUUAUAAGAUGAAGAUUGACCUUCCCAUGUAUGAUGGCAAACGAAAUAUAGAAGCAUUCUUGGACUGGAUAAAGAGUACUGAAAACUUCUUCAACUACAUGGAUACGCCUGAUCGCAAGAAAGUCCACCUAGUAGCCUUAAAAUUAAGGACUGGUGCAUCAACUUGGUGGGACCAGUUAGAAAUUAAUAGACAAAGAUGUGGAAAACAACCGGUUCGCUCGUGGGAAAAGAUGAAAAAGUUGCUGAAAGCAAGAUUCUUACCCCCAAACUACGAACAAACUUUAUACAAUCAGUACCAAAACUGCCGCCAAGGUGUCCGGUCAGUAGCUGAGUACAUUGAAGAAUUCCACCGCCUGAGUGCAAGAACAAACCUAAGCGAAAAUGAACAACAUCAGGUUGCAAGAUUUGUGGGAGGCCUCCGAUUCGACAUCAAGGAAAAGGUCAGACUACAACCAUUCCGUUUCCUGUCUGAAGCAAUAUCAUUUGCAGAAACAGUGGAGGAGAUGAUUGCAAUUCGAUCCAAGAACCUAAAUAGAAGAUCAGCAUGGGAAACAACUUCGACAAAAAGCAAAACAAACGACCAACCGUCAACCUCAACAAAAGCAAAAGGGAAAGAAAUUGAUAAUCAAGAAGUAGUCGUUGAAAGAAAGAAAGAACAAACGUUCAAACCUAGUAGUUAGAACAGCUACUCCCGCCCGUCAUUAGGAAAAUGCUUCCGAUGUGGCCAAACUGGCCACCUGUCCAACAACUGUCCGCAAAGAAAAACCAUUGCAAUAGCCGAAGAAGGAGGACAGACGAGUGAAGACAGUAUAGAAGCAGAAGAAGAAACUGAACUGAUUGAAGCAGAUGAUGGGGAAAGGGUCUCUUGUGUUAUCUAACGGUUACUAAUUACGCCCAAGGAAGAAAAGAACCUGCAACGCCACUGUCUUUUCAAGACAAGAUGCACCAUAAGUGGAAGAGUAUGUGAUGUAAUCAUAGACAACGGCAGCAGUGAAAACUUCGUAGCAAAGAAAUUAGUAACAGUCUUGAAUCUAAAGGCUGAAGCACAUCCAAACCCUUACAAGAUAGGUUGGGUAAGAAAAGGAGGAGAAGCCACGGUCAGCGAAAUCUGUACAGUCCCUCUCUCCAUUGGAAACGCCUACAAAGACCAAAUUGUUUGUGAUGUCAUUGAGAUGGAUGUAUGUCAUCUCCUACUAGGAAGACCUUGGCAGUAUGAUACUCAAUCAUUACACAAAGGGAGAGAAAAUACAUAUGAGUUUCAAUGGAUGGGAAGAAAGGUAGUUUUACUCCCUAUAACAAAAAAGAUUAACGAAGGAGUAAGAGGUGAGAAACAGUUAUUCAUCACUGUUAGUGGGAAAAAUAUGCUUAAAGAAAGGGAACAAGACAUCCUAGGACUGGUUGUUAUUGAAAAAACCAAAGAAAAACAGGUUGAAGACAUAGAACCCAAAUUACAGCAGCUCCUUCAUGAGUUCCCACAUAUAAAGGAAGAACCGAAGGGACUCCCACCCCUUCGAAACAUACAGCACCACAUAGACUUGAUUCCGGGAGCAUCACUACCAAAUUUGGCUCACUACAGGAUGAGCCCCCAAGAGUACAAAAUACUUCAUGAUCAUAUUGAGGAAUUACUAAAGAAAGGCACAUCAAACCGAGCCUCAGCCCAUGUGCAGUACCAGCACUUCUCACGCCAAAGAAAGAUGGAAGCUGGAGAAUGUGCGUUGACAGCAGAGCCAUCAACCGUAUCACGGUAAAGUAUAGAUUUCCCAUUCCAAGGAUUAGUGACCUGCUAGAUCAACUCGGUAAAGCCAGUAUUUUUUCGAAGAUUGACUUAAAAAGUGGCUAUCAUCAAAUACGGGUAAGACCUGGCGACGAAUGGAAGACAACCUUCAAGACAAACGAAGGAUUAUUUGAAUGGAUGGUCAUGCCAUUCGGCCUUUCUAAUGCACCUAGCACCUUCAUGAGAUUGAUGAACCAGGUACUUCACCCAUUUCUCAACAAAUUCAUAGUAGUUUACUUCGAUGACAUACUUGUUUACAGCACAAACAAUGAUGAGCAUUUACUACACCUAAGGAAGCUGUUCCAAGUCUUAACAGAGGCAGAACUCUACAUAAAUAUUAAGAAAAGCAUGUUUAUGAAAAAAGAAAUUGCAUUCCUCGGCUUUAUAAUCAAACAAGGAAGCAUAAGCAUGGAACCAAAGAAAAUCGAAGCCAUCCAUACAUGGCCGACUCCUGCCUCCAUUAAAGAAAUACAAGCCUUCCUCGGCCUGGCUUCGUUUUACAGGAAAUUCAUCAGAAACUUCAGCUCUUUAGCCGCACCCCUAACUGACUGUCUAAAGAAAGGAAACUUCAAAUGGACCCCAUUACAACAAGAAAGCUUUGAAGAUAUCAAAAAGAAGCUAACAUCCAGCCCUAUCCUUAAAUUACCAGACUUCUCUUCACCUUUUGAAGUAGCAGUUGAUGCAUGCUGCACAGGGAUUGGAGCUGUCCUAGUUCAACAAGGACAUCCUAUCGAAUACUUCAGUGAAAAACUCAGCACCUCAAGACAGACCUGGAGCACAUACGAACAAGAGCUGUAUGCCCUUGUCCGAGCACUAAAACAAUGGGAACACUACCUGCUUUCUAAAGAAUUUGUACUCCUAACUGACCAUUUCUCGCUAAAAUACCUUCAAGCUCAAAAGAAUAUCAGUAGGAUGCACGCACGCUGGAUAUCCUUCCUUCAAAGGUUUGACUUCGUGAUCAAACACCAAUCAGGCAAAGAGAACAAGGUGGCCGAUGCUCUAAGCAGAAAAGGCUCCCUACUCACACUACUGUCUUCGGAAAUCAUAGCAUUCAAACAUUUACCCGACUUAUACGAAGAAGAUAUUGACUUAAAGGAUAUCUGGUACAAAUGCUCCAACUUCUUAGACGCUGAUGACUACCACAUUGUUGAGGGAUAUCUAUUUAAAGGAGAACAGUUAUGCAUCCCGCACACCUCACUACGUGAAGCCUUAAUAAAAGAAGCACAUUCUGGAGGGCUAGCUGGACAUUUCGGACAGAAUAAGACAUUGGAGAUCACUUCCAAACGAUACUAUUGGCCGCAAAUAAGAAAAGACUCCAAUAAUUUCGUAAAGAGAUGCCCCAUCUGCCAAAGAACCAAAGGCUCCAGCACGAAUGCAGGAUUAUACUCGCCACUACCCAUCCCGACCUCAAUAUGGGAAGAUUUAUCAAUUGACUUUGUGGUUGGAUUACCAAAAACACAAAGACAAUUUGACUCAAUAAUGGUCAUAGUAGCAGAUUCAGCAAAAUGACACAUUUCGUAGCAUGCAAAAAGACAAAUGAUGCAAUCUACAUAGCCAACCUCUUCUUUAGAGAAGUAGUACGACUUCAUGGAGUACCUAAAAGCAUAGUAUCAGACAGAGAUGUCAAGUUCCUGAGUCACUUUUGGCGAACACUGUGGAAGAAGUUUGACACAACACUGAAAUUCAGCACCACAGCCCACCCACAGACAGAUGGACAAACUGAAGUAACAAACAGGACCCUCGGUAAUCUGCUACGCUGCCUUAGCGGGUCAAAACCAAAACAAUGGGAUCUAGCAUUGGCUCAAGCUGAAUUCGCCUUCAAUAAUAUGAAGAACAGAUCAACAGGAAAGUCCCCCUUCGAAGUAGUUUAUACCAAACUACCACGAUUAACCUUUGAUCUCACUACACUCCCUACAACCCUGGAUCUCAACAACGAAGCAGAAUGCAUGGCAGAAAACAUCAAAAAACUACACAAGGAAGUCCAUGAUCAUCUUAUACAGACAACAGACUCCUACAAAAAGGCAGCAGAUAAAAAAAGAAGACAAGCCCACUUCAACAAAGGAGAUCUAGUAAUGGUACACCUAAAAAAGAGCAGAUUUCCUACUGGCACCUACAACAAGCUGAAAGACAGACAAAUUGGACCAUUCCAUAUAUUAGAGAAAUACGGAGAUAAUGCCUUCAAGAUCGAUCUACCACAAGACAUACACAUACACCCAGUCUUCAAUGUUGCUGACCUAAAGCCAUACCAUGCACCAGAUCGCUUCAGGCUUGCUGACUGAUGGACCCUGGGACGAGUCCAUCCUUAGGGGGGUGGAAUGAUGUAAACUAUAGCUAGUUAGUUAGUAAAAAUCCCUAACUAAUUAGAAAUACAGCUGUAACUAACUUCCUAAAACAGUCUUGUAACUAACUAAAUAAAACAACCUUGUAACUAACCUUGAGAUAUCAAUAUAUAACAGUCUCCUAGCCUGAAAUAUGGCAGAGAAUUCUUUUGAGAAAUCAAUCCAACUUUGAAUUACAUCAGAAACAAAUCAGUAGAUCAGAAGCCCACAGAGAACAAACACAAAGAACUUCUAGGCUAAAAAAAAUCCACGAAGAACAAAACAAAGAACUUCUGGGAUAGAAACAUAGAUCCUCUAUAGAGAUCUAUAAAAGAACCUACAAAGAACAAAACAAGAACUCUUGGGAUUGAUAGGGAGAUGGCAGAACGCAAAGUAAGGCAUGAGGGGAAGGUUGGCUGGAUCUGGAGUGGACGGAUCGAAAUCAAACAAAGACGAGCUGAACAGAUCUUCAAACGAGACUGGAUCUGUGGGACAGAGCAGAUGGAAACCGGAGCUGUGCAUGACAAAUCUGAACUGAAACUGGUCGAUAGUGGAGCAAAUCAGAACCAGAUGCGGAAACUAAAUCAGAGCAGGUUGGAAUCAGACUGAACGAAUUCAAAAUCUGGAGGUGAACAGAACAAAAAGUGAACUUAUCAGAGCUGAGAGGCUGAGCAGAACUAAACAAAAAAUGAAUCGGGGGCAGAUGGUGGUGAAAACGAAGAAGACGACUGGGAUUUGGAUGGUGGCAGAUUUGAGCGGCAAAGGGAAUUAAGGUGCGGCGAUGGUGGUAGAUUUGGAGAUCUAAGGGGCAGCGGCGGAGACGGCUAAUGGGGGAUGGCUCGACCUCUGUCGACGAAUGAUCAAUGGAGGCAGACAUCGAACGUGGAUGUGGGGGCUAGAUUCAAUGAGACAAAAGAAACCUAGAGCUCUGAUACCAUGUUGCUUUUAUGGAAUAAAUCUUUAUUUCAUUGAUCAUUUAGCAAAAGUACAAGACUAAAUAUACUAAAUGAGGAAUAAACUUAAGGAAAGAAUCGACAUAAUAAUAUCUCCUAUAAAUACUCUAAAUACUCCAAUAAUCAUCUCAUUCAGCUUUAGUUCAACCCUCUUACACAACCCCUUUCCUUUACAACGCGUGCCAUUGCCAAUAGUGAACCCCAAACUCAGUACCCUUCACAACUAAGAUUUCCCUAUCCUCCACUAAUUCUGGUGUAUAAAGUUGUGUGUGGCCCCCCUAUCAUUCAGCUUUAGUUCAAUCUUCUAUGCACUUGGAUAUCAUAGAAGGAACUGAAAUUGAGCUAAAAACGAUUACUGGAUUUUCUUCAAAGGGAACCAUGAAGAUGAAAGGGAUGGUAAAAUGGAAAGAAUUAGUGGAGGAUAGGGAAAUCUUAGUUUUUCUUCCAUCUAUCAUUGAGCCAUUGCGAGUGUAAAAACCUCCAGUUUCAUGGCUCUGAUACCAGUUGUUAGGAUACUAACAAGAAUAAUCUAAAAUAUCCCAACUUAAUGGCAGAAACUGAGACAGUACUCUGCUGAUUUAUAUAUAGACAUAACCAAAAAUGUGAUAACAAAUCCAAAGAUGACGAUAACGAAAAGAACAAACAACAAGAAAAACAUAUCAGCCUCCUGACAAUGAGCUGAGAAACUUGCUACAGCAGCCUUUACAACCAAAAGAUGGAAGAUAAAAUAACCUAGCUACCCUAAACCCAAUAAAGGUUUAUAUAUAGCUCUCCUAUCUUCCUCCCCGCGAGUCCCACCUGCACAAACUUUUUCAGAUUAUUCCUCCAUCAUUAAAUGCUUGUUCAUUUACCUUUUUACCCCUCCUCUUGUACGUAUAAAUAAUAGGGGAUCUUACAGAAGUCUGAUUGGAGCAAAUACAAGAUGGUUUGAGCUACACUACAUUCAAUUGAGUUAUUAUAUCAUGGGGGGAGACAUUUCUGAGCAUAUUUGCUACAUCGGCAGUUUAUAUAAAUAAAUAUAGUAGACGCUACAAAAAGCUUGAAUCUUCUUAAAGGGAGCAAGAUACUCUCUCCUCAAACAAAUUGUGUGAGUUUGUUUUUCAAUAUCUACUCCAUUAUUCUUGUUUGGUCAAUAGAAUUUUAUCUAUAACGUCAAUGAUUAAAUUAUCAUAUUAAUAUCAAAUUAAAAUAAUAAUAACAAUGUUAACUAAAGAUUGAAUUACAUUUCCCACAAUGGAAGCACUUUGGAAGAUAUUGGGCGUACCUUAUUGUGGGCUGCUGAGCCACCAUACUGGUGUGCGAGUGUGUCACCCAUUCUCUCAUAAAAUGCCAUCAACUCAUCAGCUAAAGGGGCAUCAAGAUGGAUUUUGGGGGAAUCUAAAAUUUCCAAGGCAUGAAGCUGGUGUCCAAGAGCAGCAAACCCGUAUGCAUAUUGUGCAACAUUUGUACGGUCGAGGCAGUCUAUGCAAUUGGUCCUGAGCACCCCACUCUGGAAUAACGACUGCUUAAUAAUGUAAUUCCCAUUAGAAGCAAGGUUGUCCGCACUUAUUUGCUUUUCCAUGCUAGCAGCAUCUUCGACAUCAUUGUUUGAAUGUAACUGAGAAGAUAUGCUACAAUUUCCUUCACUCCUGAAAGAAAGUUUGCAUAUAAAGUUUAUUGUCGGGAAGAGUCAAGAAACAUGCUACCAGAAAAGUGACACCAUUGCCAACCAGACUGUACUCCUUGGCUAAAAUCUAUCGUUCAUUCUUACAUUGAGAGGGAGACAUCAGCUCAGAAACAUAACCAUGGAAAAAAAAAUGUGAAUAUGCAUAGUAACCAACUAAGAAGCACAGACACCUAAGUUUGGCUAGCGUGUUCAUGUCAAGCACUCUAACACUUGUUUGACACAUAUAAGACACUUGUUAAUGCAACAAAUUUGUUAGACAUGAUGAAAUAUUGGUCAAGUAGAGAUUAAAAAGGCAUAUAUUUGGGCAGUAAUCAUAAAUUCUUAGGGUGAAAUGCAUCAAGCUAAGUUUUUAAACAUCUAAAUGCAUCAACAUGUUUGCUUUAAACCUUCUUUUGGUGUAAAAAUGAUGUAUAUUUUUUAAAAAAUCAUUUCAAUAAAUCUGUUCUUGUGUUUUAAAAGAAUAUUGUGUUGUGUUCUACCCAUGCUUAAUAGCUAACCAGCCAUCACUUUGGCCAAAUCCAUAUAGAUAUUAGUUUUGGAUAAAUAGGUGAGACCUAGUGGACAUGUACGGUAUAUAAUCAGACAGAAGAAAGGGCCAUGAACUACGUACAGUGUAAAAAUAUCUAAUAUAAUCAGCUCAAAUCACUAAGAAGGCAUGGGCGUUUGGAGCAACAAAUGGGUUAUUAUAGUCCUAGGUUAUUAUAUUUGAGUUAUAAUAAUUUGUGUUUUGUAUGUAGAUUAUUUUAGUUUGGAUUAUGAUAGUAUGUGUUUCAGGUGUAAAUUGUUUUAGUUCGAGAAGGAAGUGGUAAACAGUGUAGAAGGAAAUAGCAAACAUUGUAGAAAAAAAUAAAAAUGAUGAAUGUAAAAUAGUAAAAAUUGUAGCAAAUAGUAAAUACCGUAGAAAAUGGGAAUGAUAAAAUAGUAUUUAUUAUAGCUAAUUGAGAACUUUAUCUUUUAAAGGAAACAAGAUUCUGUCAGGCUCCCAAACACAAAUAACUAAUAAAAGACCCAACAGUGGCUAAACAGAGUCAGUACUCUGCUAUUUUUUAUUUAUAUAUAAGCCAAAAUAUCACAAGCAACAAGAUAAACGAUAACGAAAGAAAGAAAUACCCAGAAAAACAUACCAGCUCUCUUUACAAGAAGGAUACUACCCUCUUGCGGCUACAGCAGCCUGCCCUCCUAAAGAAGAUUCCCAAAAUAAAACCUACCCAGCCUAUUACAACAUUUCCUAUUUAUAGUUCUCCUAAAAUUCCACCCAGUGGCCCAUUCAGCACGUGCUCCUUCCCCAUCAUUCUUUCUUAUUAUUAGCUGGUGAAUUCUCAUUUCUGCCCCUCCUCAAAUACGUAUGUAUAAUUGGUGGUCUAACAAUACCUUUCGAUUCCAGAUUCACCUUGUCCUCAAGGUGGAAUGUGGGGAAUUGUUGAUUCAUCUGGUAUACAGCUUUCCAGGUAGCUUCUGAUUCAGGUAGAUUCUUCCAUUUGACUAACCAUUUAUUCGCUUCCAGCUCCUUAUUCCAACAGAUUCCCAAUACCGUCUCAAGCCAUAACUGUAGCUCAAAGUCCUCUGUCAAUAUAGGAUGUUGUUGCUGGACCACUUGUUGAUUUCCCAGCUUGAGUUUUAGUUGGGAGAUGCGAAAAACAUUGUGAAUAAUUGCUUCCGGGGGGAGUUGAAGCCUGUAUGCUACUUCUCCUAUUUCUUCAAUGAUUGGAUAUGGUCCAUAAAAUCUAGGGGCCAGUUUUUCACAUCUUUUGCGAGCUAACGAGCGUUGCCUAUAAGGACGGAGUUUCAAGUAUACUUCAUCUCCUAUUCUGAAUUUCAGUUCCCUUCUUUUUGUGUCUGCCAUUUUCUUCAUACGAUUUUGUGCCCCAGUCAGAUUCUCCUUCAGAGCAUUCAAUGCUAAGUCCCUUUCUUUUAAUAUUAACUCUACUUCAUUGUUCGGAGUUUUUCUAUUCCCAUAAGAAAUGGGGGGGGGGGGUUGUCUUCCAUACACCGUUUGGAAAGGGCUGGAUCUCGUGGAGGAGUGGAAUGUUGUAUUAUACCACAACUCAGCCCAUGGAAUAAACUUAUCCCACUUGUGCGGUUGCGCGUUGCAAAAGCAUCUUAGAUAUGUCUCCACACACUGAUUGACUCUUUCAGUCUAUCUAUCGGUUUGGGGGUAAAAAGCGGUACUUCUUUUCAAUUUAGUUCCCAUGGAUGCAAACAAUUCUUUCCAAAAAUGACUAAUGAAGAUUUUAUCCCUGUCGGAUAUUAAUGAUUUAGGUAUUCCAUGUUGGCUGACCACUCUUUCAACAAACACUUUGGCUACCUGUUUUAGCUGUGAAUGGGUGUUCCAUGGUAACGAAAUGAGCAUACUUGCUUAAUCUGUCCACAAUGACCAUGAUCACGUUCAUUCCUCCCGCUUUUGGCAAUCCUUCUAUGAAAUCCAUGGACCACUCCUCCAAUAUGGCUUUCGGAAAGGGUAUUGGUUGAAGUACCCCUGCUGGUUUUGUGGCUUCAUAUUUGUUCCUUUGACAUACCUCACAUUGCUCGACGUAUUUCUUGAUGCCUGUUUUCAUUCCUUUCCAAUACAGCUCUCCGCUCAUUCUUUUAUAGGUUCUUAGGAACCCUGAAUGCCCUCCUAGAAGGGAAUCAUGGAAAGUAUGCAUCAACGUCGGUAUCAAUGAAGAAUUUCUGGAAAGCACAACUCUGUUCUUGUAAAGAAGUUUCCCAUUCUCCAAACGGUAUUUACUCCCUUUCUCGGAACCAUGUUGUAACUCCUCCCUAAUUCUUUGGAGUUCUGUAUCUUGCAGCACUUCCCGAUUCACUAUUUCCAUAUUCACAAUUCGUACCGUGGACAUCGAAUUCAUUUCCAUUGGUUGUUCGAUUCUACAGAGUGCAUCUGCUGCCUUGUUUUGUAGCCCCGGUUGAUAUAGUAUCUCGAAAUCAUAUCCUAGUAGUUUGGUUAACCACUUUUGGAACUGCAGUUGUACCUCCCUCUGUUCCAGCAGAAACUUGAGUGCUUUCUGAUCUGAUAUAAUUGUAAAUUUCCUCCCAAGGAGGUAAUGCCUCCAUUUCUACACGGACAGUACGACAGCCAUGAGUUCUCUUUCAUAAACCGAUUUGGAUUGUGCUCUGCUGGAUAAUUUUUGGCUGAAGAUGGCUAUGGGAUGCCCAUUUUGAGAUAGUACCGCCCCCAACCCUAUGCCCGAUGUGUCUGUUUCAAUAAUAAACGAUAGAUUCCAGUUAGGCAACGCUAGAACGGGGAUGGUAGUCAUGGCUAUCUUUAAUUUUUCAAAAGCUGCAGAGGCGUCUUCAUUCCAGAAGGAGUUCUUCUGGAGUUUAGUUAGUGGGGCGGCAAUUUCGCCAUAUCCCUAGAAAAUCUCCUAUAGUAGCAGGUCAAGCCUAAGAAUCCUCGCAAUCUGGUCACAUCCUUGGGUUGAGGCCAGUUUGUCAUAUCCUUAAUUUUCUCUUCAUCCGCUUCUACACCUUUACUGGAGAUCAUGUGUCCUAAGUAUUGGAUUUGAGAGUGCUAUUACGCACUCUUUCUUAUUCGCGAACAAUUGAUUAUCCCUCAUGACACCAAAGACCAUACCCAAAUGUUUCGCAUAUUCCGACAGAUCAAUGCUAUACACUAAAAUAUCGUCAAAAAACCAAUACACAGCGUCUUAAGAAGGGUUUGAAUACCUGGUUCAUCAAGGAUUGAAAGGUGGCUGGCGCAUUGGUGAGACCGAAAGGUAUCACAACAAAUUCAUAGUGUCCCUCGUGUGUUCUAAACGCUGUUUUUUCAAUGUCUUCCUCCAUACAUAUUUGGUGAUACCCCGAUUUUAGAUCCAACUUCGAGAAUACCGUGGCUCCAUGUAAUUCAUCCAGCAGCUCCUCUAUUACUAGAAUGGGGAAUUUAUCUGAAGUGGUCACCUGAUUUAGCUUUCUGUAGUCCACACAAAAACGCCAUCCCCCAUCCUUUUUCUUAACUAACAAGACGACUGGAAUAAGGACUACGGCUGGGCCUGAUCACUCCUGCUUGUAGCAUUUCCACCACCAACUUCUCAAUCUCUUCUUUUUGCACGUGUCCAUAUUUAUAUGGUCGUACAUUAAUUGGUUGUUGAUUCGGCAUUACCAUGAUGCGGUGGUCUAUUGCUCUCUUAGGUGGUAACCCCUUUGGAUCUUCAAAUAGAUCGGUAUACUGUUGCAACAGCGUUCUGAUCAUGGGAGUGUCUUCUUCAUCCCCUUUUUUAGUCAGUUCCUCAAUUCCAUUUUCAUUCUCUUCAAUCUCAUAGUUGACUAGUGAUAAUAAAAACCCUUGAUCUUCCUUCUCCCAGGUUUUUUCAAUCGUCUUCAAGGAGCAUUCUGCUCAGAUGAGGGAAGGGUCCCCUUUUAGUUCAAUUUGCUUUCUUCCGACCCAAAAGGACAUGGUCAGUGACGGCCAAUGUAUUUUCAUAGUGCCUGUGGUGUCUAACCACUGCAUUCCUAGGAUUGCAUCUACAUUUCCCAUCUCGAUUAUCAAAAAAUCUGCCACUACUGUGAUCCCCUGUAGUUUCACUUCCAGCCUCUUACAUAAUCCUCUCCCUUUACAACAAGUCCCGUCCCCAAUUGUUACUGCAAAGGUGGUGUCUGCCUCGAUCGGUAUCUUCAUUUCUUCUAUGAUCUUAUAGUGCACAAAGUUGUGGGUGGCUCCACUAUCGAUCAGCACCACUACUUCUCUUCCUUUUAUUUCACCCCUUAGUUUUGUAGUACCCUUUGAGGUCAGCCCAGUAAUGGUGUUUAAUUCGAUCUCCUUCUCCUUGUUAAGAUCCAAGUUAUUUAAUUCCAACACUGCCUCUGUGUUUUCCUUUAUCAUGUUCUCCUCUUCAUUCCCUUCUUCCUCAUUCAUGAUGAAUAACAUUAGUUCCCUUUUUUCCUUCAUUCUACAUCUAUGCCCCGGGGAAUACUUCUCAUUACACUUGAAACACAGCCCUUUGUCAAGUCUGGAUCUAAACUCAGCAUCUGAUAGGCGUUUAACGGGUGGUUCACUCCUUUGGUAAUUACCUUCGAUGGGUAUCCUCACUUGCUUCAUUGGGAAGUCAGUCUUCCUUACUACCCCUUUCUCCAUUCCCUCUUGAGCUUUGCCCACAGACCCUUCUCCUUUCUUGUAUUCUAUCAUUUUCCCUUCUGCCUUUGUCAUUGUCAACGUCAUGUUACGAUCAUUAACCAAUUGAGCCUCUCUCAUGCAAUCUUCCAACGUCUGUGGAUAUCUGCUGACCACUUCUGCCUGAAGAUUUGGUUCCAACCCGGUCAGAAAGGCGUCUCUUAAUACACUCUCCUCCAUGUGGGGUAAAGGUGCCGAGUAGUUGACAAACUUUUUCACAUAGUCACUGUAAGAACCAUCUUGUUGGAUCUGAUCAACCGUGCUACUAAACUUUUCUGCCCAGAAUCUUUGAAGAAUUCGAACAUCCUUCCUUUUAAAUCUUCCCACGACUCUACCCUUUUCCUAUUAUGUGUCCAUCGGUACCAAUCCACUUCAUCUUGCCCAAAACUGACCACAACCACUUUGAUCUUCUCAUUUUCGGGUAGAUUGUUGAUUUCGAAGAAGUGCUCGGCCCUGUACACCCAGGAUUCCAGGUUUUCGCCCAAGAACAUAGGCAUUUCCAACUUCUUGUACUUACUUCGAUCGAUUAUGUUCUGAUUCGUAUCGAUUGUAAGCUCGGGUUCUUCUAUUUUUCCUUUGAGCUUCAUGACCGAACCAUCAGAUGUUCCCGACUCAUCUUUUUUUUUUUUUGUAGUUAGAACUCUCCCGUAACUCAUCCGCCAUUCUUUCCAUUGUUUUCUUCAUCUCCAUUAACAUUUCCUUCAUACCCAUAAUUUCCUUCUCUGUUCCCUCCACCCUUUCCUCAAUCUGUCGCUGUGCCAUGAGUCGCGUGACCACCCCCAGUUUUAUGGCUCUGAUACCAAAUGUUAGGCUCCCAAACACAAAUAACUAAUAAAAGACCCAACAGUGGCUAAACAGAGUCGGUACUCUGCUAUCUUUUAUUUAUAUAUAAGCCAAAAUAUCACAAGCAACAAGAUAAACGAUAACGAAAGAAAGAAAUACCCAGAAAAAACAUACCAGCUCUCUUUACAAGGAUACUACCCUCUUGCGGCUGCAGCAGCCUGCCCUCCUAAAGAAGAUUCCCAAAAUAAAACCUACCCAGCCUAUUACAACAUUUCCUAUUUAUAGUUCUCCUAAAAUUCCACCCAGUGGGGCCCAUUCAGCAUGUUCUCCUUCCCCAUCAUUCUUUCUUAUUAUUAGCUGGUGAAUUCUCAUUUCUGCCCCUCCUCACAUACGUAUGUAUAAUUGGUGGUCUAACAGAUUCUUCAUCAAUAAAAAUGAGACUAAUGCUCAAAGUACAAGAGGAUUAGACAAAAAACAUAAAAGAAAAGACCUAAGGGUCAAUGGACGCAGCCAAGCAUCUUAAUGAGGUUAUUUACACAUCUUAGUGCCCUCAUCAUCUCCAAACAAAUAAACAAAAAUGAUAAAGUACAUAAUACUUCAGUUGUUUCCUUUCAGGAAUUACAGAGAAACAAUCUACAUGGAAACAAAAACUAUAAAACAGCAUAAAAUGGUAAGCUCACAAGAUCACCAUUCAAAAGGCAUUUUUCACAUCAAGUUGGUAUAGCAGCCAAUUUAAAUUAACUCAAGACAAAGAAAAAAAAAAACUCUAAUGGAGUUAAUUUUAGCAACAGGAGCAAAUGUUUUCUGAUAAUCAAUUCCAUAUAUCUGGGUGAAUCCUUCAGCUAUCAUUCUUGCCAUGUAUCUUUCACUUUCAUCAGCAUAACAUUUUAUGGUAAACACCCAUAUACCACCCGCAGGUUUCUUAGUUUUAGGCAACUGUAUUUCCCAAGUUUCAAUAUGUUUUAGAGCAUUUAUCUUCUCCCUAACAUCUAAUUUCCAAUUUCCCUCUUUCUCCUCUCACAUUACCUACAUAAUUUCUUUCAUUUCUUAUUCUUUUUUUAUUACACUAUUUCUCCUCCAUUUUUGCUUCAUUUUUUUCUCAGUCCAUUGUUUUGUUUUCUUCCCUUCUUUUCUCUCUUAUUUUCCUCUUCGUACUUUUUUCUUUCUCCAUUUGUCAAUUUCUCUCUAUCUUCUUUAUUCUUCAUUUUCUUGUUUCCUUUCUUCACUUUUUUUUCUCACAUUUCACCGGAAAUACGAAACCAACAAAACCCCCCGCCUAGCCCAUGUGAUAGGAUGGCCAACAUCUUCAGCACCUCCAUAAACCAUCAUAAUAGACCAAUAAGCAUUGAGUUGUCGGUGGUCGGCAGCGGUUUUUAUCCAAAACCAAUCCCGCCCAACCAAUGAUCACCCAUAGCUGGAUUCUGUUGAUAUGAGGAUAAGAUAUUUGAUGUGUUCAAGUUUAAUUUCACACAUACAAUUCCAUCAUAUAAAUGGCCAAGAAAGUAAUUGAAUCUAAAAAUGAAUAUACAUACAAAAAUGACAGGAUAAUUAAGUACCUUUCAGAUCUUAAAGCUGGAGUAACUUGACAAUAAAAGAAUCCCGUAAGUGUCAAUGCAAAAGAAGCCACUUUCCCCAGAAGCAGUAAAACAUUUGUAGCUUUACUGAAAGUUGAAAGAACAAUAUUAAAACCAAAGACUUAACGACAAAAACUUAACGACAGGAAUACGUAACGACAGGAAACCAAACAGAAUACGUCACAAGUAACAAACAACCAAAAGUUCUAGACAAGUUCCCAAAACUCAUGUCACAAGACACAGACCUCCGAGCAUGCUUGUGUAGAUCCCAAUGAAGAAACCUAAGACGGUUCUCCUCAGAUAAAUCAUUAUUAAUGAAGUCAAUAGCAUUAGCAAACUCAGCACGAAGAAUAGAUUCUCGUGGCUUCUUCUCACGUGUCUGUUUUCAUGAAAAGCCAAAUAUAACUUCAGACUGAUUAUUAAUUCAAUAAAAGCAUGAAUCUGAAAACAUCAACAGGCGCUCUAGUAUAGGACCAUAACACAGCGUGAUACAUCCUCCAUCUGUUGAAUGUUAAACAAUUAUUGCAAGUACUAUUAAAGUAUAAAAAGAAUAAUUUAAACUAAGUACCUUUAUCAAGUUCAAUAUAAUUAUGGGGUUUCCAUAUCUUUUAGCAAGAUUUUCAAAAUGAAGUCUCGUUGCUUCAUAAUUUUGAUCCUUCUUUGACACUGGAAAAACAAAAAUUGGGUUAAAGGAACAAUACAUAAGCUGAUUAAGAACAAGUACAAUGGAAUCAAGGUCAUACGUAUAAUAUCAGGCCUUAAGUUCAAGCGUGAAGUUUCCUGUGACCAGAAAAGAGGGAUUGAGCCACGAUUCUGGACGAUAGAACUUAAUUGCAUAGAAACCCCUUCAGGGACAUCCUCAAAAACGAUCUGUUCAGUCUCGACGUCAUUUGCCACUCUACCUUUCUCAUUUACACCUCGUUUCAAAUACCUACAAGAUAGGGGAAAUAAAUAUAUAUACACGAUAAUUCAGUGGAUAGACUUCAUCAAAAUAAAAUGAAUAACUCAACUAAAUUGUCAGUAGUUGAUCUCCUGAAGAUUAAAAAAUCAAUAAUUUAGUUCCAGGAGGAAAAGUGUAAGAAAUCAAGCUUUGUUAAUUCUGCUGUAAAUUAAACAUUACUAAGAUUGUUUCCCUAUGUAUUCUAUGUAUAUUUUAUUUCCAUAUAGAUUUAGACUGAUUGCUUCAGUCUAGUAUUUGAUUAAGAGUUCUUUUGUAUAAACGUAAGAGUUUCCUCACCAUUCAAUUAUAAGAAAUUCCAUUUUCUCAUACAUAGCUUCAUGGUAUCAGAGCUUUAGAAUUGAUUUUUCUUCGUCUUCGGAAUCCUAGCCACCAUUACGGAACCCUAAUCACCGUAACUAGAUCUAUCUUCUUCCAUAGAAAAAAUCUCACCCGAACCCUAGCCGUGUCGUGGAAAAUUCAUUGAUUGCGUUCAAACCAGAUUUCUGCAAGCAGUUAUUCUAUCAUGUUCUCCCAUAUUAAUCUGUCUCCUUCACAGUACCGGACCCCUCAGCAGCUGAAAAACAUUUGAGCUUCAUCGAAAACUAACCCUACAUCCAAAAGGGAAAGAAAACUUCCCCAGCAAUUGGUUGAGUAAGGGCAGAUAAUAAAGAGAUGCAACAGGUCCUCACUGUCCUUCAUACGUAGUGAGCACACCAAGGGCACACUUUGCAUAAUCAAGGAACAAUUUAGACGACCGAAAGCCAUAAUCUUAGAUCAAUAUAUUAACUCUCCUUGGACUGCUAGAUUUCCAGAGAGCUUUGAAAGUUCCUUUAUCUAGCGGGAACGAUGGAGAAAGAUGAACUGAAAGGGACUUGACUGAGAAUUUGCCUAACGAAUCAAUUGACUAGAAUUUACUAUCGUCCGACUCCAUCACCCUUUCAGAAGAAAGAAGAUAUAGCAGAGACUGGAAAUCUGGAAUUUCGUCUUCUUUUAACUGUCUUUGAAUCACGAUAGACCAAGACAUAGUGGAAUCGUCUCAACGAGCAGCAACUGAGCCGCUAGGUAGCAAAGAAAUUCUGAAUAGCUUAGGGGAUUGAAGAUUGAGGGGGAUGUCACCAGUUCAUUAAUCUGUCCAAAAAUCAAUUCUUCUUCCAUUACCAAGAUUAUAUAAAGCCAAAGGUUCCACCUUCCUCUAAACUCUUGAGAUGCUGAGCCAAGGACUCUUCAAACUGUUCCUGGAUUUGCCUUUCAUGUGCCAGUCAAAGGCCUCUUUACCAUGAAUACUUCUUAUAACUUGCCACCUAAACCAAGACUCCCAUCAAACUAAGGAGUAACCUUUUUCCAAUUCGCCAAAUGGUUUAUUUUACUUCUGGAGUGUCCUUCCCAGAGUAAGUUUCUCACUAUCUUUCCCAAGGAAGAAGCCACAUUGUCAGGAAUGGCGUAUGUGGGAAGGCGGGCCAGAACUGAUUUACAUAGUCUGUCUACCCCCUCUUGAGAUAUUAAGGGUGCGUUUGGGGGAGGGAAAGAGUUAUGGAAGAAAAGGAUUAUGAUAAUCCUAGGAUUAUAAUAAUCCUAGUGUUAUGAUAAUAUGUGCUUGGGGUUGGGUUAUUUGUUUUUUAAACGGAGACAAGAACUUCUUUAUUAAUAAUAACUCAAAGUACAAGAGAGUUAUACAAAGGGAGCCAUAAAGAAGUAGGAUUGUUAUUGGUAGUGUUAUGGUAAUAUGUGUUUGGGGGAAGAAAUAUGAAUGGUACUGUUAUAAUAAUAUGUGUUUGGGGGAGGGAUUAUAAUAGUAGUGUUAUCAUAAUAUGCGUUUGGGAGAAAAAUUAUUGUUGUAGUAUUAUGAUAAUAUGCAUUUUGGGGAAUGGUUAUGAGUGUAGUAUUAUGAUAAGAUGAAGUAGGAAAAUUUGUAGGGUUAUAAGAAGAUGAAGUAGGGAAAUUUGUGUUAUCAUUAGAUGAUGCUUUCACUCGUGUUCUUCGCAUUGAAAGCUCUCCGACCAAUGUGUCUAUUCCUCAACCCAGUAGUGCUCUCUUUAGCAAGAAAAAUAACCCUCGGGCACCUCGAGUGAUGGAUAGCAAUGUUUAGAGGAAUAGUAAUGAUCAUCGAAAACCAGAUUCUGUAGAGAUUGUUUGUAACUACUGUCGUAAGCCAGGCCAUAUGAAACGUGAUUGUCGGAAAUUGUUAUAUAAGAAUAGUCAACGAUCUCAACAUGCUCAGAUAGCCUCCACAUGUGAUAUACUAGAGGCGUCAGUUACUACUUCUGGAGAUGAGUUUGCUAAGUUUCAGAAUUACCAAGAUUCAUUACAAGCGUCAUCUUCCUUUAUUCCGGUUGCAUCCACCAUUGCCUCAGGUAAUACAAAGUGUCUUCUUACAUCAUCUACCAAAUGGGUCAUAGACUAUGGUGCCACAACUCAUAUGACAAUUAAUUCUCGCCUAUUUUCUAGACCGUUGUCCCCUGCCCCUUUUCCAUCUGUUACAUUGGCAAAUGGCUCCACAUCUUUUGUUCUUGGCUCUGGGACUAUUCACCUUACCCCAUCCUUUUCUCUCUCUUUUGUGUUAUAUUUGCCUAACUUAUCCCUUAAUUUAAUUUCUACUAGUCAACUUACUCAUGACCUAAAUUGUGUUGUCUUGUUCUUUUCUGGUUAUUGCUUGUUUCAGGAUCGUGUGACGAAGAAGAUUAUUGGUAGAGGAUAUGAGUCAGGAGGCCUUUAUCUCUUUGAUCAUCAAGUAUCGCAAGCUAUGGUGUGUCCUAUCGUUCCCUCUCCCUUUGAAGUUCAUUGUCGUUUAGGUCAUCCAUCUUUGUUCAUGCUGAAGAAACUUUAUCCAGAAUUUAGGUCUUUGUCCUCUUUAAAUUGUGAUUUGUGUCAAUUUGCUAAAUUUCAUCGUCUUAGUUCGAGUCCUCGAGUCGAUAAACGAGCCAUUGCUCCAUUUGAGUUAGUUCGUUCUAAUAUUUGGGAUCCGUGUCCAGUUGUAUCUCAAACAGGCUUUCGUUAUUUUGUUACUUUUGUUAAAGAUCAUUCUCGUCUAACUUGGUUAUAUUCAAUGAAGAAUCGUUCCGAGUUAUUAUCUCACUUUUGUGCCUUUCAUACUGAAAUAAAAAAUCAGUUUAAUGUCUCUCUCAAAACAUUGCAUACUGAUAAUGCGGGUGAAUAUUUUUCUCAUUCUCUUGGCUCUUACUUGUGUGAACAUGGCAUUUUUCUUCAGUCUUCGUGUGCUGACACUCGAUCUCAAAAUGGUGUUGCAGAACGGAAAAAUAGGCAUUUACUUGAAACUGCAAGUGCUUUAUCGUUUCAAAUGCAUGUUCCGAAAAUCUUUUGGGCAGAUGCUGUCUCCACAACUUGUUUUUUGAUUAAUAGAAUGUCUUCCUCUCUUCUUAAUGGUGAGAUUGCCUACCGUGUUCUUUUUCCUACCAAGAAUUUGUUUCCUAUUGCUCCUAACAUAUUUGGUUGUCUGUUUUGUUCACAACGUUUGUCCUCAUCAUACUAAGUUAGAUCCCAAAUCCUUGAAGUAUAUCUUCUUGGGUUAUUCACAUGUUCAAAAAGGGUGUUAUUGUCCUACCCUUAAAAGGUAUCUUGUUUCGCCUAAUGUUGCAUUUUUUGAGGAUACACCCUUUACUUAAUCACCAUCAAGUUCGUGUCAGGGGGAGGAUGACAAUCUUUUUAUAUAUGAGGUUACCUCUCGCACACCAUCCUCUUCCAUUGAUGUGCCUCCUUCCCGCCGGUUGAUUCCUCGAGUCUACUCUCGACGACCUCCACCACAACCUUCAGACUCAUGUCCUCCAUCAAUGCUUCCUUCAUCAUGCGAUCCGAGGCCAAGUGAUGAUCUUCCCAUUGCUCUUCGCAAAGGUAAACGCAAGUGUACUUACCCCGUUUCUUCCUUUGUUUCCUAUCACUAGUUAUCUCCCCCCCCCCCACAUAUGCUUUUAUCACGUCUCUUGACUCCACAUCUAUUCCUAACUCUGUUCAUGAAGUUUUAUCUCAUUCUGCUUUAGAUUAUAAUGGUACUUUGGAUUUGGUAUCUCGUCCUGCAGGAAAGAAGGCCAUUGGUUGUAGAUGGGUGUUUGCUGUCAAGAUGAAUCCUGAUAGAACAGUGGCUCGAUUAAAAACUUGCCUUGUUGCCAAAGGUUAUGCUCAAAUCUAUGGAAUUGAUUAUUUGAAUACGUUUUCUUCAGUUGCCAAAUUGACUUCCAUUCGCCUAUUUCUUUCCAUGGUUGCUACCCAUAAAUGGCCUUUGCAUCAACUUGACAUUAAGAAUGCUUUUCUGCACGAUGAUCUUCAAGAGGAAGUUUAUAUGGAACAACCACCCGGGUUUGUUGCUCAGGGGGAGAGUGAUAAAGUAUGUCGCCUUCGAAAAUCUUUGUAUGGUUUGAAACAGAGUCCUCAUGCAUGGUUUGGUAAGUUUAAUCAAGCUCUUGUAUGCUUUGGUGUGAAGAGUACAUUCGAUCAUUCGGUUUUCUAUCGCCGAUCUAAUAAUGGUAUAAUUCUACUAGUUGUAUAUGUUGAUGAUAUUGUUAUUAUUGGAAAUGAUGCAUCGGGUUUUUCGUCUCUCAAAACUUUCCUUCAGGGUAAGUUUUAUACGAAAAGAUUUGGGCCAAAUGAAAUAUUUUUUGGGCAUUGAGGUGAUGAGAAACAAGAAAGAUAUUUAUUUGUCUCAACGAAAAUAUGUACUUGAUUUGUUGUCUGAGACAGGAAAAUUAGGAGCCAAACCAAGUGGCACUCCGAUGAUGCCAAAUCAACAACUUGUUAAAGAAGGAUAAUUAUGUAAAGAUCCCAAGAGAUAUAGGAGAUUAGUUGGGAAGUUGAACUACUUAACAGUGACUCGACCAGACAUUGCUUAUUUUGUAAGUGUUGUAAGUCAGUUUAUGUCUCCCCUACAGUGGAUCAUUGGGCUGCAGUAGAGCAGAUUUUGUGCUAUAUAAAAGCUACUCCUGGACGUGGGAUCUUAUACAAAGAUCAUGGACAUACGAGAGUUGAAUGUUCUUCCGAUGCUGAUUGGGCGGGGUCUCGUGAGGAUAGGAGAUCAACUUCUGGAUAUUGUGUCUUUGUAGGUGGAAACUUAGUAUCAUGGAAGAGUAAGAAACAAAAUGUUGUUUCUCGUUCGAGUACUGAGUCAGAAUAUAGAGCUAUGACACAAUCUGUGUGCGAAAUAGUAUGGAUUCACCAACUAUUAUCUGAGAUAGGCUUCAGUAUUACGUGCCAGCUAAAUCAUGGUGUGAUAAUCAAGCUGCACUUCAUACUGCAUCUAAUCGAGUAUUUCAUGAACGAACUAAACACAUUGAGGUGGAUUGUCACUUCUUUCGUGAGAAAAUCCAAGAUGGGUUGGUGUCCACAAGAUAUAUGAAGAGUGGAGAACAAUUGGGAGAUAUUCUGACUAAAGCUUUAAAUGGAGCAAGGAUAAGCUAUUUGUGCAACAAGUUGGGCAUGAUCGACAUAUUUGCUCCAACUUGAGGGGGAAUGUUAUGAUAUAUAUAUAUAUAUAACAUAUGUCCUUUAUUGUAAUUGUACAUAGUGUCUAGGAUUUAUUUUAUUCUCUAUAUAAAUAUGUAACUUUCAUUUGACUCAAUAUGAAUAAGAAAUAUACUUCAUUGAAUUCUAGAUUACAAUAGAAACCUAGGUUUUACCAUCCCCUGCACAUUUGAAGUUUGAUUCACUCUUUAUCACCUCUAAGUUCUCAAUCGUUUGGGCCAACUUCAUCAUUUGAGCAAGCCCAACAAGCUUCCAACAUUCCAUUUCUGCCUUAAUCCAAGGUUUCAAACCAUUCAUAAAUGUCUCUCCUGUGAUUGUCUUCUACAAAAAAAGCAAAGGUGCCAGCAAUUUAUCAAAUAAAUUUAUGUAUUCAUCCACUGUAGUGCCUUGCUUUAUUGUUAAAAAUCUGCCCAAGAUUGAUCCCUCACGGCCUGAUCGAAAUCAAAUAAUAAGUCUUCUCUUUAAAUCUUCCCAAUUAACAAACGGUUCACGAUCUUCAUGAGAUCUAUACCAAUCCAAGGCUGCUCCAUCAAAACUAAUGAUUGACACCGUCAUCUUUUCUGAUUCAGUAAGUUUGUGUAUCUGAAAAUAACGCUCUGCUAUAAAUAACCACAAAUCCCAGAUUAGUACCCACAAAAACUGGCAUGUCAAUUUUCUUGAAUUUGCUUCGGUCCCUUGCAAAUUCUUCUCCUUCCAACUUGGUGUGUUUUUCUUCAGAUUUUCCUCCCAUCACAAAUGAAUUACUGACAUCAAUCAUAGUUUCUUUCUUGUUGGAUGAACCUUCGGGAACUUCUUCCCAUGUUGUCUUUCCCUUAAUCACUCCUUCAAUAUAUUUCAUGAAAGUUUGUUGAUGUUGCUGUUGUUAUUCAGCCUGCACACCCAGCCUUUCAAUGUGCUAGGCCACUGAUAUUAUUUAAAUAUAGCAGGAAAAAUAAUGGUAACAGAAAUAUCAACCCACGCAAGAUUAUAGGGGGAGAGAAUAUCGGGGAAGAUCUUUCACAAUCGUCAGUGAGCAAAACAGAUUAAAAGGGAGAAAGGAGGAGGAAAGAGGGGGGAAGAAAAAUACUUCAGAGUAGGAGAGGCUGUCGUGUUUCAGUUUGAGAGAAGCAGAGGAUCGACAUCAAGUUUAUUUAAUAGUUGUUUGGUCGUUUACAUUGUUAGGAGUUUUUCCAUAUUUUGUUUGCCUUGUUCUGAUCUGUUCUGAUUAGAUUGAGGUUUAGAUAGGAGUGUGUGAAUUUUUCUUUGAUUAUUUGAUAUUGUAAUUCGUACAUUCAAGUCAAUAAAAUAAGAUACUAUCAGUAUCUUUACACAAUGCUCUUUGCUAACGAUGAAAAAUCUGUUAGAUACCUAGAUUAGUAUAGGGUAAGGGUAAAAGGGUAAUUAGAUUUGUUGGUAGUUAGUUGGUUAUAAAUAGAAAGUUGAGGAGGGAAGAAGGGUACGAAGAAUUUGGUGAAGAAUUAGGGCUGCAACAUUCCUUGAAAGAGAGGAAGGGCAGAGGGUUAGAGUUCUUUUACUUUUCUUUGAGGGUUAGAGUUCUUUUACUUUUCUUUUACUGCUUUUAUACUGUAAUUUUCUGUUUGAGAUAUCAAUAAAAUAGAAACACUAUAUCAGUGUUCUAUCAAUAUCUUCCUUAAUAGAUGGUAAUCCAUGUAACUCUACCCGAAUGCCAAGUAUCUCUUGAUCAAUCGUUUCCAACUUUUCCUCAAUUCGCUUUUGAGCCAUGGCGAAAACGUUGCAUAGAUUCGAAUCUCUGAUACCAAAAUGAUAGAACACCAAGUAGCGAGUUCUAUUAUUUUAUUAAACAGCCAAACUUUUACAGAAAACUGUAAUAACACAACCUUGAAAACAAAGAACAACACAAGAACUAAUACAGAAAUUAACCAAGUUCAACAUAAAACAUCAAACAUAAUAGUACUUCACGAUAAUGGAAAUAACUUGCUACAGACUACAGAAACCGAACAUUUUCUGCAUUCCCUACUCUCAAGGAAAUUACAGCCCUGCAUUUCCAUAAACUAAUUAACCACCCCAUCUUUCCUUCUAUCUCUCCCUUUUAACCUCCCCCAAUGUAACUAACUGUGGUCCCCACUGAGGUGGUUUCCACUUCCUCCACAUCCAUCGCAUGUGCAUGUAUCAUUCAACUUGUCUUCCUUAUGCUAUAUGUAUUAGAAUUGGUGGUCUAUCACAUUCUUUUCUUUUCUUCCUUCGAGAUUUAUGUACUUUGAGCAUUAGUAUCUUUUCAUUUCAUCGUUGAAAGUUCUUGUUUCCUUUUCAAACAGUUAGAAAUCAAAUGAGAAGUGUAGAGACUUGAGGUUAGAAGCAGAACGGACAUACCUUGUGCCAGCAUAAUGACGAGAACGUCUAGCAAUUAAGGUCAACUUGAAAUCUCUCCCAUCUAGAGAUAGUGUACCCUAUAAGCAAGAAAGAGAGGAUCCUUUGUAAAAUAACGUGAUACUCAAUGGAAAAUGAAACCAUCAAGCAUAUUCAUCAAACAAAAUGUGCAGUGAUAAAACAUUGUUAUCUGUCCUACCAGUGAGUCUUAUUGAACAAUCACCGUGGACUUCAAUCAUAUGCUAACAAAUCAAUCAAAUAUUAACAAAUUCCCAACUACUUUCUUGUUUAAUUAUAGAACAAGAUUUCAUAAAAGAAAGAAUGAAACUUUAAAAAAUGAAUUAAAAUAAUAAUAAUAAUUCACCAAUUGAUUAAAGGCAAGGUUUUUCAAGUCCACACACUAAACUAUUUGAUUCCAACGCUAUCAGAAGGAUAUCCCGGAAGCACCAAUUACUCACCUGCUUGAAAAAGCCAUAGACCAAAGCAACCGUCCAAAUGGUAUUAUGCAAGUGGUUUCGGAUUCCACGAGUCAAAAAUUCAUUCCACACAAACAUGGUUUCAUAAAGAGCGUGACCUGUUUCAUUAUCACAGAUAUUCUUUUGUAGACUACGCAUAACUUGGUAUGAGUAGCUAAAGAAGAAGUCCUUUGUGAGAUCCACCGAGCAUAGGAGCUUCUUGUAUCUAACAUCACCAAACAAACGAAAAAUAAAUAACAGAUUAACUAAGUUGUAAUGCUUACAGUAAGCCCACCAUUAAGUUUCCUACAUCAAAAAUCCAGAUAAGACAGGAUUUUUUUGAAAUGGAAACAACUCUUUUCAUUGUAGUGGUGAAAAGAGACUAAUGCUCAAAAUACAAUAUAGAAAAUGAUAAACCUAACUAUUGAUUUUUGGAGAAAUUGUAUAUUUUCUCUUAUUUUUGGACAAGACCAAAUAAUGGGUAAGUAUAAAACGAAGCCAAAUACUAACAAAGGAAUUCAUUAGAAAAGAAAAGGACAUCUAAAAAUAUUAAAAGAUAUAAAUAAAUUUACACAAAACUACAAUCCCCUUGGCUAGGAAUUAAAAGAUAUAUAUAGAAUACAAUCCAAGCUUGGAAUUAAAUUCAUCAAAAUUUCUUCUCAAUAAAGUUGUGGUAAGAAUGUCGGCAAUUUGAUGGCAAGAUGGAAUAUAGUUUAGUUCCACUAAGUUCAUGUUAACCUUCUCAGAUAUGAAAUUUCGAUCUAUCUCGAUAUUGUUUCGUUCUCAUGGUGUAUAGGAUUCUUCACUAUGUUGCUUGUUGCUUGACUGUCGCGAAAUAAUUUGAUUGAAUUUUGAGUUUUAUCCUUAGCUCAUUUAAAAACUUUUGAAUCCACAUUCCUUUAGAAAUUUCCAAAAUUAGUGCUCGAUACUUAUCCUUUGCACUGAAUCUAGCAACAAUUUGACUGCCUUUUACUUCUCCAAGUGACUAAGUUGCCCCAAACAUAAGAGCAAUAUCCAGAUGUAGAACUUCGAUCAGUUAAAUCUCCAGCCACUAGCAUCAGUAUGAAGUUCUAGUACAACUUUUUAAACAGUAGCCCAUGAUCUGGAAUUCCUUUCAAGUAUCUUAAAAUUUUGUUAAUAACCCAAAGAUGAUGUUCAUUUGGACUGUUCACGGCUAACUAACAAUGUGCUGGAAUUCCUAUAUUUGUAUAUAAAUGACAAUUGUCAAGAUAUUUAUCAUUAUUAUAUUUAUUCUUUCUAUAUUUCAAGGAGGAAUUUCUUCUACAACGAAGACCUAAAUUACACGUAUCCAAUAGAAAAAUAAUAUUACUCCCUACAAAUUCAAGAUUGUAUCAAAGUAAGUUGGUUCAGGAGAUCGUGUGUGAUGUAGGGUUAUCAAGGGUAUUUUGGAUAUUUCUUGUACUUGACCUUUUAUAUUCACCUUUAAAUAUUUUAGAUUUAACAAGUGUGACAAAACCCUUCGUCUUCGGGUCUCUUUAAAGGAGGUUAGGUUUAGUUAUCUAGUUAGGCAGUUUAGUUGUGUAACCACCCUUUCCCUUUGGUCCAUUUAAAGGGAUCAAUGUUUUCAUUCUCUCAUUAUUCACAAUUAAUAAAACUCCUGCUCCAAAAUUCUUCCAAGAUUUCUCCAAGACUCUUUAGCCUUCAACAAUUGGUAUUAUAGCGACCUCGAGAAGGGACCUCAUGACGAGUAAAGGGCUCAGUAAACUCCCCACUCUUCCUUCACUCCCACCCAAUGAUGCAGAAGCAUCCUUCACCACCUCUUGUCAAACCACAAGCUGAAGGUUAGGCAAUGUGGACAAGCAAUCAAGAAGCUGACCUUGGACGUGGGACGAAUGGUUUAAAAUCAACUAAGAACUCAUCAAGAGGCAUUGGCAGGGAAUCAAGCAGCCGGAAAUGUACAAAAUCUGCAGCAAGAAGCUCAUCACAGACCUAAAAAUCAGCAGUAAAUACUGCAAGAAAACCAAGAUUUGCAUCGAAUAGUCCAGAGAAUCCUCCAAGAAUCCAAGAACCAGCAAGAAGACCAAAGAAUUAAUAACAGAGGUGUGCAGCGGCCUAAUCUCAUUCCAUACCAUCAACAUAUGCCAGAUAAUUCACCUUAUAGACCCACGCUUAAUUUAUUGGGACUGUAUUCUGAUUCAUCCAAAGAUUAAGAUUUGCCUAGUCCACAGCCACAUUUUCGAGCUAGAAUGAUGCAUUCUCCACAAAGGUAUAACCCACUGUUUCAACAACAGAAUCCUGUUGAACAAGCACAAGACUAUGGAAAAAUCAAGACUAAUAUCAAGAGUGGCAAGGACAACCACAGUGGCGCCAUGAACAUGACUUCAAAAUGAAAUCAACAUACCCCGUACAAUGGCAAGAUUAAUAUAGAAACCUUUUUAGAUUGGGUGAAAAACGUUGAAAAUUUCUUUGAUUAUAUGGCCACCCUGGAACACAAAAAGGUGAAACUUGUUUCUUUGAAACUUAAAAGUGGUGCAUCGACAUGGUGGGAUCCUAUUCAAGGCAAUCGACAUAUGUAUGGCAAAAAACCUAUCACUAGUUGGCCUAAAAUACUGAAACUCAUGAAGCACUUCUUACCGGCUAACCAUGAGCGACUUCUUCACAACCAAUUUCAACAUAGCAAACAAGGAGCUUGAUCAAUUGAAGACUACACAGAAGAAUUCCAUCGUUUGAGUGCUAGAAACAAUUUAGCCAAGAGUGAUAGUCAACAAGUGGCUCGUUUCAUUGAUAAGUCGCAACAAGAAAUCAAAGAAAGUUCCUCAUGACCUACUUCCACUACUUGACAUUCAACACAACAUAAACUUUAUUCCCAGAUCUUUCGGACCAAAUUUCCCCUACUUUCGAAUAAGCCCUAGUGAGUAUCAAGUCUUCAACACUGUGUUCAAACCCAACAUUGUUAUUUCCUCCCCAGUUAAUAUUCAUUUCCACUUCUGAUGCCUUUCAAGACAAUAUAUGAUUAAAUUUACCUUCACCCAUAAGUUUAAUAUGUUGGGCCAAUUGGUGAUUCAAGGUCUUAUAGAAUAUGAUAUGUAUGAACUGGUAUGUGGUAAGUAAAUCAACUUUCCCACCAGCCUUUGAUACAUAUCCUCGUCAACUGGACUAAUCACUUCACUUAGGUCUUGCCUAGAUAUGGAUCCAUAGGUGUUUCAACAGGUUUACACCUAAGAUUUUCAGUCUCCUUUACCAAAACUAAAAUAUAUUUUCAUUUGAGAAAUGACAAUACUAUCCUUAGAUCUUGCCACCUCAAAUUCUAAGAAAAUAUAUCAAGCUUCCCAAGUCCUUGAUUUCAAACUCGGUUACAUCCAUGAAGAUGUAGUAUUUUUGGGAAGGUGGAAGAAUUUAUAACUUCGUUGGUGAAGGGGGUACCUAAUAAAGAUACAUUUAUGUGCACAAGGGGUAAACUUAUUUUGGUUUAGGGCCACGACUUUGGACAAAGGCAGUGCACCCAAAAACCCCGAGAGGAACAUCAGAAAUAAGGUGCGUGGUAGAAUAUGACUCUUUUGAUCUGAAAUUUCAAUGGUUGAUGGAACAAAACCAAAUUGAUUCUUCUUGACCUUAAUGUGAGCUUCACUACAAUUGGUAAAAUUUCAGUGGCUAUUUCUAUGAGUCCUCCAAAAUGGUCUCCAAUUACUUCGAAAAUACUUCUACACCAGAAAUCAAGAGGAAGAUUCUUCACUUUAAUCCAACCUCCAUAGCCUUUCAACAUCAGUGGCCUACUAUGUUUCAAGCUGUCCCAUCUUUCAAAUUUAAGGUGAAAUUUACCCCAUGCCUGCCAUUUACCUACUGCACCAAUUAAUUCACUAAGGGAGCCUUGAUCAAGGCUGAUAAGAGCAUUGUCAUCAUAAAGGAGGUUUAUAACAAUGUUGGAUUGGAAUUUUGAUUCCAGAAAUUUGCAAAUCCAUCUGCAAUCAUCAGAAGCAAAAAGUUUUGAGAUAAUCUAAAGGUUAUCAAAGUUUAGCUUAGCCACAUCAUGGUUUUUAAUUAACCAUUGUUUUUUGAUAGAAGGGCAUGGCAAACUGAACCCUGAGAAGGAUCUUGAAGGAUGGAAUUCAGGCCUGGUUCCAUUCUUCCAGAUUUAGGUACUGAAUGGUUGGAGAUUUUGGAUUUAACAGUAGCAGCAUAACUUUGUUUCUCCAUUGAAGGUUGGAAGGGAGCUUUGGUAGAAAGGGUUGAGAACCAACGGGCGUAAUCUACUAUGUUUACAUACUUAUCCAGCAUUCUAAAGAAGGAGGACCAACCUUGCAUAUUGAUUCCGGAGCAUAUUCUAAGGGUAGAAUGACCUCCUUAGUAAGGCCAAAUGUCACAGCUGAGGAUCCACCCCGAGUUGCCUUGGAACUUGAAGAUUUUCAUUCGCCCUCUGUCAAUUUCACCAUCUUUCUUGAAGAAGCGGUCUACUGGAUUAUUGAGGAGAGUAGAAAUAGUGUGCAAAGUCCAUCGGAGUUGAGCUUCGGAGAUUGAAAUGGAUUUUUUAGCUUCCACAUCUACAAUAAUAAAGUCUUCUUUCUCCUUCCACAUACAGUAAUGAGAUUGAUUAACUUUGCAGCUAGCAACUUCCAUGUUGAGGGGCUGGUCGGAGAGGUUUGACUGAACCGGGGAGAAUGAUGAAGGAGGAGGGAGGAGGGAGGAGGGAGGAGAGAUAUGGGCUUCCACGUCUUCAAUGAUGCAAUAAUUGUUUUCGUUUCAUAUGCAGUAAUGAGACUGAUCUUGCAGCCAAAAACCUCCAUUCUGAAAGAGUUGGUGGUGGCCGGAGGGGCUGGCUGCCGAGGAGGAAAGAGGAGAGAGGAGAGAGGAGAGAGGGGAGAGAACUUCCUUCGUUUCUUAGAAUGAAGAGAUGAAACAUAGUCUAGAGAAGAAUGAAAAACAGGGGAUAAAAACGCAACCCCUUCAUCAUUUGUUUGUGGAUCUGGCCAUGACUAUUGGGAUUCCAAAGUGAUCUUAUUAGAACAAAUAGGAGAGGCUGUAUUUAUUAUUUUGAGCUUCCAAUUCUUAUAUCUUGAAGAUAUUUAAUAUAUUGUUUUUGUUUUUGGAAAUAUUAAUUUAUUUUUUUGCUCUUUCUCCUGUACACUUAGAAAUAAACACCAAGGAACACCAAAAAUUAGAAGAAUAAGAAGAGCCAAAGAAAUCACUAUGAGCAACAGUUGCUGUUCCUUCCUACUAUACCACUUAGAAAUAAACACCAAGCAAUGAAAUUAACUAAGAACCUGUUCUCAUUCUUUGGAAUGGCUAUACUGGACCAAACAGCAGCAUUUGGAAGUGGAAUCAUCUCACUUCUGGAAACACCAUAUAUAGGAUGACCACAUAUUGUACCAAUUUGACGUCUCUUUGUAAUAAGCAGCAUGUAAUAAGGUCCUAGAAAUUUAAUGAAUCCUAGAACAAAAAGAAAGAAACAAUGAUAUUGCAAUAAAAAUAUCACAUUAUUAUAGCAAAAUUAGAACCUUACAGAUAAGAUAAGAUUUGGCUUACCAACAAUACCAUAGCAAGUGGAUACAAACUUCAGUCCUCCAGUAGAUUUAUUACCCUCGUGUAUCCGUCUCAGCAGAUCAGAACAUUCAUUUUCUGUAUAUACAGCAGAAUCUUCACGUAUGUUUAGCUUGGACAAAUCCAUCCUAUCAAUUUUGAGCACCCUCCAAUAUGUUCUACUCUUGUCCCUUCCUACCAUGUAAAAUUUCUAGAACCAAGGAAAGAAGCAUAAAUGGGAAUACUACCACAAAUACAUAAAUACAGUUAGACAGCCACACCACACCACAUCAAGAAGUGACAUACAUCACCAACAUAACGUUUCUUCAACCUUUACUAAACCAAGAUUCUACAGUCAACAGAAGAAAGAAUCUGUUUAGAGGGAAGGAAGAAAAAUAAAAAAGAUAGGAAUUUAUCUACUAAUGCCACCACAAUCAAAUUGCCUCAAUAAGACAAUAUCAGUUAUCACAUAAAUAACAGAAUCAUGGAAAGUUGAUGACCAAAAGCAUAGAAACGUUACUACAGAAGAAAAUUCUCUCAAAACUUUUAAGCUGCAUAGUAAUAUGUUUAGGAAAUGUGUGAAUACGUAGGUAGCUAUAAGUUACAGAACAGCAAACAGAAGAAAUAUGUACGAAUGCUAUAGGCUGUAAUAGGAACCGUAUGAAUUAGCAUGACAAAAACGUAAAGCAUAUUACAAAGUUACUGGUUAAAAGCACAACCAAGGAGAGAUGAAGAGUAAGAGGGUAAAGGAAAAAAGAGUACGAGUGAACAGUAUGAUGAAUAUGGGGAAAUGGGAUGUAAAGAUAGAACUGAAAAGAAAGUGUAGUUACCGAUCGAGUCUCAUAAAGCCUGAAUUUGUGCAUACAAACAGGAGAGGCAGAACGGAGGUCAUCAGAAGAUGCGGCAGAGUUGGAGUAUACAUCAUUUUCUGAUGAUGGGAGAGGAAAUGUUGAGAAUGAGUUAUUCUCAGAGGACGCGGUUGGAUUAGAGGAGGAGAAGGGAUCAGUCUCUGAGGAAGCCAUUUUACAGAUUCCCCGAGCCUUGCAGCACAGGCCCAGGCUCAGGGAAACUAGGAGAAGGGCAUGCAAAUCACACAAUUGAAUUGAAUUGAAUUGAAUUGAAGUGAAGUGAAAGAAAGAAAGGAAAAUGAUAUGAUAUGAAAUCAAAUCAAAUCAAAUAAUAAUCAUCUACAACCAGAACCCAGAACCCAGAAACCACGAAUUCACAACUGCUGACACCUUAAAUCAACCCCAACAAAGACGCUAGGCUGCUUCAAAUACAACAUAGAAUGAUUUGCACAAAAAUAGAACAACUGGAUUCGGUUCUUGAUCGUAUAAUCAUUCAUUUACUAACGGAAACCAAAUGAUUAACAACUCAACAAAACAACAUUUCACUCCAUAAUGUACACAACUACACAACUACAUAUAUACAUAUAUAGAAAGAUAGAGAUAAUGAAGGUUUCUUUAGGAGAGGAAAAAGAAGGAAGUGGUAGGUAAUUAUUGUUGUUGUUGAAGUUUGUUAUUAAAUUUUUAGUUUAAAGCGAGAUACAGAUGGGAGAGGGAGAAGAAUGAUUCGGGCAGAUCCAGGGGCAGGGAUGGGCAGGAGAGGGAAUGGAAUGAAGACCCCAAUUUGGGUGACCGUGCCUGCCGUCCACAGUCCACAAAAAUAUAUUAUUUCAUAAUUGUUCUUUUUUCUUUUAAAUUUAUAUAAAUGAAGUUAAAAAUAAGAAUAAUAUUAUUAGAGAAGGUAUGUGUAUGUGUUGCCGAUCUCGAGUCAUUAUUUUAAUUUACUUGGAAAACCUUAGCUUUGUGAUACGGAUAAUUAGAGUUUUUUUAAAAAAUUAAUUAGUCAAAAUGGAUUAAUUUAAAACUAUUUACGUAAAUAGGUUUUCUUUUUUGUUUUUUUUUUUUUUAAUUUCACACAUUUUUUACGUUAAUUUUUUUCUCUCUCGUGCAUUCUACUUUUUUUUUUUUAAUUUUUCUCUCUCCUGCAUUUUCCCCUAAUUAACCAAAUAUUAUAGUAUUCAUAUUUCCAAAAUAAGGCAUUCAUCAAUUUCCCAAGUUAUUUGUGAUUUAUUCACUCUCUUCGUCAUUUAUUCAUUUAAUCUAAAUACUCUUUUAGAUUUUUUUUGUGUGUAAUAUUCGUCUUCAUCUUUCUCAUUUCUAUCAAUAUCAAGAUCGUUUAUACUUCUCUAUCAAGAUCAUUGUUGUGAGUUUGUUUUCUGUAAGAAUUCUAAAUUUCAUUUUUUGUUGAAUUGUUUAGAAGGUUAUAAAAUUUCGUUAACAAUUCUAUAUUUCAUUAUGAAUUAUAUUGUUUUUGUUUUUGUUUUUGUUUGUGGUAAGAAUUCUAAAUUUCGUUUUCGUUUCAAUUGUGUAGAAGAUUUAAAUACUUUUGUAAGAAUUCUGUAUUCUAUUAUGAAAAUCGUUAGUUUGAAGUUUUUCACAAUCAUUUACGUUGAGCUACACGAUUGUUUACCAAUACCAUCACGAUCGUUUACCUAUAUCAACACGAUCGUUUACUACAUUCAACAAGAUCAUUUAUUGCAUUCAAUAUGAUCGUUUACUAUGGUCAAACAAUAAUUUAUUAUGGUCAACACGAUCGUUUAAUCUUUAAUGUAUAUUAUUUCACUGCAUGAUCGUUUAUCCUUUCAUUGUCAUUGUCGUUCACGUUUUAUUCUUUUAUUCAGUGAUAACAUCAUCUAUGUCUAUCUAUUUCUUUCUACCACUAUUGAAUACUUAAUUGCAAUUUCUUUUUAUAGAAUACAAUGUCUAUUCCUAUAGUUGGUUUUUUAUAGAGGUCAAUGGAAUGGAUGCAAUUUAUAUGAGAAUUACUCAGUUGUUGGAAUUUUGGUGGAUGUCUAAAUCAGCUUUAAUUGUUUGGUUGGUUUAAUAUACAAAAAGAUUCAAUUGGCUGAGUUGGUACAAUUAUUUGUUUUACUGGAUUUUGGUAAAAACAACGUUCAAAAUGAGAUGCCCUAUACAAAAAAAAAACACGAUGUUGUUUGGUAUUUAGCUUUGGCUAAAUAUGCAAUUAGUAGACACAUUCAUUAGUUGCUCAUGUAAGUGUUAAUUCUUUGAAAAAGUCUUCUUCUAGUAGUGUAUAGGAUAAUAUUGAGGUGUCAUUGAAUAUUGGUUUUUCUUCUUAUGUUUCAAAUGAUGAAGUUAUAAGAGAGAUUUCUUAUCAUGGUGAUUUAAAGGUAAAAAAAUUAUUUGAAAGUAAGGAAGUGCUUUCAAAGUGAUUUUGCAUAAUAGUAGUGAAAGAACAACUUUCAUUUAAAAACUACAAUAUCAAAUUUGAGGUCUCUUUAAUUUGGAUGUUUGCAAGAAGGGUGCAAAUGGUAUGUUAGGGUAUCUCAUUGUAAGAAGAUACAUUUAUGACCAUGACUGUUUAUUGAAUACUACCCAAAGUUGUUACAUGCAAGCUUCUUCACGAGUAAUUGGUUGUUGCUUGAUAGAUGAUUUUAGGUUCAUGCCUAAUCACCGUUCCAUUCCAAAAGUGAUUAUCCAUAAGGCUUGUACAAAUCUUGGAGUUAAUAUAGGUUAUCAAAAAGCUUAGAUGGCAAAAGAACACAUAGUAAAGAUAUUAAAAGGUGACACGGUUGAAUCGCACACAUUAAUUCCAAGUUUCUUUGAUAAAAUGGUUGAAUCUAACCUAAAUAUGAUCAACUUUCUAUAUCAAAUUUACAUUCAUUUUCAAAUAGAUGGAGAUAGACAAAUAUCACAAUCUAUCUUAGAUAGACAAAGAUGUUAUCAUUGUCUAUCUAUUUUCUUUUGUUGGUGCUGAUAGAAAUAUUUUGUAUUUUUUUAUAGGUACAUGGACUGCUUUAAAGAUGGAUGAUAGUGAUCCAAUUCAAAUUUUGCUUUAUGGCUUUUGGUGUAUCAAUUGAAGGGUAGAAAUAUUGUAGACCCACCAUUUACGUUGAUAACUCAUUUUUUAAGUGUAAGUUUAGUGGCAUCCUAUUAACAUAUUCAUCACAAGAUAGUAACAAUCAAAUUUUUCCUCUUGCAUUUGCUAUUGUAGAUUCUGAAAAUGAUGCAUCAUGGACAUGAUUUUUUUAGAAGAUAAAAGGUAGUUUUUCAAAUCGAGAUAAUUUAGUUAUUGUUUCUUAUAGACAUCUUAGCAUUCCUAGAAUCAUAAAAAUGAGGAUCAAUAAUUAUGGACGGCAAAAACUGGACAACAAUGUAAUCUUUCACAUAAACUCUUUAGCGGAACUAAAAAUAGUUUGAGUUAGGUUGGAAAUUCAUAUCUACCACACAUCAAGAUCUUGUGGUCAAUACUCAGCCAUAAUUGAUUAAUUAUGAAAAAAGUUCUUCACUUUUUUUUUUCUAAAAAAAUGAGUUUAAAAAGCAUGCAUAUGUCUAUUGGAGAUAUUUGAAUAUUGAAUUAGGUAUUUUGUAUUUUAUUUUUUGGGCUGUAUUUACAUUGAUCUUUCAUUUAUAAUUUGUUUAGGUCAAGACUAGUUUUCAUUUUAUGUAUGUUUGUUGUUUGUGGAGUUAUCUAUUAUAUUGGGAGAAUUAAUUGCGUUUUCUUUUUACUUUAAAAUUUGGGUUCUUCAGUAUUUAAAUUCAAUUAUUUGACAUGAUAAAAACAAAACAAAAAAAUUGAGAAAAGAGAUCAGAUAUACAAGAUUAAAGGGAUUUUAGAAAAAAAGGGUUAACUAAAUUGAAUCCGAGUGUUUAGCUUCCCAACCAUAGAGAAAAGUAAUAGGAGCAAAUGUCUAUAUUUAUAGCCUUUAGACAAGCUUUUAAUCCAAUACAACAGAUGUACUAUUUUAACUUUCCAAACACCUAAACAAAUUAAAUCAAUGUCAACUCAUCAAUGGCAACAAAUUAUUAGUCACUCGCUAAUUUAACAACACUCACUAAUGCAUUUAAAAGUAUUUUUUUUUCUUAUGACAAAGAAGUAAUGAACCCAAAGUUUUGUUUUGUUUUUUUUUUCUUUGAUCCGAGGGGUGGAAGCAGGCAACAGGUAAUAGGAAAGUAAAAUUAAAUGGGAAGGCAAAAGAGUUCAAUUAUUAGAGGAAAAAAAGUACCUAACCUAAGUAACAAAAAAUGUUGAGAAUUGGUUACAUAAAAAGUUCUUUUUUUUUUUUUUUUUUUUUUUUUGUGUGUGUAGGUUGAUUGUGUACUGCUUUUUGGGCAUUAAAUGAUUGUAAUUAAAGGAGAAAAUAAAUUGGUUGGUCCAUAGUCUAAGUGAGUUGAGUCCCAUAAUUUAUAAUCUUAACAAACUCAUUCUGCUAACAUAUGAAAAUAGAAGUCUGCAGUUGGGAAACUCAAGUAUUAUGGAAAUCAUACGUAGGGAUUGUGUUUUUUUAUUUUUUUAUUUUUUUAUUUUUUUUAUUUUUUUUAUAAUACACUACUACAAGAAAUAUCAAUUACGAUAGCAUAAAAAAAUGCUAUUGUUGAUUUUUGAUAGCGUUUUCGAAAUGCUAUCGUAGCCGAUGCUAUUGAAAGUCCAUGAUUUUUCAUAGAUAAUAUGUCUCAAUCGAUAACACAUAUAUGAUUCUAUAAAUAUUUUUUAUAACGUGAAAAAAAUGCUAUUGAAAAUUGUAUAGCGUUUUUUAUUGCGUUGGAAAAAUCGUUAUCAAAAUGUUUCAAUAGUGUUUUCAAUAACAUUGAAAACUGCUAUAAAAACAUUUUAUAUCAUUUAUUAUUGCAUUCGAAAAACGUUUCAAUAGCUAUUUUAAUAAUAUUAAAAAAGCGUUAUCAUAAUGUUUCAAUAGUGUUUUAAUACCAUUGGAAAAAUGUUAUAAAAGACUUUUUGUAGUGUUUUUUAUUGCGUUUGGAAAAGCGUUAUCAAAACCAUUCAAUAGCUAUUUUAAUAACAUUAAAAAAUGCUAUAAACCAUUUUCUUUAGCGUUUUAUGAAUGUUGUCGUAGCAAAAAGUCUUUGACUUUUAAUAGCGUUUUUGGAGAGCUAUUAAUAGUAAUAUAAAAAUUGAUAUAUUAUAGCUUUAAUUACUGUUAUGGAAACAUUUCAUGGUAUUGAAAAAUAUCAUAAAAAAUGUUAUAAGAAUAAAAAGACAUUAUAAAAGACUAGAUUUGUUAUUGAAAGUCUCUUAUUUUUAUUAGCAUUAUUUAUUGUUAUGGAAAAAUAUAAAUACCCCGUUUUUACCCACAAACUUUAUUGUUGAUUGCCCUCUAUAGCAUCUUUUGUAAUAACACAAACAUAAUUAUAAUUGAUCUAAUAGCACUUAUCCAAUAUUAUUAUUCUAAAAUCAAAUUAUAAUCAUAUAGAUAUUUAUAGAUCAAGUCGUAUCUGCCAUACUAAGAAGAUAUAGUUCACAUUCAUCCGAAUCUACAAUCAGAAUUACAACCAAAAUAUUCAAAUUUAUAACAUAAAAAGAAAAAAGCAUUAUAUACAUUCAAAAGUUUGAAAUAAUAAUCAACACUAAGUUCUAACAAAUUUAACUACUAGAACAAGUAAAUUUUUAAUUUAAAUAAAAUGACUUAACUUCAAAUAAAUUUAGGGUUUAAUCAUGUACAUGUUAAUCUUGGAAAUUAGAGUAAAAUUUUUAUCCAUUUUUCGGUGUGCAUGUCUAAAUUCUAUCCUUGUGAUAAAAAAUUAAUUAUAUCAAUAAAAAGAAAAGGAAACAAAGAAGUGUAAAGAAAAGUCGAAUAUUGUAGGGUAUGAGCUAAAGGAAGUCGUAAUUCGUGAUAAAACAUUAAGCAUUUUGGAGAGUCAGACCCCUGAGCUGAAUUAGAUCCAACCUCCUCAUUGUCGAAAAAAGCCACCAUUUUGACACCAGGCUCAUCCUUAAGGCUACUGUCAGGAGAAGUAUUGUCGAUAAUGAGUGUCUGUAUAAAACCAUUCAAAUAAAUGUAUGUUUGACGAGUUAGAAUGAAUGAUAUGAAAUUAAGAAUCUUUUGUGAAGGCAAGCAAAUAUGUGCCAUGUGGUUUAUGGAAACUAAUCUAGCUACCAAGAGAUGACUCAGAGCCUAUUUGAAAUGCUUUUUUUAGUGUUCCAGAACUCUCUUUUUUCUUAAAAACAUUUAUUUAAUGCUUUUGGCAAAAUACAAAAUUGUAGUGCUUAAAGAAGUGGUUUAGCAAAAACCAAACCUUCAAAUAGCAAAAUGUCAUGCAUAAAUUGUCCAACCUCCCACGGAACACAAAUUCUCGCAUAGUACCACCAAUCACACUUGGUUAAGCAUCACAUACUUGCAAGUCAAAAUCAAAUAUGUCCUUUGGAUCGUAGCCAAGUUGCUCCGCAAGUAACUAGAUCAAACCAGGUAAAAUUCAUGAUGUCCAUGAAGCAAACUUUCAGUUGUAUUUUGAAAUCAAUCCACCAAAGUUCAAAUGAGUCCAGGCUAAUAAAUCAAAUUAAAUUGGUCUGGUGUUAUUUAUCUUAUUUGUAAUAGAAGCGAGUGAUGCUUUAUGCUAGUAGGAGGUUUCUAUUGAUCUGUUUUCUUUUUGUCAAUUUGUACGCAUCUUUUUUCUGAAACAACUUUAUUCAGUUCUUCUUGUGAGCAGUCAUUAAUUAGGAUGGAGGGAUAAUCAUAAACAUACACAGGAUGAAAGAGCACAAGGAAUAUUUGUCACAAAAAAAAUCAAAAAACAUAAGCCAUAAAUCCUAUGCACGAUAUGUAUGUUAUCUAUCUCCUACUAUAAAAAAUGUUGUAUAUGUAUUAAUUAUUGAUGAUGGGUGAGUUUUGGUUCGUCCCAUUGGUUAUGCCCUCAACUUGACCAUAAUGCUAACCAUAAUUAAUGAUAAGGUCAAUAUAGCCUCCUACAUUUCUAAAAUGAACUCAACAAGUCAACUAAGUUUCAUUCGGUCAUUUGAAGAAUGGUAGCUAUCGACUUUCCAAAACUGAAGAGUUCCCUAUGCAAGUUCUGAUACUGAAGGAACUAGAAGCAUUCUUACCUACCCGACUUAACCCUCCAACUUUCUAUGAGUAAUUGUUGCUUAGGCCAAAAGUGAAGAGUUCCCUACGCAAGUUCUAAUAGAGAAGGAACUCAACGCAUUCUGACCUAACCGACUUAACUCUCCGACUUUCUAUAAGAUAUUGUUCUUUAGGCCAAAAGUGAAGAGUUCUCUACGCAAUUUCGAAUACGGAAAGAACUCAACACAUUCUGACCUAACCGACUUAACUCUCCUACUUUCUAGACCUAUUGCUGCUUGGGCCAAUGGUGAAGGGUUCCCUACACAAGUUCUGAUACCAAAGGAACUCAACGCAUUAUGACCUAAUCGACUUAACUCUCCUACCUUCUAUAAGCUAUUAUUGCGAAGGCCAAUAGUGAAGAGUUCCCUACACAAGUUAUGAUACUGGAGGAACUCAACUAGUUUAGGUUUGGAAGAUCCCUCAUAUAGUUUAGGUUGUAAGACGCUGGAAGAAGCAUUUUUUUGGUCGAAUUUGUAAAUGGAAAGGCAAUGUACGUAUUUGAACUAUAUGCUCGUAUUGAAAUUUAACUUUGUAACUAUGUUGGUUAAUAUUUGCACGAUGACCUUGCAUGUGAAAAUGUUGUUUGUUCAUCCUUAAAUUACAAAUUGAGUACUAAACUUUGAAUUUAAUAUUUAUAAUUUGAUUUAUAAACAAAUAAAAGCGUUUAAUAGAAACGACAUUUGAACUUUAAUUUUGUAUUUAAUAAAUCAUUGAACUAUAAAUUUUUUGGCUAAUAAAUUCGUGAAAAGUUCAAAAUUUUAAAAAUUAAUUGAUUUAUUAGAUAUAUGUGUAUUGCAUGUGUAAUGUAACAAGUCAUUCACUUGUGUUUUUUAAAAAAAUUGGAGUAUAAGAUCAAAAUUUGUAAUUUUAAAAGUUGAAUAACCAAAUAGACAAACUUCAAAAUUUUAGAAACUAUAUUUAUAAUUUAAUUAUUUCUAAUGAAUAGGAAGAAAACUAUUUAUAAUGUAAUGGCCACCAUUCUUUCACAUUAUUAAUUCACCAUCUUUAUCCUCUCCAAGCUCCACACAUAACAAAACAAAACCUCCAACAAAUAUUCUUCUCUUACUAAAUGGAUCUCAUACACUUAAAACAACCUACAUAUAAAUUAAAACAAAUAACAAAAUAAAGGCCUCUAAUUUCCUAAAAUAAUCAACUAAACUCUUCCUAUUUCAAAGUGAAAAAAAAGCACAAAAAUAAUAACCUUAUAAAUAGACAUACAAGGAUUCUUCUCCUACACAUCAACAAUGGCACCACAUCUACUCGUCUUAUUGAUAUUUCUCUUCCUCAUUGUCUUAUUCGACAUGUCGAUGGCCAGAUUCUCGUUUGCACCACAAAAAUCAUCCAUCAUUCAACUUCACCAUUAUCAAAUCGAAAUUCACAACGACUUGGAAAUGUACUUGUUAGACAGUCAUUGCUUCUCGAAAGAUAACGAUUUAGGGUUGCAUAUACUUUUUCCAGGUGAGCUACAAGAUUGGUCGUUCCAAGAUAACGAUUUUGAAACUACUAAAUUUCGUUGCAUAUUGGAAUGGGAGAACGGAUUAUUGGAAUUUGAUUCUUUUAAAACUAAUCACAAUUUCUUGAAUAAUUUUUGUGGCAAUUUAACUUGUUCUUGGAGUGCAAGACAGGAUGGAGUUUACUUGACCAAUGUAAAGGGUGAAUAUGUUUUUCAAGAUUAUUGGGACAUGCUUAUACAUUGAAAAGCUGGCUACCUUAGUUUCUUUUCCCUUCUUACAAAAGUUGAGGUCAAUAGUUUGGGUUGAUACCAAGGUGUGGUGAAGAUAAAAUAUACAUAACCUUUCACGUGACAUCAAUAGUAAAUUUGAAAAGAGAGGACCUACUACAAAUUUAGUCUUUCUCGAUGCACGCAAAUUUUGAUUGUUUGAUGGUCAUGGCAAAGGGAUAUCAAGAAAAGUAUGUUUCUUAAUACAAUGUUUAUCUUGACGGGUAUGUACGUCAAGAAAAGUCUCCUUAUUUUGUCGAAGAAAUACGAAAAAACGUAAGAAAAAAUGUGGAUUCUUGAUUUCCUUGAUAGGCAAAGUUUUCUCAAUUUUGUUGAUGGUUCACAAAUGUCGAGAAAACUAUUUCUCAAUAGACAAUAAACAUCAAGAAUAAUAUAUUAGUUGUCUAGCAGUAUCUUUCAAGUUAGUUAGGUUUUCUUGAUGGACAGACCCAUCAAGGGAUGAAUUUUCUUAAUUGCAAUGGUCAUCAUCGAAAAAAUUAAUAUAUUUGUUUUCAAUUUUUGAUGGGUUUACAAUUUUCUUGGAUGGACAAAGACAAAAAAAAAAAAUCAUGGACAAGAUCAUCAAGAAAAAUGAUAUCUUGAAGGGCAUUGCCCAUCAAGAAAAAAAACUAGUUUUCACGUAACACGAAAUUUUAACUCUCGUUAACUAGUUCAGAAAACAUGAUAUUCAUCAAUAAUAUUAUGAAAUCUGUACUAUUUUUUUUCAAUUAUUAUUGUCUACUCAUCAAUAAUACAAUAUUACUUUUUUAAAAAUUAAGUAGCGUAGAUAUAAUUAGAAUGAAAUAAGUGACUUUAUCAAAAUUAAAUUAGUUUUUGAGUUCAACUUUAAUGACUUGAAUUGUGAGUUUAUUUUAUGGUUUUUAAAAUUGGUAGAAGUACUAGAAUAAAUCUGGUCUUUAAUGUCGGUUCAAAAUCGACAUCUUUGCUAGAGUUAUUAAAGGCCUUUAAUGUCAUUUUUAAACUGACAUCUUUGAUGGUGUUAUUGAAGGUCUUUAAUGUCGGUUGGCUUUUGACGUCAGUUUUUACAAAUUUAUUUUUAUUAAAUUUUUUGCAUUAUUGUCCACUUUUUUAUUUUACCAAAUAGUUAAAAACUGACAUUAUGGAUCCGCAUACAUAAAUAUUUUUUCUUAAGCCAACAAAUAUUAAAAUUAAUAUUACUUCAUAAACUACAAUAUUUCUCUUUUACAUAUGUAUAUACAAAAUCAAAUCUCAAUAUUGUGUUUAUAUAUAUACAUUGUACACAAUACAUGAAACAAGAUCCCAAUACACAAGACUUAAAUAAGAAAUCAUAAACGCUUUUGCAGUCUUCAACCUUGAACAAUCGCUUGGUUAUUUACACAAUCACUUAACUUUCAACCCGAUAUGACUUCAAUCAUUCUACAAACAAUAUCUAAAUCAAUCAUUUAAUCCUUAGAAUUUUAACAAGACAGCUUUGAAAAAACAUGUGGAAUAAAAACGUUUCUAAACACUAUCAUAUAAUUCAAGUAAAAGAUAAAAACAUUUGAAACUAAAUCGAUUAGUCAAGUAUAUGUAACAGAAGACUGCAAGUACUGGUAAAAUAAUUCAACUGACAUCAUGCCACGUCUCGGAAUGAGCAAGGAGGUGCAUGAGGUAGGGUGUGACACCUAUAAUCAUAAGCCUUUUUUUGGCGAUGAGAGAAAUGAAAGUUUCAUUAACCACAUUGUUAAUGACAACAUUACUUUCAAAACCCUUCAAGGUUUCAAAUUCUUUUGCAUUUUUAGCCCAAAAAUUUGUGUUUUCGUAUAAGUGGCUUGGCUAAGGUCUGCUUUAAAGGAAGUCAUGCGAGAACUAUGGACUUUUGUAAGAUUAUUUUCAGCCUCUAGCUUAUCAAUAAAUUCAAUCUCAUUUUUUAUUCUCCUCGAUAAUGCCCUUUUUCUUUGUUUGCCCCAUUGCUUAAUGGUGAAUGAGAGUUGUUUCAAUCUUCACACAAACAAAAGCAAAUUAAUAACUAAAUUAUGCGACAAUUCCUAAUGUACUUCAGGCAUAACUUUGUCAAUUAUUUCUACUCAUGCUAACAUGCUAAUAGACAUGUUCAAGUAGACCACAAUAGCGUCUCAAUAUUCAUAAAUUGAGUUAUCAUUUAAGCUUAUAAAUCUAUAUGUGAUUCUAUUGUGCGCAUAAUCAAUAAACAUAGUUAAAAGUUUUUAAUCAUACUAAAGAUUUCUUAAACACAAGAUAUGCCACCUUCGUUAGACACCCCCACACUUCUAAUUUAUUUAGAUGCAUAACAUAUUCAAAGUUCAACAAUACUAUUUUGUUGAGGGAAAUAAAUAUUAUGUCAUAAAUUAUUUUCAUCUAGUAAUGAAUUGACUAAUUCGAAUCCAUCACAAUAAUAUUCAUUACUAUAACAUAAUUUUGUUAAACUGUACAAAGUAUUAUAGUAUAUGCUCAUCAAAUAUAUACAUGGAAUAUCAUCCUCAAAUAUAGCAUAGAAAAAAGCUAGCUAAGUUCUUAGACCAUAUGUACAAAUUAAUUUCAUGGAAUACGAACCUAUGUAAAGUUCAUUCAAACUUAACCAUAAAAAGCUCAAUUGUAUUAAUUCAUAUUCGUAAAAUAAUUUACCAAUCAAAAUAUCUUCACGAGAAAAUAUUUAAAGAAUUAUAUAAAUUGUGAGGCGAAAAGUUUCUACCACAAGAUGAAAACUCAAAAUGCCAUGUUAUUCACUAAUUUAUUUGGAUCAUUAAUUUUCUAAUUUAUUAUGCCCAAAUAUUCAUCAGUUAAAUGUGCCACAUAAUGUCAAUUAAUCCGAACUUCAAUCCAGAGAUUUGUUAUGCAUAAUAUUUUUCAAUUAUAUAAUAUGUGGCCAUUUAUACCUUUUAAUUUACUAUUCAAUCCUAAUUUAUUUCUAAAAUUAAUAGUCACGUUCAAAGAUUUUAGUUAAUAUGAAUAAAUUAACUAAAAUUUUUAAUGGAAUAAAUUAUGGUCAAUAAUUUUAGGAAAUUUAUCGUAAAGUUUAGUGUAACUUAGCAAAAUAUUAGGAUACAUCACUCACGUGGAUCCAUUACUGGAACAAGAGAAGGAAAAGGAAAAAAAAUGUGCUCUCUAUUAUCUAAGUAGAACAUUAAUUGGGGUUGAAGUUAACUAUUCUCCCAUGUUGAAGAUGUGCCUCGCACUUUUCUUUGUCAUCGAUAAGUUGAGGCAUUAUAUGCAGGCAUUCACAGUUCAUCUAGUGGUAAAAGCAGACCCUAUAAAGUAUGUUAUGUCUAGGCCAAUCAUCUCUGGACGCUUAGCCAAAUGGGUGAUUCUACUCCAACAAUAUGACAUUUCUAUAUUUCCCAAAAGGCGAUAAAAGGACAAGCGCUAGUAGACUUUUUAGCAGACCACCCAAUUCCUUCGGAUUGGAAGUUAUGUAAGGACCUGCUAGACGAUGAGAUUUUCUUCACGGAAGUUAUUGAACCUUGGAUUAUGUACUUUGAUGGUGCAUCACGAAGAAGUGGUGUAGGGCCAGGCAUCAUCCUCAUUUCUUGAGAAGCAUAUGUUGCCUUAUAGCUUUGUUCUCACUGAACUGUGCUCGAAAAAUGUGGCUAAAUAUCAGACUUUGAUAAUUGACCUUCAAAUGAUAUUGGAAAUCGAAGUAUCAUUCAUAGAAAUUUAUGGUGAUUCAAAGUUCAUAAUCAAUCAACUCUUGCUUUAGUAUGAUGUGAAACAUGAAUACUUGAAGCCAUACUUCGCUUAUGCUCGACAAUUGAUGGAAAGGUUCGAUAGCGUGAUGCUUGAACAUGUCACUAGAGUAGAAAAUAAGAGGACGGACACAUUGGCGAAUUUAGUCAAUGCCUUGAUGAUGCCAGAGGAUGUAACUCUUAACAUAUCACUUUGUCAACAGUGGAUUAUGCCUCCAAUUAUGUCUGAAUGUCAUUGAGCGACCAUGACGACAUCCCGUUUGAUAGAUGAAGAAGAUUGACAUCAACCCAUCAUAGAGUAUCUUGAACAUGGAAAGCUUCCAAAGGAUUCCUGUCAUAAAACUAAGGUACAAAGAAGAGUUACGCACUUUAUUUAUUACAAGGGAACCUUAUAUCGUCGUUCUCUUGAGGGGCUCUUCCUUGAUGCCUUGGAAAGGAAGAGUCGAUAAAAGCUCUAAAGAAAGCACAUGUGGGUGUUUGUGGAACACAUCACUCAUGACCAAAGCUUCAAUUCCAACUAAGAAGAACAGGCUACUACUGGCCUAAGAUGAUCAAAGAUUCAAUAGAAUAUGCAAAGAAGUGUGAAGCUUGUCAAUACUAUGCAAACUUCAUACACCAACCUCCAGAUCCUCUUCAUCCAACUGUAGCUUGUUGGCCGUUCGAGGCUUGGGAACUCGAUAUGGUUGGCUCUAUUACACCAAAAUCAUCAACAGGACAUUCUUAUAUCCUUGCAACAACAGACUAUUUUUUGAGGUAGGUUGAUCCCAUUCUCUUUGAGAUAGACCGAGAAGGAGAAUGUGACAGACUUUAUUUGAACGCACAUCAUCUAUCAAUACAAUAUUUCUUAUUGAAUUGUGACAUAUAAUGAAAGGCAAUUCUCCAAUAGCAUGAUAGACAAAUUAUGUGAAAAAUUCAAGUUCAAGCAAUACAAGUCAUUCGUGUACAACACACAUCUGCGAAUGGGCUAGCAGAAGCAUUCAACAAAACGUUGUGCAAUCUUUUGAAGAAAAUUGUCUUCAAGUCAAAGAGGGAUUGGCAAGAAAGGAUCGAUGAGGCAUUAUAGGCUUAUCAAACUACUCAUCGCACUUCUAGAGGGGUUACACCAUAUUCACUUGUUUACGGUAUGGAAACUGGAAGGGAAAUUCUAUCGCUAGGAAUGACAGUACAGAAGGAUUAACUACUGAAGAUAAUGUCAAGCUACGUCUUCAAGUGUUAGAAGCACCUGAUGAAAAUCGAUUAGAGGCUCAACAAGCAUUGGAAUGUAAUCAAGCGAGAAUGUCCAAAGCUUUUGUUAAGCAUGUUAAACCUCGCUCCUUUCAGAUUGGUGAUCUAAUACUUGUUAUAAGAAGAACAAUCAUCACAACAAGGUAUACAGAAAAUAAGUUCACACCUAAAUGGGAUAAAUGGGAUGGACCCUACAUUAUUAAAGAAGUUUAUACAAAUGGCAAGAUCGUUGAUCAAGAAUGGAUUACGAAUUGACCUAAUCAACGACAAAUUCUUUAAAAAAAUUAUGAUUAAUUUUCAUAAGUAAAAAAAAAAGUUGAACGAAAUCUACGUUAUGACUUGAUCCCUAUAUUAUAAAGGGUACACAGACAGCUUAAGGAAAACCUUAAGUCUAGUCCAACAAAUAAAAGAUAAAAAAGGUGAACUAGGUUAUGACGUGAUCCCUACAUUAUAAAGGUUACGUAGGCAGCUUGAGAAAAACCUUAAGUCUAGUUAAGUAAUUAAAAAUAAAUGACACAUUGCAUUCAAUAUAGGAAAAGUGAGAAGUCGAAGAAUCAAAGAAUGAAUGUUUCAUUAUAAAUUUCUAGCUCGAAAAUUACAAAUAGCAUAAAUAGAUAAAUAAGAAGAGGCAGUGAUUCAUAGGUCCAUUUAAGGUUUUUCAGCUCCUCUAGUGUGCUUUCUAAAUAUUCAAGAAGUGAUCAUAGGAUUUUAGCAUCAACAUCUCCAACGAUUUGGGGCACAUUCGAGUUUGUCAAUUUCCUCGCAAGUCUUUGGAAUCUCAUGCUGCUUUCGCUUAAGCUCCAUGUCGUGCUUGGAAAUUAUGUCAGAAAGUUUGACGGAGUUUGUCCGCACCACCAUUUGUUUUGCUUCUAGUUUAGCCUCCUUGACAGAUAUUCGUGUAAGGUGAUGUUUGACGGUGUUGGUCUCUGUCAAUAUAUGGUUCUCAUCAAGUCGUAGAGUCUUGACAAAACCUUUUGCCUCUAUUAACUGAGUAUCCAUAGUUGAUUGGAGCAAAAAUGAGGAAUGUAUUUGAUUAUGGUUCUCGACACCUUGGCAGUAACCAUCCAUAAACUCCCUCAAAACGAUAUGGUUGUUGCUGCCACUAGUCGCAAUUGCAUCAAAGAUCUUACGCAUUUCUAAUUCAAGACUAAUUACUCAUUCAAAAUGGGUACGAAUGAUCUUCUGUCAUAGGUUUUCGAACAAGAUUGUUGCAGUCUGUCGCUAGAGGUUAGAAAUUAAGCUAUCGGCACAAAAAUGAGAAAUCUCAUAAGAUGCAAUAGGCUUCAUUCCUUCCACUUGCUGAGGAGACCCCUUGAUCACAAGAGGACAAGCUGACCCAAUUGUUGCACCUAUAGGUGUCUUAGAGUUCUCACCAUAAGUAAGUAUAACGUUAUAACCUUCUAGAUUUGUCAUCGGCUUUAAGGUUCCUUCGAUGUGUAGGUCAUGGUCACCUAAAGAUAACUGCAAAAUAAUGUUAAGAACAAGAAAUAAGAGUGGGAGUAAAGUAGAGGAAAUAAAAUAAAUAAAUGAUAAAAAAAAAUGAGACGAAAAGAAACAAUGGGGAAGGAACAUAAAGAAACUAUGUGGCAUUGGUGCCUUUAAUAGGAGGCUUUUCAUCAUCAAUUAACUGUUUGUUGGGCCUCUUGGGUCUCUUCCAAUGACGAUCAUCAUUGUUGCUUUGAAUGUCCUUAGUACGUUCAUAAGGGCGCUUGACAGUUAUUAAUAAGCAAUUAUCCUUACCCACAUUGUCAGUACCACCUCUAAUAGAAAGUUUAAAUCGUGUAGAAGGGGUCGAAUUAUCCACCAAGCACUUUGUACCUUCCUCAAUUUUCUCCUUGGGCCGUUCCUCAAUUCCAUUGGAGCAUAUCUUUUGACUUCUACUACCAAAAUUAUUCUCAAUUGUUUUGGUGGUUGUGGAGGGGAGUGAAAUGAUCUAUCAAAUGUUGCACUCCUUCUUGGAGGUAAUCACCGUGUUUUGCAAGCCAUCAGACUUUACAAUGAGAAGUAAUAUGUGCAUUCGGGUUAAUAACAAGCGCAAGAAGAUAUACUUGGGAAAGUGUGUUCUCGCGAAUGCAAAUCAUCCAAUAAUAUCGUAGUUGGCCAAAUCAGCUUCGUAAACUUUUUUGUCUAAAGUCAUAUGACACGUCUUGAUAAAAUCCAAAUUGUAGCUAAAGUUACAAGGACUAUAAGGUUGAAUAACCAUGGUGGAUCCACAUUGCGAGGAUAGAAAACAACAUUGAAUGCUUAUAAAGAAUGAAGUAUUCCAGUUAAUUAACUUUCCAUCAUCCGUUAAGAGUUCGUCUUUAUUCUUUGCCUGAAGACACGCGUGCCAUGACACAUACCUUUCCUUGUUAAUAUGUGUUCGAGCCUCAAGAUUAGUAUAAUAUUUGACCCCACCUUCAUCAAUUGAGAAGCAAUGUGAUAGUAGGCUGCAAAUAAAUGCUCGCAACUUUUUGGACAUGUGUUAGGGGUGAUCCUAAUAAGUCUUGAUGGCAAGGAAUGCUUCCUUUACAAAAUCUACCUUUAAUAGGGAGUCCUCCUAACAUCCAUAAGACCCAUAAGGAGAUGGACAUCUCACCAGCUGAGGUGUGAAGGGUGUUUGUUGAAGGACACCAUGCCUCACAGAAAGCCCGAACAAUGUCAUUAUUACGAUCAUAUAUGUACAGUGAGGCCAUCACAACAUUUAAUAUGUUAGCUCUCUUAAGUUCCACCAUAUUUUUAGCAACGACAAGCUCUAACCAUCCCCAAUAAUAAGAAAGAUAGUAAAAUUCUUCAUGGACUUUGAGCACAUUGCCCACACGAAUUUUUGGGUUACUUAUAAUUCGAUGACUCAACGUCAAUUUUGGAUUCUCAUUUGGAGGCUUAUUGUGGACUGAAGAUUUGAGAAGCCAAAAUGUUAAAGAUGAAUUUGGGUUUACGGACUGUUCCUUAGACCAUUUAGGCAAAAAAAAAAAAAAAAUUGUCCUUGGGUAUUUAGGAGUCCGUGAUAUUCUUGAAUACCCCUUCUCUCACAGAGAGAAUGACCCUUAGAAUAAUUAAACACAUUUUGGUCGAAUCAGAAUACUCAGUGAAAUGCAUCAUGGUGAAAAGCAUAAUUCCUCCAUAAAAAAAAUAAUUCUUUUUACGAGUAAAAAAAAAAAAGAAAGUAAGAAAAUAAGUAAAUAAAUUAAUAAAAGAAAGCAAAAGAAAAAAUGAGAAAGAAAAGAAAAAGAAAAAGAAGAAAAAAAGAAAAAAAGAAGAAAAAAGAAAGAAAACAAAACAAAAAAACGAAAAAGAAAAUUGAAAAGAAAAAAGAAAAGAAAAGAAAAGAAAAGAAAUGAAUAUAUAUAUAUAUAUAUAUAAACACACAGAUUUAAAAAACGAAAACAAAAAAAGAAAAAAGAAAAAAGAGAGAAAGAAGUCAGAUCGCUGACGAUAGAGCAAACCUAGCUAGAAGCCUGAUUGCUCCUACUAAGGAGGUAGAUUUGACGGCAAAAGUCCGAUCUUCUCCUAGAAGAAGUCAUAUCGAUGACGGCGAACCAAGAAGCCUAAUCACUCAUACUGGGCAUGUGGAUUUGACGACAAAAGAUCGAUCGUUCUAUAGAAGAAGUCAGAUCGAUGACAACGAAGCAGAACCGAGAAGCCAGAUCACUCUUACUAGGGUGGUGGAUUUGACGGCAAAGCUCGAUCGUCCCCUAGAAAAAGUUGGAUCGAUGACAACGAAGCAGAACCGAGAAGCCAAAUCACUCUUACAAGGGAGGUGGAUUUAACCGCAAAAGCUUGAUUGUUCCCUAGAAAAAGUCGAAUCGAUAACGGUAAAGCAAAAUAGAGAAGCUCAAUUGUUCCUACUGAGGUGGAUCUGAUGGCAAAAGCCCGAUCGUCCCCUAGAAGAAGUCGAAUCGAUGAUGGCGAAGCAAAUUGAGAUGUCUGAUCGUUCUUACUAGGGAGGUGGAUUUGACGACAAAUGUCCGAUCGUCCCCUAGUAAAAGUUGGAUCGCUGACGAUAAAGUCACCCCUGCAAACGAUUGCACACAAAAAAAAAGAGAAGAAGAAGAAGAAAAAAAAGAAGUUCUUACCUCUAACUUCUAAAAACAAAAAGGAAGAGAAGAAAAAAAAACAACGAAAAAAUAGGAGACAAAAAGAGUAGAAGAGGAAGGGAGAAUAGAAAUUUUUCAUACCUUCUUGCCGGAUGAGGAAUAAAUAAUUAAGAAGUGGUCUAUUUAUAAGGCCAACAAAUCCAAUUUCUGUAAAUUCAAUUCCUAAAAGGAUCAGGAAUGAUAUUUAAUCAUUUUUUAUAGCAAAUCUAAUUACUAAAAGGGUUAAGAAUGAUAUUUUAAUUAUAUUCAAUAUUUAAAAUAGAAAAGAUAAUCUAUUUAUCUUAUCUUAUUUUAAAUUAUUUCAUUUUGGGAUAAAUCUCGAAUUUAAUUUUUUAGAUAACUAAAUAUUUAAAUAUUUCAACAUUUAAAAAAAAAAACAGAUCUUAUUCCCAUUUUAAAAAUGAAACUUUGGGUUCAAAAUCCAAGUCAAUUUAACUUGCACAUAUACCCUUCUUUUUAUCUCAAAUUUAAAUCGAAGCCAUAAAUCCAACUUUAUCUCCAAUUAAAAUUGGUCACUCCAAAUUCUUGUGCAACCUCAAGACAAAUUAAGAUAUGGUAGAAAUCUCAUCCUUAUUUCAAAUUAAAAUUUUGGUUACGUUCCAAAAGAAAAUUGAAUGCAUCUUCCAGAUGGUAUUGUAUCAUGUACCUUGCAAAGGAUGGAGGAAGCAGAUUGCAAAAGAUGUUGCACCACACAUUCCUUACUUCCCAAAACCUGAAGUAGAUCUCAAAGAAAUGUUAUGAAAUUUUCCAAUAAAUCUGUAUGUCGUUGAAUACUUUCGAGAAUGCAGCUGAUAGAUACCUACAUUUAGAUAGGGCCAACGAUAGUUAGUUAAGGCAGUUAGAUGGUUAUUAUUGAAAUGAGAGACAACGAGUUCACACCAAUUUAUGUGGAAACCCGAGUACCAGGAGAAAAACCACGAUUAUUUGUUGUUAUUAUUUUCUAAUCAAUAAAACAAUAGAUACAAGGGAGAAUAAAUAAAGUAUACAAUGGAAUAAAAAAAGGAAAAGAAUUAGGAAAAUAAGGAAAACAUUCCCAUAAUCUUUCUAUAAUUAUUCUAGGAUUCCAACAAGGAAAAUGCCUAGAAAAAAGAAAAGAAUUUCAACCCUCCCCCCCCCCCCUCAAGUUGGGACGUAAAUAUCAAUGUGGCUCAACUUGCUAACACAAAAGUCAAAGUUUGGUCUGAGAAGCCCUUGGGUAAGAGCAUCAACAACCUGUUGACUCGAAGAGAUGUAUGGAAUGCAUAUGCUCCCACUGUCAAGUUUUUCUUUGAUGAAAUGUCGAUCAAUCUCAACAUGUUUAGUUCUAUCAUGUUGAACAGAGUUGUUAGCAAUACUAAUAGCGGCUUUGUUAUCACAUAAAAGCUUCAAUGGUGUCUCACAUUCCUGAUGAAGAUCUGACAAAACUUUCUGAAGCCAAAUUUUCUCACAUAUUCCCAAACUCAUAACUCUGUAUUCGGCCUCAGCACUGCUUCUGGCCACAACACUUUGCUUCUUACUCCUCCAAGUUACAAGAUUACCCCAAACAAAGGUACAAUAAGCAGAGGUAGACUUUCUGUCAACAACAGAUCCUGUCCAAUCCGAGUCAGUAUAUGCCUCAAUGGUCUUUUUGUAUGUUUUUUUUUUCUAAACAUCAGCCCUUUACCAGGUGUUGAUUUUAAGUAUCUCAAAAUUUUGUUGACAGCUUUCAUGUGUUCCUCAUUAGGGGUCUGCAUAAACUGGCUGACAACACUCACAACAAAGGAAAUAUCAGGACGGGUAUGAGAUAAGUAAAUUAAUUUACCCACGAGGCACUGAUACGAUUCUUUAUCAACUGAAACUUGAUCAUAGGAGUUUCCUAGUUUACGGUUGAAAUCAAUAGAAGUGUCAGUGGGACGACACCCUAACAUACUUGUCUUUGUUAACUAAUCAAGGAUGUAUUUUCUUUGAGACAUGGAGAUACCUUCUUUAGAUCUGGCCACCUCCAUUCCAAGGAAAUAUUUCAAAUUUCCCAAAUCCUUGAUUUCAAAUUCAUCACCCAUUCUCUGCUUUAGUUGACUGAUUUCUGCCUGAUCAUCUCCAGUCAAAACAAUGUCAUCCACAUAAACUAUUAGAACAACAAUCUUUCCUGUUUUGGAAACCUUUGUAAAUAAAGUAUGAUCAGAGUGUCCUUGCCUAUAGCCUUGAGACUUGACAAAGGUAGUGAAUCUGUCAAACCAUGCUCUGGGAGACUAUUUCCGACCAUUAUAUCGAUUUCUGAAGUUUACACACAUGCUGACCAAACUAAGCUUCAAAUCCAGGCGGAGGGCUCAUGUAGACUUCCUCUACAAGGUUUCUAUUCAAAAAGGAAUUCUUAACAUCCAGUUGGUAUAGAGGCCAAUCUUUGUUCACAGCAACAGAUAGCAGAACUCUGAUAGUAUUCAACUUAGCAACUGGAGAAAAAGUUUCUGAAUAGUCAAUACCAUAGGUUUGAGUAAAUCCCUUCGCAACUAACCUUGCCUUGUGUCUGUCAAGAGUACCAUCAGCUUUGUAUUUGAGAGAGAACACCCAUUUGCAUCCCACAGUUUUGUGUCCCUUAGGUAGAGUACAAAUGUUCCAAGUACUAUUCUUUUCAAGAGCUUUCAUCUCUUCCAUGACAACAUUCUUCCAUUCAGGACACUUUAAAGCAGGUAGAUAUCUUUUGAUAUUAUGGUAGAGUCAAGGCUUGCUGUAAAAGCUCUAAACUAAGGAGAGAGAUUAUCGUAGGAAACAUAGUUGCAAAUGGGGUGUUUAGUUCAGGACUUGAUACCUUUUCUCAGAGCAAUGGAAAUGUCAAGAGAGGAAUCAUACUCAUCUGGUUUCCCUGUAUGACCAUGUUCCGCUUCAUUAUUAUGGGUUUCUAUUUUGACCUCAAUCUCAUCACCACUGUCCUUUUCUUCCACGUUUUCAAGAACAUCAACAUUAGACCUGUCAUUCUCACUUAUCUUAUUCUUAGUACAAGGUUUAGUAGGAUUUUCCAUACCUUGAUCUCGAGGAGGUUCAGAGUCUUAGACUGGAGCCGGUGGCUGACUAGUAGGGGAACUGACUUCUUUUUUGUGAUUCCUCCUGUAAUACGUUUUCCAUGGAACUUGGUUUGUGGGUAGGACUAUGGGAUGAGGAUCGAUGUUAGACACAACACUAGGAGUAGGUUCGAUAAAUUCAAAUGUGUUGUUAGACUCUUCACUCACACUCUCCCCUUGAAGAUGGCUAACGGGAAAGUAGGGUUGGUCCUCACAGAAAGUAACAUCCAUAGUGACAAAGUAUUUCCUGGAUGAUGGGUGAAAACACCUAUAACCAUACUGGUGAAGGGGAUACCCAACAAACACACAUGCCUGAGCCCGAUGGGUAAAUUUGGUCUGAUUAGGACCAAAAUUAUGGACAUAAGCGGUACACCCAAACACAUGAAGAGGAACCUCAGAAACAAGACUAGUAGAUGGGUAGGACUCCUUAAGACAAUCUAAGGGUGUUUGAAGAUGAAGAAUACGAAAAGACAUUCUAUUGAUUAAAUGAGCUGCUGUAAGAAUAGCAUCUCCCCACAAGUAUGAAGGAAGGAAAGUAGAAAGCAUAUAAGGGAACAGACUACUUCCAGAAGGUGACGGUUUUUUCGCUCGGUCACUCCAUUUUGUUGAGGAGUGUAAGCGCAUGAGUUUUGAUGAACAAUCCCCUUGGAAGCAAGAAAUUCACUAAGGUUAUGUUUUUGGAAUUCCCGACCAUUAUCACUCCGAAGAAUAGCAAUUUUUUGAUGAAAUUGUGUUUCAA